GAGAAGGUGCAGGGCAUGGCAGGCAAAAAUAACUGUGAUUGAAAAGUCUUAAUCAGGUAGGUAGGCGUUACAAGAAAAAAAAUAGCAAGUACAUCAAGUUUUAGUGCCUCUUUCACACAUAAAUGUGCAACAAAAUUGGCAUUCCUUCUUAUAUAGAUGAACUUGAACCCCUGGAAACUUGUGAGAUAUGAAUGCAUCCCUCGAAAGCCAUCGACCGCCUCAGAAAAAGACUUGGAAUCCUUUGACAUCAUGCAUCAAACUUGGCCUUCAGUCUCAAUAAUAUUAUUUCAUAAUCCUUUUUCAAUCACGAUCAACAUGGUUGUCCCUGCGAGCCAACUAUCGGCUUUACGAUUAUGAAAAUACUAGAUUUUGGCAAAUGUGUACGAGCUACUGAAGAAAUUGAAGAUAGUUGCAAACAAUAUACGAGCUACAACCUAACAAUUUGCAAGCGCUUGAGUGAAGGCAACACCUUUGUUCUUCUUGAACUUCUCAUUUUUCUUAUUCUGAACUUGAUGUUGUUAUUUUUUUUGCAACUGCCAGUGCCGGGAGGCCGGCUUCGCUCCGUCAGGUAGCCGCGUCCACCUCCUCACAGGAUAGCGAGCAGGGGAGGAAGGAGAGAUAGACCUGGCAGCAAGCGGGGGAGGAGCCGGAGUAGCGCUACAUCAGGGAUGCAGGGUGAACCUGAACCUGAAGUACAUAACACACAUGAAAAACACUCUUAAGUAAUCCAAGCCCUAUCAAUUAGCAAGCAAGGACUAAGCUAGAAAGGAAAACGAACACACAAAACUAGUACUGGUGCACUAAGACAUUUUAGCCAACAUUUUGCAUGCACACACAAAAACUAGAGAAGUGGAGAGUGAAGAAGCAGAGAGGAGGCACAAUGGGUAGGGAACCUGCAGUGCUGCAUCCGCAUUCAGGGAUGGGUCGGGGACGAAGGAGCUUGCUGGAGCAGCACCCACCACCCCAUGCACGCAAAAUUGGAGCUGGUUGAGAUGAUAUUCGUCCUGGAAGAGUCGCCCUGCUGUUGUGGCACGACUUGGACUGCAGCGACCCACACAAUUUUUGUUGAUGCAUACACAAUGGAGGAGAUGAGCUUCGAUUAGCGUCAAUUAGCGCGCGCACAUCUGGCGAGCACAGCGGCCCCAAUCCCGGGAGUGGUGGCCCGACGACGGUGAACAGCCAGUGCUUUGCAGGGCGGGUCCCGGCUGCGGCGCACUAUGGGGUUCGUGCGGGAGGAUGCAAGGCCAGCCCCCUCCUCACAAGGCAGCGCCCUGCCGGGAGCCAUGGCUGUGACAGGGAUGAGCAAGAUGUUGAGAUCCAUCUUACCUCGCACGACAGUGGCGAAUGACUACAACUGGAGUCAUUGGACUGCAAUGGUGGGGUUGAGCUGGAGGAUGCAAUGGCGGCGGCGACAUGCACAUCAGUGCCGAGCAAAAUAAUGUGCCCAUUUUUGUUUUCCUGCAUUAGAAAAUGUUUUGCAAGAGAUUCCAGAUGCUACAACUAGUUCUCAUUAAAUUGGAGGAUACAAAAUCAAAUUCCCAAUACAAAUACAUUUUUAAUCUGGAACUAACAGAGGUUACAACAGAGAACAAUCCCUGGUUUCUCAAAUUGGAAUUCAUGCCCUUUUUAUGUCAUCGUUACAAACUAGACUUCUUUUUUUCUAAUAAGAACACACACUAUAAAGGAAAAAUAGAAAUUUCUUUUGCCAUCCUUGGUGGAGCACAUAACGGCAGGUGCAACAAGUUCAGAGUGUGCAAGUAGAAAGGAAGAGGUUCAGAGAAAAAGACUGACACUUGGUCAUGCUGCGGAGGCGUCCUGUAGUCCAUACUUGUCUGGAGCAGCAGUAAUGAGGACGGAACUAGAGAAGGCCAACGGAAAUUUUGCAAAUAACACUCCUCGCCACAUCACAUAAUUUGAUCUCCUCCAGUACCUGCUACUACUACUCCUCCUUGUUGGAUUUGGGCACGGCCAACCUGACGACCAACAACAACAGUAGCACAGGUGGGUCUAAUUUUCCAUUAACAACCACUGUCAUACGCUGACCAUUGGAGGACAAGUCGUGGCUGUGCACGAGAGAUGCAGAGGGACCAAGGGGAGCAUGGAGUGGAUGAGGUAGGAGGGGCUGAGAACAGCAUCAUCGACAGCGGGGCUGACUAAGACGACCUGCGGAGGCGUCGGACGGCGGAGAGACGAGGCUGGAAGCUCGAACGGCGCGCGAUGACCAGCUCAGAGGCGGUGCAUGGGAGAAGGCAGGCUGCAGGGGUGGCGCACGGCGCCCGGUGCGCAAGUGACCCGAGAAAGGAGGCGGGAUACAGGGUUGACCCACGGUGAGGUGGGAGGAGCUGGAAGUCCAGAUCAGGGUCUCGGCGUGGUUCGCCAUGGGGAUCCAUGGUGAUGUAUGGUGACUCGCUUGGGGGAGGGAGGUUGGAGCGCCGGCAUCAUCUAGGAGAGGCGAGUGGUGGAAUGAGGAGGGCGCGAGCUCGGGAACGGCGGCGGCGGGCGAGCUCAAGAACAACUACGGUGGCGCACUAGCUCAGGAACGGCGGCACGCACGAGCACAGGUGCCGGCAACGCGUGGAGGUGUGUGGAUCCUGGUGGCGGCGUUGGUGAGAAGUUGGCGGUGUGGGGAGGUGGGUCGCGGCGGCGGUGGUGCGCAGGCGGCAGCGCAGGGAUGUGGCGGCGCGGCGCACGGGGCUGCUUGGGUGCAGCGGCGAGGAUCUGGGAGGUCGCCGCGGCAAUGGCGGAUCUGGGGGGAUAAGAUGAGGCGUUUUUUUGUUUUGGGAAGUUCGGGAGGGCCCGACAGGGCCCUAUAUUGUGCAUUGUGAUCGAAUAGUUAUUCUAAUCCCAGGAUUAGAAUAUCACUUGGGGGCUUGGUCAUAUUCGAAUCAUAGCUUAAACCCUCUUGAUAGGCGUAAGGCCACCAGGGAAAUCACUUGGGGGCUUGGUCGUAUUCGAACCAUAGCUUAAACCCUCUUGAUAGGCGUAAGGCCACCAGGGAAAUCACUUGGGGGCUUGGUCGUAUUCGAACCAUACCUUAAACCCUCUUGAUAGGCAUAAGGCCACCAGGGAAAUCACUUGGGGGCUUGGACAUAUUCGAACCACAGCUUAUACCUUCUUGGUAGGCGUAAGGCCACCAGGAUGAUCACUUGGGGGCUUUGGUCGUAUCCGUACCAUAGCUUAAACUCUCUUGAUCGGCACAAUGCCACAAUUAUGCCAAUUCAAAACCUCUUGAUUUUUUAGGUUUAUUUAAUUCCACUUAUCAUACUUUAUGGUUCUAAUGCACCGGUGUUCAUUAAACCGGCUUGGUUUUGACUAUAAGUCGCCAGUAACAUCUGAUACUUAUCAACACCCGGUCCAACUUUAUUUAUAAACCGGUAACAUCUGAUACUUAUCAAGGUUCCGGUUGUGGGUUAUAACCCUCAUUACACUAGUUUGGGGUGAUCAACCAUCAUAGGUAUGAUAUCUUUUAAUGAUUAUUAUUUCCACCAGCUUUGAUUAUAAAUCAUGAUAAAUUCAUGUUGGGGCAGUAUAAUCCGUCUUGCGGUAAACCGCCAGGACAUUUUUUCUCUGUUGUAUGAAGGAACAGCUUUAGGAUGAAUAAUAUCAUCAGGCAUACAUGGCGUGUCUUCACAUAACGAUAAAGAAGUAUCAUUGAAACAACCAAAUAUGCACGAGGGAGUAUUAAAGCAAAAGGUUUGAAGCUAGCCCAUUACAAGGCAUUUUGAGCCCAAAAGAUAAUGGUUUUUAAGUCUCAAAUAGCAGCUGAUAAACCGACCCCGGCUCAUGAAUCCUGACCCGGCUGACUGGAUGGUUGCGCCUCACCCCUUGCCGGUUCGUCUUCCUCCACCAUCUGGAAAUUGGGUUUGGACCAGUCAAAGCCAUGAAGGGCGACAAAUUCAGACUCAUCAUCAAUCAGACCAGACGGGUCAAUCUCAGGGGCAAAAGUGUGCUUACGAAUCGGCAGGAUUAAGUCCAUCACUUUAUAGGAAGGAGUCGCCAUCUUCUUAUUGUCUGCAUCAAAACCCGGCUGAUACUUAGUGAGGUUGGUUUCUUAACCGAUAAUGGUAGCACGAGGACGCGUUUCCUUGACACAAGCAGCAAAAUCUUCUUGGUUGAAAGGUGUUCCAUCUUCUUUAAAGCUGGGGGUAUCCUUUAGCCACGUCUGCCGGGUCUAAUUCUGGCACCCAGGCUUUAGCAGAGCAUAAAGUUGUUACAGCUCCAGCUCUCGCGCAUGAUCGCUUGAUUUCUUGGAACCGGCUGGGCAAGAUAGACAGCUUCUUCAAGAUGUCACUUAAUAGAGUCGGUCAUUGAUUCACGGGGGAGAUAGGGGCAAGUGUCUGUUGAGCUCCGGUGUACAACUGUUCAACCAACGUGUAAACCACCUUCAGCUUUACUAUGGUAUCCCGGUUCAGAUUGCUGCUCUUGGGACCUGAAAAUAUCAUACAAUGAGUUAAGUGGCGGCUUAUAAUGGAAUAUAUUUAUUUGAAGUAUGUAACAAAGUGACUUACCGAAGAUUGCAGAAACCAUUUGAGACACACGGUUCUUUAAACCGGUGAGUUUAGCGGUGACUUCUCCUAGAGCCGCUUCAGCCUUCUCUGCACGAUGUGUUAAAACAAUCUUCUCAUUAGCCCAAGCUUAUUUUUCCACUGUGAAGUUGGUCUUCAAUUUUUCGGUCUCAGAAACACUCAACUGGAAUUUGGAUUCAGCCUUCUUUGUCUCUAUCUCUUGAGUCGCUAGUCGGGCCUUGGCCUCAACAGUUGGGAUUCUAGUUCUGUGGUUGCAACCUACAUACAUCAUAAUGUUGUUUCAGUUUCAUGGCGGAUUAUAAAAGAUAAGUCCCAAGUGUUUUGUCAACAAUAACACUUGGCACUUCGGGGCUAAUGUCUGUCAGCGCAAUUUUUUUCAAAGGAAACAAUUUUUCUAAAAAGUCCCAAGUGUUUUGCAGGCAACAACACUCGACACUUGGGGGCUAAUGCAUAUUGCUUGACUUUUCUUUCUACAAGUGAGCCGUAUAAGCUGUCCACAGUCUCAGCCGGCUCAGGCAGGUUAUACGGUUUAGUUCAAUGCAAUAAUUAGUACGACCGGCUCAUUCAUACUGAUUAAACCGGCCCUUGGAGGCUAGUAGGCUAUAUAACUUAUAUGAGCCGGAGAACAUACCUCAUAUUUUUGAUGCAUCUGUUUGACCAUUUCAAUUUCUGAGUCAUGGCUAGAGUGCACUUGACUGAGAUAACCGGAUAGCACUUCACUAAUACUCAGGUGAGCAUAGUGGGAGACAUCCAACCUCACCUUUUGCCUCUACAUAACUUCUUGUUUGGCAGAGUGUCUUGCCAAGAUAGUUGGGUUCCCCAGUUCAACGAAUCUAGUGCUAGUGAUUAAAACAUCAACAUUGUGCUUCUCCGGCGGGUUAGCUGAGCUUGACGAAUCAAUACUAGAUGGAUCAAUAGUAGUUUCAUCUGUAGACUGCUCGGGUAAAUCAGGUUGAACGUUGAAGGCAAGGUCCUCUGGCCAUUUAGCGUGUUCGGGCAGAAAUGUUGACUGCUCCGGGUCUUCAAGAUGUUCUGGUACGAGGUUUGGCUACUCCGGUUCAGUGGUUCUCGGAUCCUCAGCCGGUUUUGUUACAUUUGCUUUCUUGGGCUUUGCUUGACCGCUAGAAAGGAUUAGACAAGUCAGUACAAUGAUACAUAUUUAAAGGUGUAUAAGAAGGGUAGUUAUCUUUACCCGGGGGCGGUCGUGAAAGCCGGAAAUUGCGUCUGUGAUGAAUCGCAGGAGGAGGAAUGGGAAAUCUCCUAUAAAUAUGGAAUCAAAAAGAAGUGAUGAAGGUAAUUCAUUGAAUAAAUACAAGGGUGAAAGUCAAAAAUGAACCUCAUUCUGGCGUUUCCAAGGAGAUUUUGGUAAGCCGAAGGGUAAAUCGUCAUCUCCACCGGCUGGGUCUGCCGGCGGCUUUCAUGUUGCUGUCGUUUAAAAAUAAAAUGAGGAUCUAAAUAAGCCAAGGGGUGUCAAAACCUUUCUUUCCGGGUUACCCGCCGAAGUUUCUGCCUUGGUAAAGGUUCUGAGUCGGUGGAAAUAAUAUUUACCUCUUCUUCAACUGCCUGGCUGGCCCCCGUGUCAUCCUGGUAAUAGUCAAUGUCAAUAAGGUGGUUAAAAAGCAUGCCAAGAGAGUCAAGGGCUACCUCCGACUCAGAGGUGUCAUCCAGCUUGAGUAACUCAGAGGCGGUUGGCUUCUUCUUCUUCGAUUUUCUGACGAUUUUCUUGGUGGCUAUCGCAACAACUCUAGCUUUCUUGGUAGCCUCAUGGUCAUACUUGACUUUCCAAAAGUCAGAUUUAGCCCGUGGAAGGGUAGCAUGUUGAAAUUCAUGCAAAUAUUUAAACUGCUGAAGUAAAAGAAGUCAAAGGAUUUACCUCUGGUGCCGGGUUAAGCUUGCAAAAAGGAUUUAACCCCACUAUGCUACAUCUUCAUACUUGCUGUUGACAAGAGUAGUUGCCAUUUCCGCAAUGGCUUCUUCCGUCAGACGCAGGGAACUAUGACGUAAUGGAUCAUCUAUUUCUCUGGUGUAGUUACACAUCAAGCCGGAUCGACGGCUCAGAGGGAUGAUCCGCCAUGCGACCCAACAGUGGAUCAAGUCAACUCUAGUUAACCCAUUUCCAAGUAAGGCUUGAACUUUUUGGAUUGUGGGGACAAGUUUCUUGCAUUCAGCGGAAGAAAGCUUAUCAGGAAGUUGAUACUUGGCGUCAAGACGUUCAGCACGGUAACCCGGCAUUGGGUUUUCAUCAGACGGUGAGGAAUCCUUGCAAUAAAACCAUGUCUGAUUCCAAUCCUUAGGAUGGCUUGGCAGAACUACAAAAGGGAAGAUGGCAUCCCAUCUACGUUGAAUUGAAAUCCCGCCAAGUUCUAAGCUGGGACCAUUGGUGUAUUCGUUCUGGCGGUUCAGGUAGAAAUAUUCUCUAAAAAGCUCCACCAAAGGUUCUUCUUGAAGAUAAACCUCACAGAAAACUUGGAAGUUGCAGAUAUUUGAUAUGGAAUUGGGUCCGAUAUCUUGCGGGUGAAGCUUGAAAAAAUGCAAAUCAUCUCUAAAGAAUUUUGAGCCGGGUGGUGAGAAGCCCCUGUUCAUGUGAUCAGUGAAAACAAUAAUUUCACGGUCCUUCGGCUGAGGUUUCACUUCAGCCGGGUCAGGAGCAUGGUAAGACAUGACACUUUUUCCGGUAAGUAUCCAACAAUGACAAAGUCUUUCAAAGUACUUUCGGUGACUGUGGAAGGGACCCAGUUGCAAGUGGUCAUCGUCUUUGGAGGCAUGAUGAAAUGACAAUCUAAAAGAAAUAAUUUGCCGGAUCAAGUUAGUUAGUGGGACUGCAAAUCAACAACUACAGAGCUUGUUUUAAGCAAGGGCUAAUGAUAUAUGAGGUACAGGUAAGCCGGGAGAGUAAGCCGCCAUGGUUAAGAUAUUCAAGAAUGACCAAAAACAAGAUUUGCUAAAUACUGAGAUAAACAAGUUCCACAUUUGGAGGUUAUAAAUUUGGAUUUACUGCCGUUCAGGAAAAGGGGAUAAAUUCAUCUAUAAAAGGCGACAGUGGAAAAAUAGAGAAGCCCUAGAGGAGAUUUUCCACGGCGGGGAUGUGAUCUAGUAUUAAAACAAGUGCUAAAACUACCACCGCGCAAGCUUUCCAUAUAUUUUGGAUCUAAUACGUGGAUCUAAAUAAAGGAAAAGGAGGAGGAGGAUGAAUGCAGAUGAACACCGAAGAACACCGAUGAAACCCUAAUGGCGAGAUUAGUGAUGAACAGAGGAAGACUUACUGGGGAUGUAAGAGCAGUGGAGUUGCACCGCAGUUCUCUGGUUUUCUCAGGGCGAUGCAGCGGCUGGAGUCGAGGACGAGGACAGAGGUCGACGGCGGCAGGGCUCGUACUAGGACGGCGCUCUGUGAGGAAGGAAGGAGACGGAGAAGAAUGGAAGAUGGCUUUCGGGUCCUAUUUAUAAGGAGACAGAAACAGGCAGGCACGAAAGACGAGGAUGCCAAAUGAUAGUUAUCCAGCUAAUUGGGUGCCUCGAUUUUCGGGAAGACAUUAAGAUAAAGAUCUGUUAAGAUGGCGUCGGGCGGGUUUCCAAAAAUCUAGGAGAUGACGUCAUGGCGGGUUACAAGUUUUCGCAGCGGGAAUGAGAGGAUUUUUUCUAAGUAUUCAAGGUUGACAUGAACGAGUCCAAAUCAACCUGGGCCUAAUGUUGGGGAUAUGAUUAUUAGGUAUGACCCGCCCAGGAGGGGCCGGGUCAACCCUAUGAAGAUUCAUCACAAUGAAGCCCAAGGUCACCUGUCGAUUCAUAGAUAGGCUUAGUAGAGGGCCCAGACCCAAAGGCGGCUUAAAUCCCACGAGUAUGAACCGCCAUAUAUGUAAAAUUGUACUGUAAGGCAUGUGUAAAAGGUCACCGAGCCGGAUACAUUGUAUAAGCCGGCCGGGACUUUGAGGGCCGCAGGGCAUCUUCCUGUGUAUAUAAGGGGACGACCUAGCGGCGGCUUAGGGCAAGAAACAACAGAUCGAGAGCCGGGUCAAGCAUAUUCGCUCCUUGCUCGUCGAAACCCUAGCAAUACCAACUACAAACUGGACUAGGCUUUUACCUUCAUCGUAAGGGGCCGAACCAGUAUAAACUCUCCGUGUCCUUUGUCCUGUUUAACCCCUUUUAAGUUAACCUCAACGCGAUGGCUCCAUGACUAAGUCCUCAAACUAGGACAUCUGCCGUGACGAUUCCACAACAGUCACGGAACUCGCAAGUUGAUCACCAAACAUACAUCAAGUGGGUCAUGUGAAUAUCCCAUUGUCACCACAUAUAAGCACAUGCAAGACAUACAUCAAGUGUUCUCAAAUCCUUAAAUACUCAAUCCGAUAGGAUAACUUCAAAGGGAAAACUCAAUCCAUUACAAGAGAGUAGAGGGGGAGAAACAUCAUAAGAUCCAACUAUAAUAGCAAAGCUCGCGAUACGCCAAGAUUGUGCUAAGUCAAGAACACGAGAGAGAGAGAGAGAGAGAGAUCAAACACAUAGCUACUGGUACAUACCCUCAGCCCCGAGGGUGAACUACCCCCUCCUCGUCAUGGAGAGCGCCGGGAUGAUGAAGAUGGCCACUGUUGAUGGAUCCCCCCUCCGGCAGGGUGCCGGAAUGGGGUCCCGAUUGUUUUUUGGUGGCUAUAGAGGCUUGCGGCGGCGGAACUCCUAAUCUGGGUUAUUUUCUGGAGGUUUCAGUAUUUAUAGGAAUUUUUGGCGUCAGGAACAAGUCAGGAAGGUGCCCGAGUCGUCUACGAGAAAGGGCAGCGCGCCCGGGGGGUAGGGCGCGCCCCCACCCUCAUGGACGGUCGGGACUCUUCUGGCCCAACUCUUUUACUCUGGGGCUUCUUUUGGUCCAUACAAAAUCAUCAAAAAUUGGCACAUCAAUUGGACUCCGUUUGGUAUUCCUUUUCUGUAAGAGUUAAUUACACUUUUAAUACAUGAACUUGCAUGACGGAUACAAAUUCAUACAUAAAGUUGAAAAAUGUCAUAAAGUAGUACAACAACUUGCGUUUGAGGUAUAUUUACAUACAUUUCGGAUCCCAGGCCAUUAUCUCUCAAACCAAAGACAACACAACAUUGACCUAGAAAGGCUAGCCAGUCCACCAACCGUUACUUGUUGUUUAAUUAGUCAUAAUCUCCUUAUAUCAUCGACAUAAUUGUUCUUGUUCUUUCUCCAUAUAAUUUUUGAAACCAAAUUGGCAUGCCUGUCGGUUCACAUUUCUACAGCCGUACUGCCCGUUUACUGGUUCCUCAGCUAUUUUUUAGGCACUAUAAUUUAGGAUGUAUUCUUUACUAAGAGCAUCUAUAGCCAGACCCUCCAUACCUGCCCUAGAUGCCCCGAUGGGCUGCCUGAUCAUUGUCUGGACCAAAAAACGCCACCCAACCGGGCUACCCGUAUUCGGCCUAAACGUCCGGACUUACCGAUACUCUCCAUAUCCCGCCAUAUAUGGGGCGAAUAUGGGAGUCCCGGAAGCGCCUGAGCACGCCCGCCACGUAGGACUGACCGCUGGUGUCCGUGGCAAUUUGGUCAUAUCAGCUUCCCCUGUCCUUGCUUGAGCAACACUCUUCUCUUCUCUAUUCACCCUCCUCCGCAUUAUCAUCACCAGACUUCCGCCGGCAUCGGUGCUCCGCCGCCAUCCCAACUCAGGGCUUCACGACCAGACGCCCCAACCCACACUGCCGCCGACCAGGUCGCCAUCGGACAAGGUUGCCGCCACCGGACGGCUUCCCGGUAUGUCAAACUCCCCCAUAUUUUCACCCCGCGCUCUAUGUGUUCGAUGAAAUGUCUAAGCUGAUUUUUGAUUCUUUUGGUCAUUACUUCCAUUUCACCAAUGGAUUCGGCAUGUAAAUCAAUAAACUUUGCAAAUAUCCUUGGACAACUUGGUUUUUCCCCCGGUUUGUUAAAAAAUACUUCUGGUUUAGUGGGCUAGUAAGCCAAACAAUUACUUGAAAGUAAAGUAUCACUUGCGUGUAGUGCAUAGUUUUUUAUUCAGAUCAAUUGUACCUCUAAAAGAUAUAUAAAAUCACUAUAUACAUCUGAACCAGUAAUAAUAUGUAGCUCACUGGUUAGUCGAUCACCGCUUGCCGCAAACUCUCGAGUUCUAGUCCUGCGGGAGCAACGCGUCUUUAUUUUUCUUCCUCUUUUCCCACUUACAGGUGGGCCCCACACUUAGAGACCACAUGGAUUUAACAUGGAGAUAUCCUAAAAAAUGUUAACUGGGAGAUAACAUCCAUGGACGGAAAUGUAUGUAAAUGUACUUCAAACAUAAGUUGUUGGACUAAUUUGUGUCAUUUUUUAACUUUAUGUAUGAAUUUGUACGCUCCGUGCAAAUUUAUGUACUAAAAGUGUUAUUAACUCUUUCUGUAAAACUCAAAAACAAGGAAAAACAGAAACUGACACUGGGCUCUAGGUUAAUAGGUUAGUUCCAAAAAUCAUAUAAAAUAGCAUAUAAAUGCAUAUAAAACAUCCUAGAUGGAUAAUAUAAUAGCAUGGAACAAUCAAAAAUUAUAGAUACGUUGGAGACGUAUCAGAGACGUAUCAGCAUGGUGUCACGUCAUAUAUGUCAUGGUAACAACAUUUUCCAAUUUGGGCCAAGCUUUAUUACAAACCUCUUACAAAAACUGGAGCUUCUCUCAAAGAAGCCUCGUGGUUCUGAUAGGGAAAUGUGUCCCCCUUGUGGGCGAAACGUAAUAACUGCCUCUUUUCGCCUUGUAUUUUCUUCUACGGGCAACAUGGAAUGACAGGAUAUCUGUGUUGAAAUUUAAACGAUAUUCGUUGCGUAUUCUCGCCUUGAACUUUGUUUUUUAUAGGCAACAUAGAAUAACAGGACUGUCGGGCUAAAAUUUGAAACUGUUCAGGGUUCGUUUGGCCAUUGUGUGUGUGUAUAUAUAAUAUUUUGAAUAAUAUUAUGAUCACAACCUGACCUACCCCGCUAGUAGUACGUUGAACUUCCCUGUGAACUAGGUUGAACUUCCGCCAACAUUGCCCAAAUGGGGCUUGCGAUAUACCGUUGGAAAGCUAUGGACCCCAAUAUCAUGACCCAACUUAAAUUUUUGGCAAAAUAUAAGUGGUUUAAGAGCAGCUUUGAAAACCGUUAAUUCUUCGCACAAAAAACAUGAAUCGUAUUUUCGAUCGCAUUUCUAAACCGUUUUUUGGAAUGAGGCAUAUAAUAUGGCGUUGGAAAGCUGCUGCAAAACCGCUCCUUCCACAUGUUGAAAGUUUUUCUCUAAUUCCCUAUGGUUAAAGAGUAAUUUGAAAAAACGUAAAAUUUCGUAAACCAAACAGCUGAGUUCGUUUUUUCGAUGACAUUUCUAAAUGGCUAAUCCAGUGGAGGCAUAUGAUAUGGCUUUGGAAAGCUUAUGAAAAUGCGCUACUUUUUCAUCUUGAAAGCUUUUUUCUAAUUUUGAAUGGUUUAAGAGUAAUUUAGAAAAUGGUCCAAGUCCUACCGAGUUCGUAUUUUCGAGCUAAUUUUUUAACCGUGCUUCCAAAUGCAUCAAAUGAUAUGGCGUUGGAAAGCUUGAACAAAUGCGAAACUUUUUGGUAUGUAUUAUUUCUCCAAAUUCUUUACGGUUUUAAGUCAGUUUUGAAAAUGACGAAAAACAUUUUUUUGCUGUAAUUUCUACGAACUUUACCGGAAUGGGGCAAAUAAUAUAAUGCUAAAAAGCUAGGGAAAAUGCGAAACUUUUUCAUGUUUAUGGUUUUCUCUGAUUCCUAGCCGUUUUCAAGUAAUUUCGAAAACGGCUGGAUCUUGCGUUCUGCCUUUAUCGCGAAACAGAUUCUUCGAAAAUGCACCGUGUGAAGAACCUGAACUUCUUGGCGCGUGUACCUGAACUUCACUCUGUUUUUCACGUGAAUUUUUUGCUCGUAGGUCUCCAUCCACUUCUCGUAACUCUCCAUCCACUCACCGGAAUUGAGCAAGUGAUAUACCAGUGGAAAGCUGUUGUAAGCACAUAACUUUCCCGUGGUGAUCAUUUUUCAUACUCGUGAUGAUUUUAAAAGUUUUUCAUCUGAAAUUCAUUUGGCGUAGUAGUUGAACUUCAUACUGUUUUUACGUUGAACUUCUGUGACGUAUUUUCGUUUGUAAUUUUCUCAUCCAUUCGUCAGUGUUACACAAAUGAUAUUCUUGUUGUACAAACCUCUCUCACAAUAAUUUUUUUAACUUUCUCCGACGGAGUACUUGAACUUAUAACGAGAACAAAUUUAGCCUUUUCAUUUUUAUUCUUUUUAAUACAAAAUGCACAUCGUGUAGAACAUGAACUUCUCAUAGUUUAUCAACCUGAACUUCUCUCGGUUACGUGCAAAUAUCUAAGUUUUUUAUAAAUAUUAAUCUGAAUUUCUUAAUCCUUUUUUUGUGAAUUUUAAAGCGCUCCAUUUUUAAAAGUUGAACUUCUUGUUAUUUUAUUUUUGAACUUCUUAUUUCCAUUCUUUAAUAACGAGAAAAAUCUGAGUUUUCUAUAAUCAUCAAACUUCUCCAUAUUUUUAAUAUGGACUUCCUGGUUUUAUUUUCUUAAUUUUUUAUGAAACUUUGAACUGUUGUAUUAUUAAAAGUUGAACUUCUUGUUUUCAUUCUUAACAAAUCUGAGUUUUUAUAUACUUUGAACUUCUCUGUUAUUUUGAAUUGAACUUCUUAGUCUUAUUCUUAGAAAAAUAUGUUUUCAAAGAAGCAUCAAACAUUUUUUUUAAAUCGAACCUCACACAUUUAUUGUUCCUAGGGAUGGAAAGAAUUUGAGUUUCCCGUAAACAUCAAACUACUCCUUUUAUUUUAAUUUGAACUUCUUUAAUUUUAUUCUUUAGUGAAAAAGAGAAAGCUAUUUUUUAUAAAUAUUGAACUUCUCUAUUUUUAUAAUUUGGACUUCAUGGUUUAUUUGAAAUACUUUCUUUUUCCAUUUGAACAUCUAAAUACACGGUGAACCUCUUUCAAAAGAAUUUUUGAACUUUCCCGGACCGAGCACUUGAACUUCUACCAACAAAACUUUUAGACUUUGCCCUUUUAUUGUAUUUUUCUAAUACGAAACACACACCAUGUAGUACGUGAACUUCUGACAGUUAUCGCUUUGGAUUUCUCUUUUGUUUCUCGUUAGCAAUUGAAAAAAUCUGAGAUUUUAUAGACAUCGGUCCGCUCUAACUUUUCACAAAACAAAAUUAUAGUUUUUUCCGCUUUCUAUGAUUUAAUUUUUUGUCUCGGGACAUUUUUAGGCAUUUUUUUGUUGUCAGUGAAAUGGCCUAGACGAACCUUUUUUUCAUUGAUGAUUUCCUUCAGUAUAUGGUACACGUGAACUUGUGAAUUUCUAAAACAUGAACUUCACAUUUAUAUCUAAAACAUGAAUUUCUAAAACAUAAUGGUUUAGCUUUUUAGAAAUAUACUUCGGGGCGUAUAUAAUCGUCAGUGUUGAAUUAUUUUGAAUACAAGCUCAAAUUAUUUUAAACUUCUUGGUUGUCCUUUUAGAAAGAUGGAUAACUAUUUUGAACUCCGUCGCUCGUUAUUUAAGUUUAACCUUUCAGAAUUAUUUUAUUUAGUAACGAUGAAACUCUUUUUUGAUAAACUUUUUUGAACUUCUCUAUUUUCAUUUUAACCUUCUUGGUUUUGUAAUACAUAUUGAACUUCUUCGUUUUUAAAAUUUGAACUUCUAGUUUUUAUUAUAAAUAGAUUCAACAUAUUACUUUUAUUCCUUUUUUGGAUAAGAGAAACAAAAAUUGUAUUGUACAGUGAGAAGUUCAUUUUUUUGCAGUGUGAAAAGUGGCAUUUUGUUGUAAAUUUGUUGUUGUUUUAUUUCUAUCUUUUUUUACAAAAUGAACAAUGCAUGUUUCGCUGGGAGAAAUGCACAAACAUUGAAUGUAUAAGGGAAAUUACUACAUGCUUAUGCAGGUGCAGAAAUCUGAAUUAUUUAGAGAAGGGAGAAACUCUGAAUUUGUAGCUCGAUAGAACCUGAACUUCUGCUUUCUUUGUGAUUUGGGAAUCUGGGUAAGUUAAUAUCAUUAAGGAGCAGCAACGGAAUAGUAUAUGUUUGUGUACAGAUCCAAGAGCAUAGCUUUCACAAAACUUGUAUGAAGAUUAUCUCCAAAGAAGCAGGGACCAGGGGACUAGUCGGUCGCAGGAGAUGCAUCAAUUGCAGAGUUGAAGCACGUAAAUGGAAAAAAAUCUAAGAAGUCCAAGUAUUGUUACAACAAGAGCACUACCCGAUGCAGUUGGAAUGGCUGCACACGCACGACGAUCUGGCCCCGAUCCAAAGGGAGUGGCCUUGAAAGAGGAGGCACACAACAGUGGGUACCAGAUCUCUCCAAUCCACACGGGCCACGAGGAUGAAUGAUGAGCUGACCACACAAAAGUAAAACUGAAAAAAAGUGUCCAUGGAUCCGGUACAUACAAUCUCCUAUGAGCUUUGAAUCUGAAGCAGGUCGGCAGGGUUACUGACCGUUGCGAGUGAGAGAGACCAUGGAUGGAUCCUCCAAAAGAGAAGAAUCCUGCAGUGCUCACCAUUUUGUUUACUGUCAGCUGCUGGUAGAUCCUGUCGGUGAGGCGACGAGGUCUCACCGGCGCUAAUUAAUCUUGAAACCCAUGCCGGUGAUCUUAAGUCUGCAUGAGUAUAUAAUUAGCGCCAGUGGGGAGAUAAAAGUUCAAGUACGCGUAAGCUAGCUUUGCUCCCCGCAGGGUGAACGCAUGGGGGAUCACGCGGAGGUGAAUGGAGGCCCGACAUGUGGCCUUGGACAGCCGAAUCAGAUAGAUACAAGGGCGGCGCUGGCGGGAGGUCCAUCCAACCACCACACGUAGGUGGCCUUGGACUGAGGUGAAGCAUCAAUGACGGAUCUGGCCCCAGCUCUGGCCGGUGAACUUCGUGCCGCGGCCCAAUCGACCUGCAGGAGCAUGGUGGGGAGACGUGCAUGGGAUCUCUCCCCGAUGGUGAUCCAGGGCGGCGCCGGCGCAGGUGUUCAGCAGCGGAUGGUUGGCCGGGCCUCGCUCGUCAGAAUUUCGGAGAUGGCAAUGGAUCCAAGAGGAAGGGCAGGAAGCGGUAGGAAGCGGGGUAAAGAGGAGGUGCUGGGGUGGGCGUCGACGGUGGGAGGCAUGCCGGAGCCGGAUGGGCGGUGGCCGGAGGUGGGCGGGCGGUUUGGUAGGGAGGAUUCGGGAGGCGACGCGGGAGGUGGGCGACGGGGGAUGGGGGAUGGGUGUUUUUUUCUUCGUUUGAAUGCUCCGAUCUCAGGAACACCUCAUCGCCCCUAUAUAUAGAGCGUUGUGAUCCAAAUAACUAUAUUACUAAUUACUUAGUUUUCUAUGCAUUUAAUGUAGUCCAUAAUUCAAAUUUGAACUACAACCACAUGCUCCAGUGAAGCAAAAUGGGUGGGAAAUCGUACAUGUGUCAUUGGGUGCAUGUUUAGGUCUCGUUUAAGGAAUGAGAAUGAAUUACAAACUUGUCGUCAUCCUGAAACAUUGAGAAUCUUAGUUUUUAAAUCCCAGUAAAUCAAAAAGUCACCCAAAAAACAAGAAACUUGGCAUGGUUUCAUGACAUGGCACAUAUAUGCCGUGGUAAAAAAUCAUCCAGUUUGAGAAGAGGCACACACAUUAGUAGCUAAUGAAGUCCUUUUUGAAACAAAAAGCUGACACGUUAAUAUCGCAAAUGAUUGUAUUACAUUUACCAUGUCGAAAUUUAACCAUACCCGGUGGCGUGCGUGCAGCUAUUUGAUUAGACGGGACGGGCGCGAGAAGUCCGCCGUGCAGGCUCGACAGGAUGCACGCGAGCAGUCCGCCGUGUCGUGGUACUAAGUUUGACAAUAGAAUGGGGGGUAGAUAUGAGGAGGAAAGAUCCUAGCGACGGUGAAGUUGUGCACGCAAGAUUUAUGAGUUCAGGCCCUUCCCAGAUGAAGUAACAGCCCAACGUCUCGGUCCCCAGAGGCUUGGUCGAUUGGAUUAUGCGUGAAGUUACAUAGGGUGCGAACCCUUGUCCCAGAGGAGGGGGGGUGGCUUAUAUCGAGUGCGCCAGGACCCCAGCCAUCCCCCGUUACACAAGGUUCAAUGUACAUAAAGAGAGGACGCGACUGGUAACGCCAACAUUAAAGUGAUAUAAAUGACCCUUAAGUCUACUGAGUGAAUGUCCGACCAUUGCCAUCCAAAGUAACCAUAGAUAUUCUGUACUCUGAGUGGUUCCUGAUGGUUGAAUGAUUAUAUCCUGGUCGAAUGGAAUUGAUUUAUCCGAGUGGAACUCAUGGUCGAGUGUGUUGCAUCUUGAGGUGAUUCCAGUCGGUAUAGUUUGCUGUCCUUUGAAUGUCUUUGACUAUAGGGCAGUGCCCUUGGGAAGGGUACUUAGAUCAGGUAUAUUGCCCUACCCCAGGUACAUGUCAUCGUCAUUAGCCCCCGAAUGGUUCUGGAUCCGAGCGGAGAUGGAGUUGAAGAUGGUUUCGACCCAAUCUUUGCGCCGCGGAAGCAUUUUACUUAGUUUGGAGAACCAUGCAACAACUUCGACUUCAUUUUUAGUUGCCUUGAGCCAUUCAGAGAUUAUUGAGUGAAUUUUGCUGAUAAGCUUCGACUGUUGAUACUGCAUAAAAUCUCCGGCGUGAUUGACUGCUCUGCCGUUUCCGGAUCUCACGGGAUUCGAAAUUUGGGGAAGCGCAUGGGGCGGAGAGGGCCAUAGUAAUCAGAGCGGAUUAGGCAAGGUGCCUCGAUCCUUGCGCCACCUUUUUCAUCACGUACUGCGCACGUGACUAUUAUGGGAUUUGACAGGAUCGCCUAGACCCACAAGUCAGCCACUCAGGGAGCCAACCCAUAUAAGGCGUUCGGGCCAGGGCCUUUGCACUAUGCGCCCCAUUUCCCUCUUCUUCCUCUGCUUCUCCACCGCAUCUGCUCUGCUCUUAGUGCCGCCACCCAGUCCAAGCUCAAUCGGCCGCAAUGGGGAAGGAUAGGAUGGUGACUCUGGAGCGCGUGAAGGGGGUGACAACCAAGGCGAAGGGGAAGAAGACAAGCCGGGCAGGGUCGUCAUCGAGAAUUGGCCUGCCGCCCGGCUGGAUCCAGGGCGACUGGAUCUGGUCGAUGAUCCAGUGAGAAGACAUGGAGGAUUUGAUGGACGGGGGCUUGAUUCCCCACAAAUCUUGGCGGCUUCUGGAGGACGAGACCGAGCCGUGACCGCAAGAGGGUGAGUGCGUCCUUCUUGCGACCCAUGUCGACCGCAGCUUCUCUUUGCCUCCCCACCCCUUCUUCCGGGGUUUCCUGAACUUUGUUGGAGCCCAACUUCAUCACUUUUCUCCCAACAACAUAACAUACCUUGCCGUAUACGUGUCCAUGUGUGAGAAAUUUCUGGGUUGGCGACCGCACUGGGCCUCUUCAAACACAUUUUCACCUGUCAUUCUCAGUCGGUAAAAAAGGCCAAUCCGAGUGAUGAGAGGACACACGUGAUCCAGAUGUGGAGAGGUCCAGGGAUCCAGAUGAGAAAUAAAAGCACUUUCCCCGCCAUGAUUUUUCCCGAGUCAGUCAGGGGGUGGCAAUCGACUUGGUUCUAUUGUAAGGACCAACCGACCCCAGGCCAGUCGACUGGCCUUCCCCCGUUUUCCAUAGAAUGAGUAGAGAAGCCUUCUCCUUUGAGAGUGACUCCGGCUGAAAAUGCAGAGGUGAAUAUGUUGGUUGAGCGAGUGGUCCAACUUGUCCGCGAUGGGGUGACUGGCAUGGACUUGCUAGAAGUUUUUCUCAGUCGACGCAUCCAGCCACUCCAAGCCCGUGAUCAUCCAAUGUGGAUGUACUCGGGUGUUGAAGACAGUACUCGGAUCCACCUAGAGGAUGUCGAUGAGGGGACAGUGGCGCAGUGGCUGCAAGGUAUUACUGGCAACAAAGACAACCCCGAGGGGUCUAGGAGGGUUCCUCCACUCGAAAACACCAUCGAACCUGACAAGGUCUUAUUCUUUCCUCCCAAGUGUAUCUUGCUCUAAUAUGUGUUUGGUCUUGAAACUGAUUGAUAUCCACUCAACCCCGUGUAUUGUAGAUCUACACUGAGAUGCACUCGAUGCCGAACGGAGAGCAGGAGGAUGAGGGAGAGGCGAGUGGAGGGGACAAUGGUGAGUGGCAUUCUGACAAGGGGAGACGAGGAGAGCGAGGACUUGAGCAGUGGUGAGGAGGUCGACUCCCCUCCUCGCAUGGAAAGACGCUCCAAGCAGAGGCAGGACCCGGCCAGUGUCCAUGGCAAAGCGACACCGUCGACUGAACAGACUUCCAAGCGCACAAGGACAUCUUCUCCUGCGCCGACUGAGAAAGCCCCGAAGCAACUCAAAGUCAUGCCGCCAAAACCCCGGAAGGACUUGCCCAAGAUCAAAGUGGACAUCUCUAUCGCUUCUGGGUAAUCACUGAGCUCGACCUCUUAUUUUUAGCGUGACCCGUUCUUUGGUCGAUUCACUUUCCUAUUUUAACCGAGUAAAUUCUGAAAUUUGCAGUGCUGCCGCUGGGACUUCAAUGUACCAAGAUGAUGAAGACGAGGAGAUGGAGGAUGCAGUCACCUCCCACGCGGGUAUAACUUUGGUAAUUUGGUCUUUACUUUAUUAGCCAUUUUGAUGGUUGACUGAACUCAUAUAACUGAUUGCUUUGCAGCUCCACCAAAUGUCAUUGAACUUCCAGAUGAUGACGAAGAUGUGGCACAGAGAGUCAUGGGGAGGAGGGGUAGGACUUAGAGAAAGAAGGCACCAGCUGGCGAGACGUCCCAGUAAACGCCGGUGAUGGAACCAGUGGUUCAGCAGUCCAGAGACGUGAACCAUGCUUCUGUUACUUUUCCUAUUCCAGUGUCAGCUGAACGCCCUUCCUCGUCGACUGCACAAGUCCCUGAUUCAUCUGUCCAGCACCACACCUCGGAUCCUCAAGCUGCCGUGACUGGACCCACGUCUCCACUGGUCAUCACCCAUCACGUCCCGGAAGACCAAGUAGGCGCUGCUUCAGAAGCAAUACGCCAAGCAGGCUUGAUGAUGGAGCGGAUGAAGACAAUGCACGAGACCAGCCAAGCCACCUAUGAUGCCAGUGCAGCCCUCCAAGCUAAUGUCCAGGUUAGUUGGUUUCCGACUGUUCUCCUAUCUUGACGCUUGUUCUGUUAGGAUAUGCUACCCGAAAAACUUGCAUUGUGCAUCCAUCUGUCAGUCUGUUCUUCACAUCUAUAUGCAUGCUGGGUGUUUCAAUUUAUGGUGAGUAGUCUUUCCAGUUGAGUCGACUAGGUUAUGUCAAUUGCAACUUUGGACUAGUGGGGGCACGCAGAGUGCACCCACUGGGUGUAGUCCCCGAGGCCGCUGUCGAAUGUAUGAUUUGGCAGGGGUCUUGAUGAAAAUAUCUUGUUGUUCAGUUCUUCCACUCGGUCUGGGCGGACCAUGUCAAGUGGAACCUGAACUAGUGGGGGCACGCUGAGUGCACCAACUGGGUGUAGUCCUCGAGACCGCGGUCGACUGCAGGCAGUCGGUUUGGGUCUGAGAAUAACUGUUGCCUCUUUUUUUACUCGGUUUGGGCGGACCAUGUCGAGUGGAACCUGGACCAGUGGGGGCACGCUAAGUGCACCCAGUGGGUGUAGUCCUCGGUACUACUGUUGAAUGUUUGAUUCUGCAGUAGUCUUAGAGUUCUUUUCACUCGGAAGCGAAUAAUCUUCGAUUCUGUCCGCUGAUGCAUCUUUUACUGACUUUAGAAAUCUUGUGAGCUCAUCUCCAAGUUUUCUGAAUUCAAGGAGAAGCAGAGACAGCUCAACCUUGAUCUGGAGUUGGCCAAGCAGAACUUGCAGAAGGCCAAAGACGAAACAGCUGGUAUGGAAGGUAACAACUUGUCGACUAUGUAAUUGGAUUGUUUCUCUAGUCGUCUCCUCAUUCUUCUCUCUGAACCGAGUGCUUGUUUGUUGUAUAUAUAUAUUUUUAGAGAAAAUGAGGCAGGCUCUGGCACAGAAGGAUCUUGAUCUUGCCGCAGCGCAGAAGGAGGCUCAGGAGAAAGCAACACUCGCCGAUAAGAAGCUAGCUUCAGUCGGGGCGCUCGAGGAAGACAACGCCAAUUUGAAGACAUCUCUUGCCAAGGCCAAUCGAUAAGUGACCCGUCUGAAGAAAGACAAGGUAGCUUUGAAUGAUAAGAUUGAAGGCAUUUCUCACAAGAGAAGUGACAUAGAGGGCUAUCUGGGAGCACUCACCAAGAAGAUAUUCCUUAUGCUUGAAGGUAUCUUUCCUUGUCCGACUGUUUUGCUGUCGUCGAGUCACCAUAAAUCGGCCGACUCAUUAUCUCUUUAUGGUUGCAGAAUUCUGUCAAAACAUUAAGGAAGAAACUGGGAGAAUCGAGACAAGCUUGGACCCCAUCAAUUCUCCUGUCAAUGAUGAAGCUGCUAUGAAUGUGCACCGACUGGAGUCCUGUCUUGCCAGCAUUACAGACUACCUCGCUCGCCUGAAGGUUGCGGUGUCGCGGAUCGACAUGGUGCUUUGGCCGAAGGAGACGCUCCAAAAUGACCUCGAAUCCUUGAUGACUCGACUCAAUGAGAUCCCUAGUCGAGUGUAGGAAUGGAAGAAGUCAUCUGCUCGAUGCGGUGCUGACGUAGUUCUGUCACUUGUUCAAGUCCAUUGUAAGGAGGCUAAGGAAGAAAAGCUAGCAGCGAUCAAGGUUGCCAACACAAAGAGACUCGACUUCCAGUCUUUCAUGGAGACCUUCAUUGCUGCCGCUACUCGAAUUGCAGAUGGAAUCAACCUAGAUGAGUUCGUUGAGCCUGCCAGUCCCCCUCCUGCGGAGUGAACAAACUUUUUAUGAUCUUAUUAAAUUUGCCUCGGUAUGCCGAGUGGUUUUGUAACCGUUAAAACUCCUUCGGGCCGGAUGCACGAGUACUUUAAUCUGCUAUCUGGAACCUCGUAGGAUUUAUCUAAACUUUGUUGGUUUUGAAUCUCUUGGCUCUGAGUGGAAUUUGAUUCUUCAGUCUGAAUUGCUACUGACUCUGUGGUGCAGCUCAGUAGAGUGGAUCAUGAACAAGGGCACUCGGUACUGUCCAUGACCUGCACCUUGUCGUCCUUGCGGAUUAGGAUGGAAUAGACAUUGUAUUUCUGCCGCAGCUCUGAGGAUAAGGUCGCAGUUGACCUGCACCUCGUCGUCCUUGUGGAUCAGGAUGGAGCGGACAUUGUAUUUGUGCCGCAUCUCUGAGCGUGUUUUUAAACUUAGGCGAGUGCGGGACUGCAGCUAAGCCUCCGAGUGGGAGGAUUUCUCUCCACUCGGUAGUUUUUUUUAAAACUUAGACGAGUGCGGGACUGUAGCUAAUCCCCCGAGUGGGAGGAUUGCUCUCCACUCGGUAGGAUAUUUUUAAACUUAGACAAGUACAGGACUGCAGCUAAGCCCCCGAGUGGGAGGAUUGCUCUCCACUCGGUAGGAUUUUUUCAAACUUAGGCGAGUGCGGGACUACAGCUAAGCCCCCGAGUGGGAGGAUUGCUCUCCACUCAGUAGGAUUUUUUAAACUUAGGCGAAUCGGAUUCGCAGCUAAGCCCCCGAGUGAGAGGCUUGCUCUCCACUCGGUAGGAUUUUUGAAACUUAGGCGAAUCGGAUUCGUAGCUAAGUCAUCCACUGGGGGAUUUCGGACAGAUGUAAAAGUAAUAACAAUCAUCUAGGAGAUUGUAAAACCACGUUGUCGGUGUCAAAACCGGCGGAUCUCGGGUAGGGGGUCCUGAACUGUGCGUCUAAGGCGGAUGGUAACAGGAGGCAGGGGACACGAUGUUUACCCAGGUUUGGGCCCUCUUGAUGGAGGUAAUACCCUACGUCCUGCUUGAUUGUUCUUGAUGAUAUGAGUAUUACAAGAGUUGAUGUACCACGAGAUCGUAGAGGCUAAACCCUAGAAGCUAGCCUAUGGUAUGAUUGUAUGUUGUCCUACGGACUAAACCCUCCGGUUUAUAUAGACACCGGAGGGGGCUAGGGUUACACAGAGUCGGUUACAAGGGAGGAGAUCUACAUAUCCGUAUUUCCUAGCUUGCCUUCCAUGCCAAGGAGAGUCCCAUCCGGACACGGGAUGAAGUCUUCAAUCUUGUAUCUUCAUCGUCUAAUAGUCCGGCUGUCCGGAGACCCCCUAAUCCAGGACUCCCUCAGUAGCCCCUGAACCAGGAUUCAAUGACGAUGAGUCCGGUGCGCAGUAUUGUCUUCGGCAUUGCAAGGCGGGUUCCUCCUCCGAAUACUCCAUGGAAGAUUUUGAACACAAGGAUAGUGUCCGGUUCUGCAAAACAAGUUCCACAUACCACCGCAGAGAGAAUAAUAUUUCCACAAAUCUAAUCUGCUGACACGUUUUGACUACAUGACAUCACGCCAUGGCCCGGUCAUUAUUUGAACCGUUUUUCUCAAAUAGCACCGCACAUAUCGCGAGGCGGUUUUCUUGACAUGUCUUGUCAAAGAAGAGAUCGUGUUCCCCUCAUUAUGGGAUUCUCAUCGAUACGGACGUGGGUAACCCAACUGCGCCAUCAAUUACGGCUCUUGGGGAAUAAGCGCUUUUACCAGGCAAGUGGGGAGGCGCAUUGCCUCCUCCGCCCUUAUAAAGGGACGAAGAUUCACUCUUUUCACCCAUGCCUUCUUCCUCCUUGCUUACCCAUUCCCGCACACUCGAGCUCUAGCGCCCAAGCUCACGUUCUUCUUCUCAAACCACUCCAAGCAUGCCCGGAGCAGGAGGCAAGUGGAUGGUCGAAGGAGAACAUCAAAAAGUUACGGGAAGCCGGAUAUCUAGCCACGGAUAUCGCGCACCGACUGCCAGAUGCGGAGCAGAUCAUCCCAACGCCCGAACCCCAUGAGAGGGUAGUUUUUCUUACCCACUUUGUCCGUGGAUUGGGAUUUCCCUCCACCCAUUUGUCCGCGGGCUCAUGUUCUACUACGGGCUGGAUUUUCAUGAUCUGGCCCCCAAUUUCAUCCUCAACAUCUCGGGGUUUAUCGUCGUGUGCAAGGCCUUCCUCCGCAUCAAGCCCCAUUUCAGCCUGUGGCUGAGGACCUUCAAUGUCAAACCGAAGGUAGUGGUCGAACAGCAAGCAGAGUGCGGAGGCGCCAUGGUGGCAAGGUGCCUAACGUCACUUGGCUUGAAGGCUCCUAUGUGGAGACCAUAAAGGGGUGGCAAUCGGGGUGGUUCUACAUCACCGAACCACGCGACACCAACUGGGUGGCGGCCACCGAAUUCCGAUCCGGAAUCCCCACACGGCUCACCUCCUGGAAAGAGAAGGGCCUGUCCUGGGGUUCCUCGGUAGAGCUGAACGGACUCUAGACCUGCAUCAAGAACAUGAUGAGCAAGAAAAUUAAGCUUGUCAACGUGGUCCAGGUCAUGCUCUUCCGUCGGAUUCUCCCGUGUCAACAAUGGGUAUUCAACUUGUGGGAGUUUGACCCGGCCAAGCACCAGACGCUACGAGAGCUCUAUGGCAUGACGCAUGAGGACGUCUGGAGGGUCCUGUUUAAGGGCGCCGAGGUACCUCCUUCCCUCACCGAGGACCGCGGACUCAGCGCAAAGCGCCGCGCCAAUCCGGUGAGUUUUUAUAUUUCACAGGGUAUCUAUUUGCCCCAGUUUAAUCAUGUGCGUGAUCUAAGCCUUCCAUGCCUUUAACAGGACUGGGUGAAGACAGCGGAGCAGAUCGAUUGCCCCGCCCCCCUGUUGGAAGAUCCUGCAGAUGCUCUCCUGACAGAGAUGCUGGUUCCAGCACCUUACGAGGUGCCGGUGAAGAAGGCCAAGAAGAAGGCCGCGGGGACCCGAAAGGGUCUCCAGCGCAAGGAUGUAUCGGACUCAUCGUCCGAUAACUCUGACGCGCCCUCCUCCCACGAAAACGAGGAGGAAGAGGAAAGUUCUCUCCCCCCUAGCCGGGGGAGACAAGAAAAGGAAGGCCGGCCCAACUGGGGAGGCCGAAGGGUCCAAGAAGGGCAAGACCCUCCCUCCGGACUGCUCCACGACGGCCGUGUACAACGACGACGAGUGGCUACCCAGGGUCAAGCCCGUGGAGAAGUUGUAAGUAUCUAGACACCAUAGUAAUUCAUGGUAUGUUUUACUGCACUGCUUCUUCUCAUGCCGAAUAUGAUUAUGCAGUCCGUCCCGAGCUCAUCUUGAUGUAACUUCAUCGAGCGGUUCGUUGGACUCGUUGGAUAUGAACAACAAUUCUCUUCCGACCACCUCAACUCCUUGCCCUGCGGACAACAUGGAGGUGUUGUCUCAACAGGCCGGUCCAAGGGGAGGCAGUCCUGGGGGUGCCUCGAGGCGACCUUCCAGACCCUGGGCGCAAAGGGAUCCGGACUCCCAUGGGCUCCAGGUUCGGCCCCCAGCCGAACACUGCACCGGAAUGUUCGGUGGUUCCGGACUCUGGCGGGCGACCCCCCGUUAAGGGGGGCAAGCCGCCUGUGCCGGUGUCCUCUGUCUAUCCAGAGGCACCGGACAGCUUGCUGGAAGCGCUUCGCGGCGCUUCCAUCGACGAAGAGCACCGUACUAUCAUGAGUGCGGUGAUCGAGAAAGUUCGGUCCGCCAAAAACGGACUGACUAAAGCUUGCGCCAGCCUCCUAACAGGCUUCGAGGUAAGCAAUCAAAAUAUAAGAAAAUAUUACCGCAUAGAUAGUAGCCCCUGAUGCUCUGUUCGGCGUUCGAGUAGAAAGACCGAAUAGAGGAUCAAAUGAUGACUCAGGAGUCUAAUCAGAAUAUAUCUAUGUGUAUGUGCAGGCUUCACUGCUGGCCAAUGCUGCACGUAUUGCGGAGGUCUCUGUGCUGAAGCAGGACCUGGAGCGGUCCGAGAACGAGCUUGGCCUUACCAAGAGGCAUCUCGAGGAUAUAAAAUAAAAGAAAUUUGGGUGUAAAGUAAUAGGAUCAUCAUGAAUUUUCCAGGGCCACGACCGAAGUGGCAACCCUAAGGAAGGUGCUCUCCGAGGCCAAAGACAAAGCGGCAAGGAGCGCAUUGAACGAGAGAAGCAUGAAGCCCGGGUAGGCGAGGUGCAGCAAGAGCUCGAGGCUCUCGCCAAAAAGCAUGAGUCCUUGGAGCUUGACUCUAAGACACGAGAGUCCGAGCUCGUGCAGGCGCUUGAAAGCGUCCGGAGCGCCAAGGCCGAAGCACAUAAGGCCCUCUAGGAGAUUGAUGUGGUGAAGAAGAUAGCAGCGGGUAAGGCAUUCAUUAUGCAAAGCAAGCACGUGAAGGGGACUUUCCUUUUUCUUACCCGAAUUCGGAGCUCUCCAGGAGCGUUUGCAAAUCUUCCCCGCAGUGUACUCGAUGCCGCGGAGUUUUACUGAGCUGGGGAGGGGAGCUCGACGGAGAAGUUGUUCUGGUCUCAGUAUACUAGGACCGAACACCCCGUGCCCUUGAGCGACCAGCUGAAGCAGUUGGUCGAGCUUCACAAGGCGGCCGAACAAGCCAUGAGGGGCUUUAUAGUCCGGAUGUGGCCUGGUGAGCCCCUGUCCGGCAGCUACUUCGGUCUGGUAAGGUGGCUCGUCGAUGCCUACCCAUGGCUUGAAGUCAUAAAGCGGUCCGUUUGCAUCGAGGGUGCGCGCAGGGCUUUUGCCCGGGCAAAGGUGCACUGGGUGAAGCUGGACGCCGUGAAGCUAGUGAAGGAGGGGCCGCCGGAGGGCAAGGAGCAUCGCUGCCCCGAGAUGUACUAUGAGAGUGUCCUGAAGGGUCCCCGCCUUGUGGCGGAUGACUGUGCCAAGGAUGUAAUUUUUGAAUGAACAUGCUCAUGUGAUCCUGUAAUAUGAAACGAGUUCAUUUGCGCCAUGCGACGCUUUUUUAAUUUAAAAUAUUACCUUAUGUGCGUCCGUUUGUAAAAUCUGAGAGUUGGCCAGUCGCCGGCUUCUGCCCCAAUGUAACUAGUACUGGGGUGUUCGGGAUAAACCUGAGCACUCUUUACCCCGAUUUUGGAUCCUUCAAGGGAGGUGUUCAGCGCCACGAACUAGGGAAUCAGACUGUAAUGCUUUAUCACUCUCACUUAGCCAUAGAAGUCUACAAUUUUAAAUUUUGGCGAAGCCCCUGGUAUUUGGAAGGCCGAAUUUGGGGCGCUAUACAUGUCUAAGCCGGGCAAGGCCGACUCCUCGCCCGAAGCGGAAAAAGUCUUUAAGGACUUGAGACCUCUCGAACAGCAACAAGUCUCUCGCCUUAUCAUGACUGUCAGUUUUCGGCUUUCUCUACUGAGGUGCUCGUCCGGAAGAAUCGGGACACAAUCGCAGUAGUUCUCCCACCGCUACCUUAGCUGAUAUAGCGGAACAUAAGGUACCAAAGCAUGGGAGCCGGGCAAACCCAACAUUUGACCAAAGACAUGAUUCCGAGCUGAUCCAUAUAAUGCUAUAAGUUCGGGGUGUCGCACUGUCAAAAGUGUUCGGACUUCUUGCGCCGUAUUAUGGGGUAAACGAAAGCCCCUGGCAUACUGACUGUACCGAACGUGCGGGUGCAGAUUGUCGUAAAUGGACAUAAAGAAAAAAUGGAAUGAAUAAUGCAAUAAUAGACUAAUGCUAUGCAUUGUUAUUAAAUAAUACGUCGAAGUGUACUGGUAUAGGUAGUGCAAUAAGCAUAAAGUAGGACUAUUCAAAAUAUCCUAUCCAAGGGCAAGCUGCGUAUGGAUAGUAGAAAGCGGGUAUUAUUAUUAGAGACCACCUGGGGGUUCCCGUGUACUUCUUAGCUUCUUGCCGCCUUGGUUGUUCCUUCCCGUAAUGUGUCCAGCAAUCAUACUGCCGGAAAGGGCUUCCAAAGAGUUAGGCCUUGAAAUAGAAAAGAAGUAAUAAAGGUAUACAGCCCCUAGUGCGGUUAAGCCGCAUUAUGGGACGUGCCUUGAUCGUGCCCCUGCCUAUGUCCAUGGUAUUUUUAGUGCGUAAUCAUGUAUGUGCGGCACGGAUUUCGUCGCUUGACUGGUACUGGGACAGGGGCCGAAUUGCUAGGCGAGCUCUGAACGUGCCAGGCGAUCCUGUUGCAGUUUACUCCGGACACGCUUGAAGGUGUUUGGGGGCUGUAUCGCCCAAUUAGUGGUUUUCCUUAAAAGGCUGCUUUGUGCUUCUGCUGCGAGGGCCGCAGUGUGCUCAUCCGUGCGGAGUGAGCGUUCUGUUUUUCCAUUCACUGUUAUGACCCCUCGAGGUCCUGGCAUCUUGAGCUUGAGGUAUGCGUAAUGCGGUACUGCAUUGAAUUUUGCAAAUGCAGUUCGUCCGAGCAGUGCAUGAUAGCCACUGCGAAACGGGACAAUGUCGAAGAUUAACUCCUCGCUUCGGAAGUUGUCCGGUGAUCCGAAGACUACUUCCAGUGUGAUUGAGCCCGUGCAAUGGGCCUCUACACCUGGGAUGACGCCCUUAAAGGUGGUUUUGGUGGGUUUGAUCCUCAAGGGAUCGAUACCCUUUUUUCGCACUAUAUCCUGAUAGAGCAGGUUCAGGCUGCUGCCGCCGUCCAUAAGGACUCGAGUGAGAUGAAAUCCAUCGAUGAUGUGGUCUAGGACCAGUGCAGCGGAUCCGCCAUGACGGAUGCUAGUGGGGUGAUCCCUGUGAUCAAAGGUGAUCGGGCAAGAGGACCAUGGGUUGAACUUUGGGGUGACGGGCUCCAUCGCAUAGACGUCCCUUAGUGGACGCUUCUGCUCCCUCUUGGGAAUGUGGGUUGCGUAUAUCAUGUUCACCAUCUUCACUUGUGGGGGGAACCAUUUCUGUCCUCCCGUGUUCGGCGGCCGGGGCUCUUCCUCGUCAUCACUAUGCAGCCCCUUGUCCUUGUUCUCGACAUUUAACUUGCCGGCCUGCUUGAACACCCAGCAUUCUCUGUUGGUGUGAUUGGCUGGCUUGUCGGGGGUGCCGUGGAUUUGACACGAGCGAUCCAGUAUGCGAUCCAAACUGGAUGGAGCCGGAGUACUUCUUUUAAAUGGCUUUUUCCGCUGACCAAAUCUAGAGCCUAUGAAUCCGGCAUUGACUGCCGUAUCCUCAGUGUUAUCGCCGUUAUUGCAACGCUUUGGUCUGUUACAAUGUUGUUUGCCGUUGGCAUCUUUGGUAUCCGAAGUGCCCGGAUUCCUCGAUGUGUUAUUACUACGAGCCAGCCAGCUAUCCUCGCCCGCGUAGAAGCGUGUCAUGAGUGUCGUGAGGGCUGCCAUAGACUUCGGCUUCUCUUGGCCAAGGUGCCGGGCAAGCCACUCAUCGUAGAUGUUAUGCUUGAAUGCCGCUAAGGCCUCUGCAUCCGGACAGUCGACAAUUUGGUUUUUCUUAGUCAGGAAUCGUGUCCAGAAUUGUCUGGCUGAUUCCCUUGGCUGCUGAGUUAUAUGGCUGAAGUCACCAGCAUCCGGUGGUCGCACAUAAGUGCCCUGGAUGUUGUCAAGGAAUGCGUCUUCCAGAUCCUCCCAACUGUCGACGGAGUCUGCUAGCAAGCUAUUUAGCCAAUGCCGAGCUGGUCCUUUGAGUUUUAGUGGGAGGUAUUUGAUGGCAUGUAGAUCGACACCGCGAGCCAUGUGGAUGUGAAGGAGGAAAUCCUCAAUCCAUACAGCGGGGUCUGUUUACCAUCAUAUGAUUCGAUAUUUAUGGGUUUGAAACCCUCCGGGAAUUCAUGAUCCAUAACUUCAUGAGUGAAGCAUAGGGGGUGUGCGGCGCCUCUGUGCCAGGCUAUAUCCCGACGCAGUUCAUGUGAGUCUUGUCUGCUGUAUUCGGCCCGGCCGGAUUUGCUUUUGGUGUAUCCGACACGACGAUCAUCGUCCCGUGUUGGCGCGCGUGCCCGUGACCCAUAUAUUGACCUUGCAAUUUUUUCCUUACUGUCCAAUACGUAUCGCAGGUCCCCUGUGUUGCCCCGGGCCUUAGUAUUUUUGAUUGAGUGGCGGCAGGGUGCAGGCUGAACUUCAGGCUGAAAUGCCUCUCUGGCUCGACCACAUAGUGGCCGGUUAGCCGCAUUGUACUCUGGUGAAUGAGGUUUCAAUUCUUCCUCCUCGAGGUGAGGUAGCAACCUACGUUUUGGGUAACUCUUGGAGGGGCGCUCGAGUUCGUACUCCUCGGCCGCAAGGACUUCGGUCCAUCUGUUUGCUAGCAAGUCUUGAUCAGCUUGAAGCUGUUGCUGCUUUUUCUUCAGGCUAUUUGCCGUGGCCAUAAGCCGGCGCUUGAAGCGCUCUUGCGCGACGGGGUCCUCAGGCACGAUAAAUUCUUUGUCGCCGAGGCUCGCCUCGUCUUCGGAGAGAGGCAUGUAAUUGUCCUCCUCCGGUUCUCCAUCUGCUGCCUGCUCUAUGUAGGAGAUAUGCCCUAGAGGCAAUAAUAAAUGAUAUUAUUUAUCUCCGAGUUCAUAACUAUGUUUAUGUUCUAUACUAUAAAUGCUAUGGUUCUCGAGUCUGCAAUAACCACGAGGCUCGGAGGAAGACUCAUAUGCACGUGUGGAAUAAUAAACGGUAAAAUGUAUUCCUAGUCUGGCCUCUAAGACUAGCUCAAGUGUUGCAUGAUGGUUCUGUUUUCCUGAUCAUGGGCAUGUCUAUGCCAGCAACCUUGAGGGCACAAUGUUAAGAGAACAUUUGUGUUGAAUCGACCCGGAUUGAUGUUAUGCUAAGAGAUUCAUUCGUCACAAGUUAAUGGUACAUAACACAGAGAUGGUUAACGUUUGCAUGAUUCCUUAGACCGUGAGAGUAUCGAGUUUCUUCAUGCUUGCUUCAUGAACUUUGGGGUUUGUUAAACGUCAUCCGUAAAUGGGUGGCUAUUACGGCGGCUUACGAGUUCAUGGAAAAGUGUGUCAAGUAACUUGAUAGCUCAAUAUUGGGAUUUGCUCCUCCGACGAUGGAGAUAUAUUCUCGGGCCCUCUCGGUAUUACGGUAUCCAUCAUCGUCUGGCCAGACACAGUGUGAUUUGAUCACUAGGAUGCCGGAACACGGAAACUAGAAAAGAGAACAAAACGGGUAACGAGGUAACUUGCAUGGUGGACAAAUUGUUUGUCCACGGGGAUGCAAUAAAUCUCACCUCGGGUGUUUGUGACAUAUCGCGAAGCAAUAGGAAUAGCUCACUGCAACUGGAGGUUCACUCGAAUAUUUAUUCGUGUGGGUAUAGGGGUCAAUAUGGGUAUCCACGGCUCCGAUGUUGAUCAUUGAUCGGAAGGGGUUCCGGGUCAUGUCUAUACUUCACCGAACCUAUAGGGUCACACGCUUAAGGGUCAUCUAUCUGCUGAAUACUAGACAAGGAGUCUGAGAGAAAAUCACCGGAAAAGUUUCGGACAGCGGAAAAGGUUCCGCAGAGAGAGGUCAUCGGAUGAGUUCCGAUGAAACUGAAAAGUUGUUUCAGGGGAUACCAUUAAGUCAAAUUGGUUUCCGCACAUGCCUGAUAAUUCUUGGAGGGUGCCAGAAUCAUGCUGGAAGCUUUCUGGAAUUUUCCGGGAUAAUAACUGGAUAUGCUCCGGAGCUGCCAGAACCACUUCAGAUGCUUUUCGCAGAUGAAAAUCACUAAACCGGAAUUGUUUCGGAACGCGUUGAAAAUCAUUUUGGUGGGUACUGGAAAUGUUCUAAGCCCACAUAAAUAUUUUCAGUUCGAACGGACGCUGAAAAAUGUCAUCGCGAAUAGUGAAAGUACUUUUUGGGAUAUUUAUGGAAAGCCACCUUUUGGGGCUUUUCCCAAAAGGCUUCUAGAAGGACUUCGGGAUCAAGGAACCCCCUUUGGGGGGCCCCCAUGAAGGUGGGACGUUGGAGGGUGCAGCUCCUCCAUGGGGCUCCACUUGUCAUCCCUUUAUGCCUUUUAUACCCUUUGUGUGUGACAUAAAGUGGGGGCACUUUUGGUAUUUCAGAAUACCCAUCCUACCCCUUGGUUUCCCUAUAAAUAGGAGGUGAGGGGGCUGCCCAAACCUCAUCCAUUCUCACAUACAAGUGCCAUGCAAUGAUCUGGCUUGUUCUCUCCCUCCCACGAAAAGAGUUUCGUAGAGCCGUAAGGCUAUCUGGGUUCCGGCAGGAACUAGUUCUGGACAGCGAAGCCCUGCCGGAUAGAUGACACCGUAUGUGUGCAACUCUGUAGAGAGAUCGUAGUUUCAGUCUUAGUUCAUGAGUGCCUCCUGAAGGGCUGUCUGUGUGACCGUCCGAGUUUUGAAGGUCCUCCCGAAGGGCUGUCCGAGUGACCGUUCGAGUUUCGAAAGUCCUCCCGAAGGGCUGUCCGCGACACCGUCUGGGGGGGGGGGGGCUGUUCGACCGCCUCCCGGAGGGCUGUCUGAGGAGCAGAUGAGGGUAUACAUCCUCGCAGUUGGGAGGUUGUAAAUCCUAGCUGCGAGGAUCUGCACCGCCGAUCGUCAUCGACUCUACUUCCCGCUGCGCUACGAGUCGGUAACGAAAGAGAUCAAACCAUGUAUGCAGUCUCCAUAGUGGUCCUGGGCUGGUGCGUAGGUCAGAAAUUUUUGUUUUCUGCCGCGUUCCCCUACAGUGGCAUCAUGAGCCGUGCUAUGCGUAGAUGCAGGUUCCGAUCUAGAAUACAUGGAGAUGUAUGGGCAUUGCAUAAUAUAAUUAGGUAGUAGAUGAGAUCUAUUGCUGAAAAUUAUUUAUAAUGGUGACAGAUGAAUUCUGUUACCCAACGUUCUUGUUGCUUCCCUAGAAUUUGCGUUUGCUCAAUCUCAAGAUAGCAUGGUGGAAUUUGACAAAGUUCUGGCAAUCCGUGAUCCUUAUUGAUCAUGGAAGUGCUAUCAAUUCUUCGGGUUCUGCCGUAGUCAAAAGAAAGAUGAAAUUCGCAGAUGUAAGGGCAUUGCAGAUAUGAUCUGCACGGGGGUCAUGCGUAUGACGAAGUUUAGUAUGGGGCUUGAGAUUUAAUUAUCUCGUGUUUCGUACACCCCGAGAUGUUAAUCUAGCAACUUGAAUAAUCAUACUUGAUGAUAAAACGUUGGUAGCUGCGGUUUAAGUCAAAACCUUAGAAGCCACAUAAAAUAAAAUUUUUCAUAAACCGAUUAGAGGCGUCUAACUUGGUUUUGCAGGAUGUGCAUGUGAUGUGGUAUAGCAAUGCUCAUAUUCAAUUUGAUUAUGUAUGAGAUGACUAUAUGAUGUAAUUAACAUGACCUGCGUGUCAUGAUUCGGCAUGAUGGCUGGAGCCAUAUAAUUGUCACUUUAAUGACCUGCGUGUCAACCUUAAGUAAUGCACUUAUUUUAUUAGCUAUAUAGAUAGCAAUAUUAUCUGGUGCAUCAACAGGGUGGUGGCAAUCUUCGUGAAGGUGAACACCGACGCGAAUGCCGAAGAGGAAGAAAUGAAACACUUCUCCGUCAGAAAGGGCUAUACCAUAUCAUGCUAUUAUGAAUUGCCUGAGAUGUUUAUCCCUUAUGAUGCACCCUUCUUGAUUGCGCGGUAGUCGCUUUUUUAGGGUGAUCUCUCACUUAAAAUAUCAAAGUAGUUAGUGUUCACCCAAGUGUAGCACCAUCUGAAAUUCGUAUCUUUUCGGGGUGCGCCAUGUACACAUGAGCAUGAACGAAUCGAGAGGAAUGAGGCGGGUGAGGUCAGACCUCGCAGCAAGAUCACUUGGUUGUCUUUGACGUUCAGGCAGGAGAGUCCUGAGCUCGGAACACGCCCAUUGAAAGAUGAACAAGAAUCACAUAGAGAUGUGAUCGGCAAGUUGGCCUACCGAUUGAAAUUCGUGUCAUCAGUGAUGAACCCGUCAAUGGCAUCGAAUAGAAAUAUGGAUCUUGAAUCACUCUAAAUCAAUUAUGAGAGAUAUUGAUUUGAGUGGGGGCGCACUGUUGAAUUAACAUGUUUAAUUCUCAGUGCAAUUAAUUAUGAACACUGUCUAAGUGUUUCUUGCAAAAUAGUUGUAGAAUAAUGGCUUGCGUUUCCACCUUCCCUGUUAAAAUUGAAUAGCUGUUAAAUAUCUGGUUAAAACUUUAUGUUUGGUAACGUAAUGUGAGGAUUGUCCUCAAAAGUGCCGAGAAGGAUUUUGUCCUAUCGCAUGCUUUCCAUAUCCUCCCGCUAAUGCUAUGGAUCAUGUGACUCUCGUCCUUCGAUCCAAAAGCUAGAAUUGUGUUACGGUCAAGUGGAAUAUGUUUGCUUCCAUGAAACCCAAACUUCGAAAGUUGGGAUAGUUAUAUGAUAUUCAUGGAACUAAAAAUUAUUUUCAGAUACAAACAAAGCAAUGUUUGUUUGCAAGUAUUAGUAAAAGUGUUUACUAUGCAUUUGACUGUUGGGAAAGGGAUCCAGAAGAACGCCUGUCAUAUAAAGAAAGGUGAAUAAAACAACAACUUAAAGAGAAAGGAUGUGUCCAAAGGGUGUUAGUAUGACUUACACGCCUAGGAAGUCCGGGGCUAACGCCACUCUUAAGUUGGGUGCUUCUUUUGCGAGUAGGAGAAAUACUAAAAGUUAAACAAUUAGAAGUAUAAAGGCAAAAGAGAGAUGACUGGAAUAUCCAUCUCAUGUAUGAAUGUCAUACAAGUUUUUGAUGUAUAGUAGGCUGGUCAAAGAUAUAGUUCUUGGGAAUUAUGGUUAAACAUGUUAAUCACUAAUUCUUGGGUAUUGUGAUUUAAUCACAAAGAUACCCGCUCGAUUGCAUUCUGUUGCGAAUCAAUGUAAGAGCUACUAUGGCCUAAAGACUAGCCAGAAAUGAGGUUAAUGUAUACACAGGGAACAUACUAAAUGUUACUAUACCUUCCAUCGGUGUAUUGUUGUCUGUAUUUAUUUUCAUAAUUCAUAUAGAGUUUUACAAACUCUAGCCCAUUGCAUAAGGUAUCUUGCAAGAAGGUUGUUCAUAAGAGAACCUUUUAUGUUCGAUGUUAUGAAUAACACAAGGGCCAUACUUUCAUUAUGAAUGAGAUGUAUGUUAUGAAUAUUGAUAAUAAUACAAUACCUCUAGGUUUACUUUCAUAAUUCAUUUUAGAGUUUCUUACACUCCAGCCCAUUGCAUAAUGUUUAUUGCAAAAGACUUGUUCAUAAAAACAACAAUUGUUGUUAAGUAUUAUGAAUAACAUGAAGGGCCAUGCUUCCAUCCAAGAUGGGAUGUAUGUUAUGAAUAUUGAUGGUAAUAUGAUACAUCCAUAACACUGACGCUAAAUGUCGCAAGACUAAAAGAAUACCACACAAGUGUGGCACUACAUUUGGUCACAUUGGAGAAACCCGCAUGGAAAAUUCCAUUAUGAUGGAUUUUGAAGUCUUUUUGAUUUUGAAUCAUCUGACAUUUGCAACUUUCCUCCGAAAAGUGAAGUGACUGAAAUACCGUUCACAGGCCAUAAGGAAUGAGCAACAAACUUAUUGGUGAUCAUACAUUUUGAUGUGUGUAGUUAAAUAAAUGUUGUUGCAAGUAGUGGAUUUAUAUAUCUUCAGACAUGACUCAAGUAGAUAUAUGGAUAUUUGCUUGAUGAGACGUAAGUCUGGAUCUUUUGAAAUCAUUCGAAAGGUUUUCAAAAAUGAAGUAGAAGUUAUUGUAACAAGGAAAUUAUGUUUCUACAAUUUGAUUGCAGAAAGGAAUAUCUGAGUUACAAGUUUAGCGAAUGUCUGAUGAGUUGUGAAAAGAGUUUCAUAACUUACACCUUCCGGAACACCACUAUGAGUGGAAUGUCUGUGAAGAUGUAAUCAAACCAUUUAUGACAUGGUAAGGUCAAAGAUGACAUAAAUAAAUUUGCCAUUAUCCCUUUUAAAGUGAUGCUUUAGAGACUGCGGCUUUUACACUGAAAAGAGCUACAUCGGGUCUGUUGAAAUGAAGCCAUGGUAUGGUACGCCCAACCAUGUAAUAUCUUUUCUUAACAUUUGGAAUAUGGGGCUUGUGUAAAAGGUUACAAACCUAUUCUAAAUCAGACAAGUGCUACUUUGUAGGUUAUACCAAAAUGUUGGGUAUUCCUCCCUCACUAUACCGAGGCAAAUAGUUUUGCCGCGAAAUGGUGUACUUUUAAAGAGAAUGGUUCUUUCAAAAAGGUGAGUGGGAGAAUAGUGCAACUCGACGAGAUAAAUAGUAUCUUCGUCAUCAGAUCAAAGGAAAGAGACAUUGGAAGUAAUUCCAGAGUUUCCUACUGCGACUGAUAUGGAAGUCUCUACAAUAAAAUGUAUGAACUUCGGUCGAACUUGCAGCUGAACCACGUAGGCAAGGCUCGUGCAAACCUCUCAGGUGCGCAAACGAGAUAUUGUUGUUAGACAACAUUAUACCUACGAUACACAAGGAAGCGUUGAUGGGCCCUGACUCUAGAAUUGGCUAAAUGCCAAUACAACCCAAGUUAGUUUCCCUAUAAGUGAUUCAAGAUUAAAACCUUGAUACACCUUUCAGAAGACUUAGAGUCUAACGAAUAUUGAUGGAACUUAAAACUGAUACGGAUAAAAAUGUUUUAUCCAUAAAGCUCGACUUGUUGAAAUAACAAGUUCAAGAGUUGACUACGAUGAGGUUGUUUUCAUCGUAGCGAUGCUUAAAGUUGGUUCGGGUUGAACUAGCAAUUAAUACAUAUUUCAAUCAUGAGAUCUGAAACAUGGAUGACAAUAGUAUUUCCAUCUGAUGGAAAUGCAACCAAGGACUUGCAUGUGUUACAGUCCAAGGCAUUUUGUCUAUCCAGAGGAUGCUAGUAAGGGUGCAAACUUCAGAGUUCCAGCGAUGGACAGAAGAGAGCAAAAUGGAGUUGGAAUCUUCAUGCUUUGAUGAAAUGGUCAAAGGGGUUUGACUUCAUCAAUGGGUAACGAAGAUGCUUGUAAUUCUAGAAAGUAAGUGGGAGCGUAAUAAUUUUUCUAAAAACCUUGUGUGCUUGACACAUUGUUAAUUGGAAAUAAAUUUCUUGACAGGAAUUAGGACUUCAUUUGAAAAUAGUUUUUUGAUGAAGUGCUUAGGCUAAAUAGCCUCAAUAUUAGACAUAAUGAUCUAUGGAGAUAGAUUUACCUAAUAGGGCUAAGCAAUGAAUACAUAUUGACAAGGUGCUAAAACCUUUUAGCAUUUAAAACCGCCAAGGAGUGAUUCUUGCCGGAGUCACAUGGAAGAGUUUUUUGCAAGACUCGGUGUCCCAAAACACUAAUGAGCAAAAUACAUGAUGCAGAUUCCACACACUUUUGUGUUUGGAUUAAUCAUGUAUUCCAUGGUAUGUAAAACAACCAGAUAUGUCUGAUACUCCCAAGGUGUUGCGAGAAUGGAUACUAAAGUGAUCAAAGUACUGAUCGUUGGACAAUAGUGAAAGAUGUCAUUGAGUACUAGAGUAAGUACUGAUGAUAUGUUUUCUCACAAGCGGAGAUCAUGAAGAGUUCGUUGUAAAAUGUUACAUCGAAAUAGUCUUCAUCUUUUCUCCAUGCGAUUUUCGAUUUAAAUUGAGGGUUUUGUGUAACACAAUAUGGUGGUGCAGUUAGUUGGAAAUUGUUCCAAACAAGUUACUGUGGCGAAUUCUAUAACAGAGGCGGAGUAUGUUGCCGCUUUAGAAGCGACAAAGACAAAGAUGUUGAAUCAUAUAGUUCAUUCAUGAACUUAGUAUGGUUCCAAGAAGGCUUUGGUCAAUGGGACACUAUUGCAGAUAGUUGCUCCAUAACUCAGUCUGAGGAAUCAGGUUUCGACCAAUGAUUCACAUAUAUACAAAGCCAAGUCCGCACAAAAUAUGAAUUUUGUGAAAGCGUGAAAACGCGAGGAUAUGCAGAGAUACACAUGGAGCUGAAGUUGUCAGAUCCGAUGGACAUCAGGCUAUACCACAUGCGAAGCAUUUUUUACACCGGUAUGCCAUAGGUGUAAAGUGCAUUUGCAUUAACUAGAUUAUUGACUCUAGUGCAAGUGGGAGUCUGUAGGAGAUAUGCCCUAGAGGCAAUAAUAAAUGAUAUUAUUUAUCUCCGAGUUCAUAAUUAUGUUUAUGUUCUAUGCUAUAACUGCUAUGGUUCUCGAGUCUGCAAUAACCACGAGGCUCGGAGGAAGACUCAUAUGCACAUGUGGAAUAAUAAACGGUAAAAUGUAUUCCUAGUUUGGCCUCUAAGACUAGCUCAAGUGUUGCAUGAUGGUUCUGUUUUCCUGAUCAUGGGCAUGUCUAUGCCAGCAACCUUGAGGGCACAAUGUUAAGAGAACAUUUGUGUUGAAUCGACCCGGAUUGAUGUUAUGCUAAGAGAUUCAUUCGUCACAAGUUAAUGGUACAUAACACAGAGAUGGUUAACGUUUGCAUGAUUCCUUAGACCAUGAGAGUAUCGAGUUUCUUCAUUCUUGCUUCAUGAACUUUGGGGUUUGUUAAACGUCAUCCGUAAAUGGGUGGCUAUUACGGCGGCUUACGGGUUCAUGGAAAAGUGUGUCAAGUAACUUGAUAGCUCAAGAUUGGGAUUUGCUCCUCCGACGAUGGAGAGAUAUUCUCGGGCCCUCUCGGUAUUACAGUAUCCAUCAUCGUCUGGCCAGACACAGUGUGAUUUGAUCACUGGGAUGCCGGAACACGGAAAUGAGAAAAGAGAACAAAACCGGUAACGAGGUAACUUGCAUGGUGGACAAAUUGUUUGUCCAUGGGGAUGCAAUAAAUCUCACCUCGGGUGUUUGUGACAUAUCGCGAAGCAACAGGAAUAGCUCACUGCAACUGGAGGAUCACUCGAAUAUUUAUUCGUGUGUGUAUAGGGGUCAAUAUGGGUGUCCACGGCUCCGAUGUUGAUCAUUGAUCGGAAGGGGUUCUGGGUCAUGUCUAUACUUCACCGAACCUAUAGGGUCACACGCUUAAGGGUCAUCUAUCUGUUGAAUACUAGACAAGGAGUCUGAGAGAAAAUGACCGAAAAAGUUUCGGACACCGGAAAAGUUUCGGACAGCGGAAAAGGUUCCGUAGAGAGAGGUCAUCGGAUGAGUUUCGAUGAAACUAAAAAGUUGUUUCAGGGGAUACCAUUAAGUCAAAUUGGUUUCCGCACAUGCCUGAUAAUUCUUGGAGGGUUCCAGAAUCAUUCUGGAAGCUUUCUGGAAUUUUCCAGGAUAAUAACCGGAUAUGCUCCGGAGCUGCCGGAACCACUUCAGAUGCUUUUCGCAGAUGAAAAUCACUAAACCGGAAUUGUUUCGGAAUGCGUUGAAAAUCAUUUUGGUGGGUACUGGAAAUGUUCUAAGCCCACAUAAAUAUUUUCAGUUCGAACGGACGCUGAAAAAUGUCAUCGUGAAUAGUGAAAGUACUUUUUGGGAUAUUUAUGGAAAGCCACCUUUUGGGGCUUUUCCCAAAAGGCUUCUAGAAGGACAUGGGGAUUAAGGAACCCCCUUUGGGGGGCCCCCAUGAAGGUGGGACGUUGGAGGGUGCAGCUCCUCCAUGGGGCUCCACUUGUCAUCCCUUUAUGCCUUUUAUACCCUUUGUGUGUGACAUAAAGUGGGGGCACUUUUGGUAUUUCAGAAUACCCAUCCUACCCCUUGGUUUCCCUAUAAAUAGGAGGUGAGGGGGCUGCCCAAACCUCAUCCCUUCUCACAUACAAGUUCCAUGCAAUGAUCUGGCUUCUUCUCUCCCUCCCACGAAAAGAGUUUCGUAGAGCCGUAAGGCUGUCUGGGUUCCGGUAGGAACUAGUUCUGGACGGCGAAGCCCUACCGGAUAGAUGACACCGUAUGUGUGCAACUCUGUAGAGAGAUCGUAGUUUCGGUCUUAGUUCAUGAGUGCCUCCCGAAGGGCUGUCCUUGUGACCGUCCGAGUUUUGAAGGUCCUCCCGAAGGGCUGUUCGAGUGACCGUUCGAGUUUCGAAGGCCCUCCCGAAGGGCUGUCCGCGACACCGUCUGGGGGGGUGUUCGACCGCCUCCUGGAGGGCUGUCUGAGGAGCAGAUGAGGGUAUACAUCCUCGCGAUUGGGAGGUUGUAAAUCCUAGCUACGGGGAUCUGCACCGCCGAUCGUCAUCGACUCUACUUCCCGCUGCGCUACGAGUCGGUAAUGAAAAAGAUCAAACCAUGUACGCAGUCUCCAUAGUGGUCCUGGGCUGGUGCGUAGGUCGGAAAUUUUUGUUUUCUGCCGCGUUCCCCUACACUCUAGAGGGCUGGCUUGUUCAUCCUGCGGCUCUACAUCAUGCUGGAGGGGAUUGAUUGUCUUCGGCAGUAUCCGGAGUGUUAUUAUCUCCUAUGCGGGUAUUACUAAUUUUGUUGUGGCGGGACUUAGAGCAGCGCCGCUGACGUCGGUGCUUGGGUUGCUUCUUGGAGGGGUCAUCCUCUGCUGUCUCGUCGCCAUUGCUUUCCUUAGGGGUGUCCACCAUAUAUAUGUCGUAUGAUGAUGUGGCGGUCCAGCGCCCUGUGGGUGGUGGUUCCUGCUCGUCUCCUGCUCGUCAUCCAUAUUGUCGAUGUCUUUAGAGUCGAAGUCGAGCAUGUCGGUUAAAUCGUCAACAGUGGCUACUAAGUGGGUGGUGGGUGGGCAGCGAAUUUCUUCGUCGUCCGCAUCCCAUUCUAGCCGGACAUAGUUCAGCCAAGGUUCUCCUGAUAGGGAGCGGGACCUCAAUGAAUUUAGCACAUCGCUGAAGGGUGAGUGCUGAAAGAUAUCUGUGGAGGUGAACUCCAUGAUCGGCGCCCAGUCGAAUUCGACGGGCACGGGUGUAAGCGGCUCGAAGUCCGUGGCCGGAGGUGAAUCCAGUGGUUCGGCGACACGGCUCUCGUAAGGGGUGAAGUCAGUAUCCGGCUCCAUCGCCACUGAGAGUGCGGUCUCCAUGGAGGGGUCUAUCCCUCCGCUCUCGGAUGGCACGAUUUGUUCCGGAUUGACGGCCGGAGUAUCUGCAGAUGCAAUCUCCUGAACACCGUCCAACAGCAGAGUUACGUCGUGCUCAUCGUGACUGUGCGGCGCACCUGACACGGGCUCGAAUCCGUCGAAGAUCAAGUCUCCGCGGACGUUGAUAGUGUAGUUUAAGUUUCCGAAUCUGACCUGAUGGCCAGGGCGUAGCUCUCGAUCUGCUCCAGAUGGCCAAGCGAAUUGGCCCGCAGUGUGAAGCCGCCGAAUACAAAGAUCUGUCCGGGGAGGAAAACCUCACCCUGGACCGCAUCGCUACCGAUGAUCGAAGGAGCCAUCAAGCCUUAUGGUGACGACAUAGUGGAACUCUCAAUGAAAGCACCGAUGUCGGUGUCAAAACCGGCGGAUCUCGGGUAGGGGGUCCCGAACUGUGCGUCUAAGGCGGAUGGUAACAGGAGGCAGGGGACACGAUGUUUACCCAGGUUCGGGCCCUCUUGAUGGAGGUAAUACCCUACGUGCUGCUUGAUUGUUCUUGAUGAUAUGAGUAUUAGAAGAGUUGAUCUACCACGAGAUUGUAGAGGCUAAACCCUAGAAGCUAGCCUAUGGUACGAUUGUAAGUUGUCCUACGGACUAAACCCUUCGGUUUUUAGACACCGGAGGGGGCUAGAGUUACACAGAGUCAGUUACAAGGGAGGAGAUCUAUAUAUCCGUAUUGCCUAGCUUGCCUUCCACGCCAAGGAGAGUCCCAUCCGGACACAGGACGAAGUCUUCAAUCUUGUAUCUUCAUAGUACAACAGUCCGGCCAAAGGAUAUAGUCCAGCUGUCCGGAGACCCCCUAAUCCAGGACUCCCUCACAUGUCUUUGAUAAACAAACUGAAAGGUACUUCUUAUUACAUCUCGACAGUCUGAAUGCUUAAGUAUUAAAAUGGUGGAGAAGCUCCGCAUUCCAAGCGCGUGGCUCCUCUUUCUUGUGUUCCACAUCAUACAGGUGAUAUGCUCCGUUGUGGAGCACUUUGGUGAUGAUGAAGGGGCCUUCCCAGGUGGGAGCAAGCUUGUGUGGACGUUGCUGAUCCACUUGGAGAACCAGGUCCCCCUCCUGAAAUGCUCGACCUCUUACGUUCCUAGCAUGGAAUCGACGAAGGUCUUGCUGAUAGAUGGUCGACCUGCUCAGGGCCAUCUCUCUCUCUUCUUCUAAAAGAUCAACGGCGUCUUGACAGGCUUGUUCUGCUUCUGCCUUUGAGAAGAGCUCCACUUGUGGGGCAUUAUGGAGUAGAUCAGUCAGCAGCACGGCCUCGGCUCCAUAAACCAGGAAGAAAGGAGUCCGGCCAGUCGACUGAUUUAGUGUUGUUCUCAGACUCCACAUUACUGAUGGUAACUCAUCUACCCAGGCACCAGCUGCAUGCUUGAGGUCUCGCAUCAAUCUGGGCUUCAACUCUUGUAAGAUCAAACCAUUUUCUCUUUCUGCUUGCCCGUUCGACUGUGGGUGAGCGACUGAAGCGUAGUCGACCCGGGUGCCCUGGGAAGCGCAGAAAGCUCUGAACUCAUCUGAAUCAAAGUUUGAACCAUUGUCUGUGAUGAUGCUGUGCGGGGCUCCAUAUAUGAAUGUUAAUUCUCUGAUGAAGCUGACGACGGUUCUCGAAUCGAGGUUCUUGAUGGGUUUGGCUUCAAUCCAUUUGGUGAACUUGUCGACUGCAACAAGCAGGUGGGUGAAACCACUUCUGCAAUCCUCAAGGGUCCAACCAUAUCCAAUCCCCAAACCGCAAACGGCCAGACGAGUGGAAUGGUAUUCAACGUGAGGCGGGCUUGUGAGACAUGUUAGAGUAAAACUGGCAGCCCUCACACUUGUCGACUAUUUCCUUCGCCCGUGGCCAGUAAAAAUCUGCUCAGUAUGCUUUGGCCAUGAUUGUCUGAGAGGACGCAUGGUGACCACAGGUCCCCGAGUGGAUAUCAUUGAGGAUCAUUCGACCUUCCUCCGGGGUAAUGCACCAUUGAGAAACUAUAGUCACACUCUCCCUGUACAGUCGACCACUUAUCACAGUGAAGGCUUUGGAUCGACGGACAAUCUGUCGUGCUUCAUCUUCGUCUUCUGGAAGCUCUUUCCUGAGAAUAUAUGCGAUGUACGACAUUGUCCAAUUAGGAAUGAUAAGCAAAACUUCCAUGAUUAAGUCUACCACGGCUAGGAUUUCAACUUAAGUCGGAUCAGUAGAACUCUUAGGUUACGGGGGCUCUUCUAUAAAGGGAUCCUCUUGAACUGAUGGUGUGUGAAGAUGCUCCAAGAACACAUUGCUGGGAAUGGGCUCUCCCUUGGAACCUAUCUUUUCCAGGUCAUCCGCUGCCUGAUUCUUCAGUCGGGAAAUGUGGUGCAGCUCUAGCCCUUCAAACUUCUUUUCUAACUUUCUCACUUCAUUACAAUAACCAGUCAUAGCUUGCCUUCUGACAUCCCACUCAUUCAUCACUUAAUUGACCACCAAAUCUGAGUCGCCGUAGACCAUUAGGCCACGGACGCCGAGUGAAAUGGCCAUCCGCAACACAUAUAGAAGCGCUUCGUAUUCAGUUUCAUUGUUGGAGGAAUCAAAGUGAAUCUGAAGGACAUAAGUAAGUAUGUCACCUCGCGGGGAUACCAGAACUACUCCAGCGCCAGAACCAUUCAACAUCUUGGAUCCAUCAAAGAACAUAGUCCAAUGUUCCUGGAAUUGAGUCGGUUGCUGUUGAUCAAUCCACUCGAUGAGGAAAUCUGCUAUUACCUGGGACUUGAUUUCUUUCUUUGCCUCAAUCUUGAUAUCCAACGGAAGGAGUUUAAUCGCCCACUUUGCCACUCGACUAGUUGCGUCCCUGUUAUUCAAAAUUUCUGACAAUGGAGCAUCACUGACGACUGUGAUAGAGUGAUUUGAGAAAUAGUGUGCAACCUUCUUUGAAGUCAAGUAAAUUCCAUAGACAAGCUUCUGAUAAUGUGGAUAUCUCUGCUUGGACGGGGUUAAGACUUCCGAAAUAUAGUACAAUGGGCGCUAAACCUUAUAGGCUUUACCUCCUUCUUCCCGCUCGACCGUGAGUACUGUACUAACAACUUGUCCACUGGCUGCAAUAUAAAGCAGUAAAGGCUCUUUGUUGAUUGGAGCAGCAAGCACCGACUGGGUGGAAAGCAGGGUUUUGAUCUCUGCAAACGCUGCGUCAGCUUCAAGAGUCCACUCGAACUUAUCAGAUUUCUUCAUCAAUCGGUAAAGAGGCAAUGCCUUUUCAUCGAGAUAAGAGAUGAAUCGACUCAAGGAGGCCAAACAACCAGUAAGCUUCUGAACAUCGUGUAUGCACAUAGGGCUUUUCAUUUGGAGUAUUGCACCAACUUUCUCUAGGUUUGCAUCGAUCCCAUGUUCGGAAACGCGGAAACCAAGUAACUUUGGCGUACCUCUCUGGGUGCUCUAGGUCCAAGGGUAUCUUCUUCGUCUCUUUGGCCGGCUUAAACGAACCCUCAGCCUCUGACUCUUUUGGGUUGGGCGACACCUCAGGCUGCUUGCCGGCCAUUGCCACAACUCGCUCAAGGAGCCGCUUCUCAGCCGCGAUUACCAGGGACUCGGCCAGCCGACUUCUCUCUGCUGCGCAAGCAGACGACUUCCGGUAGUCGCCAGCCAUAGUUAGAAUUCCCCUGGAACUGGGCAUCUUCAUCUUGAGGUAGGCGUAGUGGGGGACCUCCAUGAACUUGGCCAAGGCAGGUCAGCCAAACAACGCAUGGUAUGGGCUCUCGAGAUCCACCACCUCAAACCAAACGGGCUCUCUACGGAAGUGAUCUUUGUCCCCAAAGAGGACGUCCAUCAGGAUCUUGCCGAUUGGCGAGCAGGAAAGACCAGGAACAAUGCCGUGGAACACAAUUCGGCUAUUCUAAAGCUGUCUUUGCUUGAUUCCUAACUUCUCCAUGGUGUCCUUGUACAGGAUAUUGAUGCUACUGCCCCCGUCUAUCAGAACUCGCGAGAAACGCGCGGCUUGUCUGUCCGUAGCAAAGGUGGCAUCCAGGACCAAGGCAUAAGAGCCUGGACUCGGCAUCACUUUUGGGUGGUCAGCCCUGCUCCAGCUGAUGGGCUUCUCAGACUAGUGCAUGAACUCUGGCGUCUCUGACGCUACUGCAUUCACCUCUUGUCGCUGCAGCCGCCUGUUGUGUCGAUCAUCAGCCACACUGGUGAACACCACAUAGGCUCCAUGCUCUUCAGGGUAUUCGUCUUGUACUGCGCCGACUGGCUUGACAGCCAGCUGCUGGGGCGGAGGCGGAGGCGGCUGCCCAGCAGGCGGGGGAGGCAGGAGGCCGUCUCCCUUGGCGAUCCUGGUGAGCCAGUGGCACUUCCAGGUGGUGUGAUUCGAUGGCUUUGCACCGCUAUGGAACUUGCAAGGUCCAUCCAAGGUCUGCUGAUAGGAGAAGGCAGGCAACCAGUUUGGCUUGCCGCCUUUCUUUUGCUUGGGCGGGGGCUGCUCAUCUGGCUGCUGGGCUUCAACGAUCGUGACCUGCCUGCUGCUGGAAGCUGGCUGCGGGGCCUUGCGCUUGUUGUCGCCCUGCUGUUGUCGCCGGCCGGCGUCUGCCGCCGGAGUUCUUGGAGCUUGAGGAGCCACUUUGCUAGUUGUGCUGAUUUGAAUUUCCGCCUUAAUGGAGGAGUCGGCCAUGGCGUAUUUGUCCGCUAUGAUCAGCAGCUCAUCGAGGGUUCUGGCUCGUCACAAAGGAGCUUGUGCAUGAGGAGGGUGCCUUCUCUGCACCCGGCUGUGAAGUACUCGAUGGCCUGCACCUCGUGCAUGCCCUCGCAGGAGUUCCGGAGCUCGGCCCAACGCGUGAGGUAAUCACGAGUUGACUCGUCGGGGCCUUGCACGCACAAGGAGAGCUGACGAGGCUUGGGAGGACGCUUGUACGUGCUGGUGAAGUUGCGGACGAACGCUUCGGUGAAGUCGACCCAGCUGUUGAUGUUGCGGGGCUUCAGGCCGUUCAGCCAUGUCCGGGCCGUGCCCUGGAGCAUGAGCGGAACGUACUUUAUGGUGACACGCUUGUUGCCGUUUGCUAUGUUGACAGCCAUGGAGUAGUCAACUAGCCAGUCUUCCGGGUUCACGGAGCCGGUAUACUUGGGCGUGUCUCUUGGGAGCGUGAACCCUCUGGGAAAGGGUUUGUCCCGAAUGCGGGGCCCGAAACAAGGCGGACCCAGCUCGUCUUCUUCUUCUAGCGCUAAGGAUCGGUGGAGUCGGUCGAUCCGGUGGCGGGCGUCGUUCUCUCCAACUCCCUCUCGGCGGCCAAGGCGGUCACCGAGAGUCGGAUGGUCAACAGGCGGCGGGGAGACUCGCCUCUCCUUGCGGGAAGGGGAGGCGGACAAUCGUCCCGUCGUUCCACUGCUCUUGGGCGGCCGUCUCGGUCGCGCUCUAUGGUAAUGCGAGUCCGACCAUGGCUGACAGUCGGCUCCUUGUAUCUUCUACCUCGGGCGCCGCCAGUCGGUGUCUGAGACGUUGCACCUUGAUCUCGGUGAAGGUCGUCGACGGGCCGUUGAGGCGCCUGCGUGCGGCAGCCGGCCUCGUUCUGCGCGGCAGCCGCGUCGAGAAGCCGCUGGACUCGUUCCAUCAUGAGGUGGCGUUCUUCGCCCUCGAAAUUGUCCAGCUUGUUCGCUGCUGCCUGGGCAGCUCGGAUGUUCUCCGCUGGUGUAGCGUACACAGGGCGGCUUGCCCCAAACAGGUUGGCGAUGGCUACGCCGCGCUACCGGACCGUGCCAAGGCGGCUGGGCCCCGCCGGGGCCAGCGAGCCACCGACGGCGUGAUCCAUCUCCCGCUGGUAGGCUUCUGACAAGCGCCUCAUGCUGGCCAGCUUCUUCGCGCCUACAAGGAGUUGAAGGCGGCGUGCCUCCAGCGUCUCUGCGUCAGCGUCUUCCGAAAUGGGCGCAGUUAGGUCUUGUAGCGCCGCGCCUAGCGAGUCGUGCGCUCCUCCACCGGGGAGCUCGUCAUGACUGGUGACUAGCACCUCGGUGACGGUGCUUCCGUUGCUCUCUGCGUGGGGGAGAGGUUCGUCGUAGACCACCACAUUGGUGGGGAACGCGUCGAGCGACGUGGUGUUGGAGUCGACCAGCAUUGGGUCGGUUGAGCCUAGGGACUCCAAGUCUACGGCAGGCUCGCCGGAAACGUGGAGUUGAUCGAGGAGGCCUGCGAGGAGGUUCUCGGGGCCGCCCGUGCCUGCGUUGGAUGUAGGUUCGUCGGAGAGGCGGACCUCACCGACAAGUUCGGCCAAGGAGCUGACCGCGCAGGCAAUUUCGACGCCGCUUAGCGCGUCGACGCAAACUCCGUCUGGCGUGCCUGGCUGGCUGCGCUCGCCAGGGAGGAAAAGGGUUCCCGUCCAGAGCAGAUCUCCAGACGGCGGUGCACCAGGCCCCACGGUGGGUGCCAAAUGUCGGGGGUUUGGUGCGACAUAUGCCAACGGAUGGCUUAUCAUGGUGGGGGCGAGUAGAACGUCGCUGGUGCCUGGAAACGGGAUGAGGCGAAGACAUGCACGCCGGUGAAUCUUACCCAGCUUCGGGGCUCUCCGGGGAGAUAAUACCCCUACUGCUGCUCUGCGGGGUCUCCGCAUGAUCACUAUGGCCAAGUGUUUACACGGUUGCUCCUUGAGCUGUUUUCUGGUGGUAGGAGAGGGCAAGGCUAGCUCUCUCCCUUCUAUAUGAUCUGUUCUAGAGCUAAUGGGUUCCAACCCUUUGCAUGGGUGCCCUGGGGGGUUUAUAUAGGCCUACCCCCCAGGGGUACAAUGGUAAUCCGGCUGGACGCGGGCCCAGCUGUCAGUGUCUCUGGCCUCCGUCUUCUCUACUGACCGCUGGGGCCCGUCGACUGGCGGGCCCCGCCGACUGGCCUGGUACGGAGCCGACAGGCCGUGUCCGCCGCGGGCGGGUCUUGCCGGCUGCUGGUUACUGUAGCCAUGCUUCUGAUGACGCGAGCUUGAUCAUGAGGUCGUGGUAACAGCCCCGCCACCUGGCGUGCGAUCACUGUUGCCACUCCCCAUCACAUCUUGAUUAAUGGCGCAUGGGCCCCGGGGGAGGGCUCGGCCGACUCCCCCGGGCCGACUCCCGACGGGUCCGACUGGUGGUUCUCCUGCCGUCUCCCGAGGUCUCACUGACUGGUGGGGCCUGCUGCCUCCAGGCCGAACAGACAAGCCGUCGUGGGUGCAGGAUUCGGCCCUGCGGUGCUGAUGUUAGGGCCGGCAUGGCAACAGUGCCACGCCGCACGGAGAUCUUCCGGGGUACGGCGUGCUGUGGCCAUGCCUGCCCUUGGUGAGGGGCGGGGGUGGGCUUCGCUGUAGCCACGCCCCUGCCUCGUCCCCUCUGAUGAGGUCAUGGGGUUUGUUGGAGUCGCAGGCCGACUCCCCACAGCCGGCUUCUCUGCAAGUUGUCCCUGGGACUCGGCCGUGAGCGGGCAGUCGGCCGCCUUGUCGUCGACUCCCCAGGAGGCGGCUCUUCGUCCUAGGGUCUUGAGGGGCGCAGCCUGCCCCGAUGUCUUGAAAGGUUCUGGGGCUCGGGUUGGCCUACCCGCGGCCCAUUACUCCGACACCCAGGCUUUAGCAUGACUUAAAGUUGUUACAGCUCCAGCUCUCGCGUAUGAUCGCUUGAUUUCUUGGAACCGGGCGGGGAAGAUAUACAGCUUCUUCAAGAUGUCACUUAAUAGAGUCGGCCCUUGAUUCACGGGGGAGAUAGUCUUGGGGGCUAAUGUCUGUCAGCGCAAUUUUUUUCAAAGGAAACAAUUUUUCUAAAAAGUCCCAAGUGUUUUGCAGGCAACAACACUCGGCACUUGGGGGCUAAUGCAUAUUGCUUGACUUUUCUUUCUACAAGUGAGCCGGAUAAGCUGUCCACAGUCUCAGCCAGCUCAGGCAGGUUAUACGGUUCAUUUCUAUGCAAUAAUUAGUAGGACCGGCUCAUUCAUACUGAUUAAACCGGCCCUUGGAGAAUAGCAGGGUAUAUAACUUAUAUGAGAUGGAGAACAUACCUCAUAUUUUUGAUGCAUCUGUUUGACCAUUUCAAUUUCUGAGUCAUGGCUGGAGUGCACUUGACUGAGAUAACUAGAUAGCACUUCACUAAUACUCAGGUGAGCAUAGUGGGAGACAUCCAACCUCACCUUUUGCCUCUCCAUAACUUCUUGUUUGGCAGAGUGUCUUGCCAAGACAGUUGGGUUCCCCUGUUCAACGAAUCUAGUGCUAGUGAUUAAAACAUCAACAUUGUGCUUCUCCGGCGGGUUAGCUGAGCUUGAUGUCUCAAUACUUGAUGGAUCAAUAGUAGUUUCAUCUGUAGACGGCUCAUGUAAAUCAGGUUGAACAUUGAAGGCAGGGUCCUCUAGCCGUUCAGCGUGUUCAUGCACAAAGGUUGACUGCUCCGGGUCUUCAGGAUGUUCUGGUACGAGGGUUGGCUACUCCGGUUCAGUGGUUCUCGGAUCCUCAGCCGGUUUUGUUACCUUUGCUUUCUUGGGCUUUGCUUGACCGCUAGAAAGGAUUUAGACAAGUCAGUACAAUGAUACAUAUUUAAAGGUGUAUAAGAAGGGUAGUUAUCUUUACCCGGGGGCGGUCUUGAAAGCUGGAAAUUGCGUCUAUGAUGAAUCGCCGGAGGAGGAAUGGGAAAUAUCCUAUAAAGAUGGAAUCAAAAAUAAGUGAUGAAGGUAAUUCAUUGAAUAAAUACAAGGGUGAAAGCCAAAAAAGAACCUCAUUCUGGUGUUUCCUAGGAGUUUUUGGUAAGCCGGAGGGUAAAUCGUCAUCUCCACCGGUCUGGGUCUGCCGGCGGCUUUCAUGUUGCUGUCGUUUAAAAAGAAAAUGAGGAUCUAAAUAAGCCAAGGGGUGUCAAAACCUUACUUUCCGGGUUACCCGCCGAAGUUUCUGCCUUGGUAAAGGUUCUGAGUCGGAGGAAAUAAUAUUUACCUCUUCUUCAACUGCCUGGCUGGCCCCCAUAUCAUCCUGGUAAUAGUCAAUGUCAAUAAGGUGGUUAAAAAGCAGGCCAAGAGAGAAAGGGCUACCUCUGACUCAGAGGUGUCAUCCAGCUUGAGUAACUCAGAGGCGGUUGGCUUCUUCUUCUUCUUCUUCUUCUUCUUCUUCUUCUUCUUCUUCUUCUUCUUUUUCUUUGAUUUUCUGACGAUUUUCUUGGCGGCUAUUGCAGCAGCUCUAGCUUUCUUGGCAGCCUCAUGGUCAUACUUGACUUUCCAAAAGUCAGAUUUAGCCUGUGGAAGGGUAGCAUGUUGAAAUUCAUGCAAAUAUUUAAACUCUGGGUUCCAAGGUCAUCAAGGUCAUCAAGGCACACAAAGCAAUCAGGGUAGCUACCAUCAACAGUCAGGUCAAGGGAGUCAGUAACAGCAAUCUGGGUAUCAGAGUAACCCGAAACAUUUGAAUAGUGGACAGUAUCACGUCUUCACCACAAGUUUGUGCAAACGGGAUCAGGAGUUUCAUAAAAGGGCAGUAAACUCUGUUGAACCGACAGUACCCUGUUACUUGCGCUGGUCUGAGCAGGCUAUUGUGUGGAGUCGAGAGGAUCAUCCACCCAGGGUUGAUAACUCGGGUCAUUUAGCAUUGGUGGUCGCACCUCAUGUUGGAGGGUAUAGGUUCACCAAAGUGCUCAUGGACGGAGGGAGCAGCAUCAAUAUCCUUUAUUAUGAGACCUUCCGUUGCAUGGGGUUGACCGAUAAAAAUCUUAAGCCGUCAAACACUGUCUUCCAUGGUGUGGUGCCUGGUAAAUCAGCAUAUCCGGUUGGUAAGAUAGCUCUGGAAGUUGCCUUUGAAGAUGAUCAUGAAUCUAGAUCAGAGACAUUAACCUUUGAGGUGGUGAAAAUCAAGAGCCCUUAUCAUGCCCUGUCCGGACGGCCGACUUAUGCUAAGUUCAUGGCAAGGCCCUGUUAUGUUUAUCUGUAGCUCAAGAUGCCGGUUCAUAAGGGGACCAUCACAAUGCAUGGGAGCCGGAAUAUAGCCUAGGAGUGUGAAGAGGGUGGUGCGGCGUAUGCUGAGUCGGUUUGUGCAACAGAGGAGUUAAAGUUUUAAAAGGAUAAUGUUGACCUGGCAGAUAUGAAUUUGAAAAACCAACCAUAGAGCAUGAUCCGGUUUUAAAAUUUAAGUCGGUAGAUGACACUAAGAUGGUUGACUUUGUCCCUGGUGACUCAUCUAAGCAGUUCAGCAUUAGUGCUAAUCUGGAUCCGAAAUAGGAAAUCGCGCUCAUCGAGUUCAUCUGUGAGAACCGGGACAUCUUUGCAUGGAAGCCCUCAGACAUGCCGGGUGUACCAAGAGAACUCGCUGAGCACACUCUUAAUAUUGAUCCAAAGUUUAAACCGGUCAAGCAGUUUCUUCGCCGUUUUAAUGAGGAGAGACGGACGACCAUUGGAUAAGAGGUAGCCCGGCUCUUGGCAGCUGGGUUUAUCAUUGAAGUUUUUCAUCCUAAGUGGUUGGCUAACCCGGUGUUGGUACUUAAGAAGAAUGGCACUUGGCGUAUGUGUGUGGAUUACACAGACUUAAACAAGGCCUGUCCGGCUGAUCCUUUUGCUCUCCUUCAUAUUGACCAGAUUAUUGAUGCUACGGCGGGUUGUGAGCAUUUGAGUUUUUUAGAUGCUUAUUCUAGUUAUCAUCAGAUCAAAAUGGCAGUUAAGGACCAGGAGAAGACAUCCUUCAUAACUCCCUUUGGAGCCUUCUGCUAUGUGUUUAUGCCUUUUGGGCUCAAGAGUGCCCAGGUGACUUAUCAGAGGUUAGUGCAUAAUUGCCUUCAUAACCAAAUUGGGUGUAAUGUUCAUGCCUAUGUGGAUGAUAUUGUGGUGAAAUCCAGAGAGAAAGAGACACUGAUAAGUGAUUUGAAGGAAAUCUUUGAUAAUCUCUGGAUCUACAAGAUAAUGCUUAACCCGACCAAGUGUGUGUUUGGUGUGCCGGCGGGCAAGCUCCUGGGUUUUUUGGUGUCUAAUAGAGGGAUUGAAGCUAAUCCAGAGAAGAUCAAAGCUAUCACCUCUCUGGCUAAACCGGUGUGUAUCAAUGAUGGGCAGCGCCUGGCGGGUCGUAUCGCGGUGUUAAACCGUUUCAUAAGCUAGUUGGGGGAGAAGGCUAUCCCUCUGUAUCAGAUAAUGAAAAAGACAGAUAACUUUGUCUGGAGUGAUGCUGCUGAUGCAGCGUUUGAGGAUUUGAAGAAGCAGCUGAUUGUACCGCCAGUGCUCACAUCCCCUAUUGAUAAGGAGCCUUUACUGUUAUAUGUGGCUGCUAAUAGCCGGGCUGUCACUGUUGCCAUUGUGGUGGAAAGGAAGGAAGCAGGAAAGGAGUAUCCGGUUCAAAGGCCGGUUUACUAUAUCAGCGAAAUGCUCAUUGUGUCCAAGCAGAGGUAUCCACACUGGCAGAAACUUGUAUAUGGGGUGUUCUUGGCCAGCUGGAAGCUUAAACAUUAUUUUCUGGGCCAUCCUAUCACUGUGGUAAGCUCUGCUCCUUUGGGAGUUAUCAUCCAAAAUAGAGAAGUAACUAGCCGGGUCGCUAAGUGGGCCAUUGAGCUUGCACCUCAUGGAUUAAAGUAUGUGCCUCACACGGCCAUCAAGUCUCAAGCACUGGUGGACUUCAUCAACGAUUGGACAGAGCUACAGAUGCCUGAGGAAAAGCCGGAUAACACAUAUUGGACUAUUCAUUUGGAUGGGUCCAGGUAGUUGGAAGGCUCGGGGGAUGGAGCUAUUCUCGCUCCCCCUUGAGGUGGUAAAUUUUGCUAUGUUCUUCGUUUGAUGUUUCCUUGUACUAACAACACAGCAAAGUAUGAGGCCUUACUCCACGGUCUUCGGAUGGCCAAGGAAAUGAAUUUAAGCCGGGUUAGGUGCUUUGGCGACUCAGAUUUGGUGGCUCAACAAGUCCCUGGUACUUGGGAUUCUAAGGACCCACUUAUGGCGGCUUAUCGGCGAGAGGUGGACGUCAUUGCUGGUCACUUCAAAGGAUAUCAAGUUGAGCAUGUUGAUCGAAGGAAAAAUGAAGCGGUAGACGCUUUAAGUCGGCUGGGCUCUCAACGUAAGCUGGUGCCACCUAAUGUCUUUCUUGACGUCUUGCAUAACCCGUUAGUUAAGGUUCCUAUAGAGGAGGAUUUGGCUAUUCCUGACCCGAAGGCUCAGUUGGUGGUGGCUCUUCAUGUAAUCCCAUAUUGGAAAGUCCCUUAUUUGGCCUAUAUGACCCGGGGUGAGUUACCUGAGGAUGGGACCUUAGCCAGGAAGAUAACCCGGCGGUCUAAGUCAAUGUCGAUUGUUAAUGGAGAGUUACAUCAUCGCAGUGUCACAGGGGCGUUUCAACAUUGUGUGUCUCCGGAAGAAGGUUGUGAGAUCUUACGAGAAGUUCAUGAAGGAGAUUGUGGUCAUCAUGCCGGUUCAAAGUCCCUUGUGGCUAAAGCUUUCCGUCAUGGGUUUUAUUGGCUAACAGCUUAUGCUGAUGCAGAGGACUUCGUCCGUAGGCGUGAUGGAUGUCAGAAAUUUGCACGACGUACCCAUGUGCCGGCUCAAGAGUUAAGGAUGAUUCCUAUUACUUGGCCAUUUGCAGUUUGGGGGCUCGAUAUGGUUGGGCCUUUUAGAAGAUCCAAGGAUAAGAAGACUCACCUUUUGGUGGUGGUUGAUAAGUUCACUAAGUGGGUAGAGGCAGAGACGGUCAGUAAGUGUGAUGCAGCAACGUCGGUUCAGUUCAUGAAGAAGGCGAUCUUUUGUUUUGGCUUUCCACACAACAUUAUAACAGACAAUGGCACUAAUCUUUCUAAGGGUGCCAUGGAAGAAUUCUGUCAACUUGAGCAUAUCCGGCUUGAUGUGUCAUCAGUGGCUCACCCCCAAUCCAAUGGUCAAGCUGAAAGGGCAAACCAAGAGGUCUUGAAGGGUAUUAAACCCCGGCUUAUGGUCCCGUUAUAGAGGACGCCGGGUUGUUGGGUGGAAUAGUUGCCUUCGGUGCUAUGGAACAUUAACACCACCCCAAAUAGAUACACAUGAUAUACACCUUUCUUCAUGGUUUACGGAGCAGAGGCAGUUCUCCCUAGUGACAUCUGUCAUGACUCGCCUCGGGUGGCGGCUUAUGUGGAAGCAGAUAAUGAAAGAGCAUGUCAAGAGGCACUUGAUCUAUUAGAUGAAGAGCAGGACAUAGCAGCAACUCGUUUGGUGAUUUACCAGCAAGAUAUGCGUCGUUAUCACAGCCGCCGGGUUAAAAUAGAACUUUUCAAGAAGGCGACCUGGUGCUCCGGCUUAUCCAGGAUCAGACUGAUAAUGCACAAGUUAUCCCAACCUUGGUAAGGACCCUUUGUGGUCAGCAAGAAUCUAAACAAUGGGUCAUAUUACCUUAUCGAUGUUCGAGACCACAAGGACUCACACACGUCGGAGGAGGAGACCCGCCGGCCCUGGAAUAUUGCUCAGCUUAGGCCAUACUACACUUGAGCCACAGGCUCUCCUUAUGUACAUAUUUAGACAAUGUAUAUAUUAUGAUUGAUAUAAUAAACCGGCAUCCCUGCUAAAGCAGGGCCUCUGUCACACAUAAACACUAUUCUGAUCAUGGGAUCAGAAUAAUAUUCUGAUCACAACAUGAACUUCCCGAGUUACGCACCUGACCUUCCCCGAGUACUAGGUUGAACUUCAGCUAAAAGGUGUGCAAAUGGGGCUUGCGAUAUACCGUUGGAAAGCUAUGGACAUCAGUAUCAUGACCCAAGUUAAAUUUUUGGCAAAAUGUAAGCGGUUUAAGAGCAGUUUUGAAAACCAUUUUUUCUUCAUACAAAAAACGUGAAUCGUAUUUUCGAUCGCAUUUUUAAACUGUUUAUCUGAAUGAGGCAAAUAAUAUGGCGUUGGAAAGUUGCUGAAAAACCGCUCCUUCCACAUGUUGAAAGUUUUCUCUAAUUCCCUACAGUUAAAGAGUAAUUCGGAAAAUCGUAGAAUUUCACAAAUGGAACACCCGAGUUUGUAUUUUCGAUGCCAUUUCUAAACGACUAAUCCAAUUGAGGCAAAUAAUAUGGUGUUGGAAAGAUUAUGAAAAUGCGCUACUUUUUCAUGUUAAAAGUUUUUUCUAAUUUUGAACGGUUUAAAAGUAAUUUAGAAAACGGUACAACUUCCACCGAGUUCGUAUUUUCGAGCUAAUUUUUUAACCGUACGUCCAAAUGCAGCAAAUAAUAUGGCGUUGGAAAGCUUGAAGAAAUGGAAACUUUUUUGUACAUAUUGUUUCUCCUAAUUCAUUACGGUUUUAUGUUAGUUUUGAAAAUGGCUAAAAACGUAUUUUUGCCGUAAUUUUUACAAACUUUAUCGGAAUGGGGCAAAUAAUAUACCGCUGACGGAAAAUUCAAAACUUUUUCAUGUUGAUGGUUUUCUGUGAUUCCUUUCCGUUUUCAAGUAAUUUCGAAAAUGGCGAGAUCAUUCGUUCUGCCUUUAUCGCGAAACAGAUUCUUCGAAAAUGCACCGUGUGAAGAACCUGAACUUCUCGGCAUGUCUACUUGAACUUCACUCUGUUUUUCACGUGCUUUUUUUGCCCGUUUCUCUCCAUCCAUUGCUCGUAGCUCUCCAUCCACUCACCAGAAUUGAGCAAGUGAUGGAAAUCUGCUGUAAACACGCAACUUUCUCGAGUUGAUCGUUUUUUCAUACUCGCGAUAAUUUUAAAAGUUUUUCAUCUCAAAUUCAUUCACUAUAGUAGUCGAACUUCGUGCUGUUUUCAUGUUGAACUUCUGUGACGUAUUUUCGUUUUUAAUUUUCCCAUCCAUUUCAUCAGUGUUACACAAAUGAUAUUCUCUUUGUACAAACCCCUCUCACAUAGCAAAUAUUGGCAGAGCAGCAACUAUGGAUUUGAGAUGAACAAGUCUCCCAGAGUAUGACAUUAAGGAAGCAAUGCCAGAUAGUCUGUGGUCAAGUCUUGAUACCAUGGGCAUCAAAUCUUCUACUUUAGGUCUUGUAGAUCCCAUUGGUAGACCAAGAUAUGUGAAAGGCAUGGCUUCUUUUUUACAGUUGAAGGUAUUUGCCAGUUCUUGAGCUUUAUCAUCAGUCAUAUUGAUUGGAACCAUAGAAGAUUUACUAUAGUUUACAACAAGCCCAGUGAACUGGCAAAUAAUCUUUCGUUUUUAAGAUUGACUUUGUUAAGGCUUUUGAUAAAGUGAACUACAAGGCUAUCUUAUUCAUGAUGAAACAUCUGGGAUUUAGCAACAAAUGGAUUAGAUGGGUCUCAUCUAUCCUAUCUACUGCUUCUACAUCUGUCAUCCUUAAUAGUGUUCCAGGUAAAUGCAUACAAUGUAAGUGUGGUGUCAGACAAGGAGAUCCUUUUCCCCCUCUUCUAUAUGUUAUGGUUGGAGAAUUGUUGCAAAUCAUGGUUAAUGAUGCUUGGAGAAAUGGAACAUUAUCUUUACCAAUUGAGACUAAUUUUACUGAAUGCUACCCCAUCAUACAAUAUGCUGAUGACACACUGGUCAUCCUGCCAGCCGAUGAGGUACAAAUUAGAAGUUUCAUUGAGAUACUUGACAAUUUCUCAAAAUUCACUGGGCUUGUUGUAAACUAUAGUAAAUCUUCUAUGGUUCCAAUCAAUAUGACUGAUGAUAAAGCUCAAGAAGUGGCAAAUACCUUCAACUAUAAAAAAGAAGCCAUGCCUUUCACAUAUCUUGGUCUACCAAUGGGAUCUACAAGACCUAAAGUAGCAGAUUUGAUGCCCAUGGUAUCAAGACUUGACCACAGACUAUCUGGCAUUGCUUCCUUAAUGUCAUACUCUGGGAGACUUGUUCAUCUCAAAUCCAUAGUUACUGCUCUGCCAAUAUUUUCUAUGUGUUGUAUCAGAGUACCAUUCCCCAUACUGGACCACUUUGAAAAGUCUGGUAGGAAUUUUCUUUGGUAUGGUAAGGAUAUCAACAAAAAAGGAAAUUGUCUUGUCAAAUGGGAUAAUGUUUGCUUUCCAAAAAAGGCAGGGGGCCUAGGUGUGUUAAACCUAAGAGCACAAAACAAAACUCUGCUUAUUAAAUUUCUUUACAAAUUCUUCAACAAGCAUGAUAUUCCCUGGGUUAACCUUAUAUGGAACAAUUACUAUGACAAUGAUGAGGUACCUAGUUUCCCUACCAUGGUGGGAUCCUUUUGGUGGAGAGAUUGUUGCUCUAAUUUGCAAGACUUCAAAAAUAUGACUAUAUGCUAUGCUGGGACUAGUGAUACAAUUAAGCUACGGUUAGAUAAAUGGUGUUCUCAUACAAUAUCACAGUCAAUGCCUCAACUAUUUUCUUAUGCAAAGAAGGCUGACACAACUCUUGCAUCUGUCAACAACAUGGAGGAUAGUGAAUUUUAUGAAUUAUUCCACUUGCCUAUGUCUUCUAUUGCAGUACAACAGAGUAUCAAUCUUAGAGAGUUAAUCCACAACAGAGAGAACAGCAGCUAUCAGAUUCUUGGAAAUUCUAUUGGGGUGACACAAAGUACUCUAAUAAUAGAAUAUACCUUGAACUAAUGGGAAAUCCUGUUGACGCUCCUAAACCCUAUCAAUGGAUGUGGAAAUCAUGCUCACUUCCCAAGCAUAAAUUCUUCUUCUGGCUACUGUUACAAGACAGAUUAAACACUAGAGACCUACUCCACGGGAAGAAUUUCUACAUUGAGACUAGUAAGUGUGAAUUAUGUGAUGAUGAACCUAAUGAACACCUAAUGCAUCUCUUUUUUAGCUGUGAUUUCAGCCAAAUCUUCUGGAUGAACAUUGGUUACCAAUGGAACACUGAUCAUAACCUUAUAGAAUUGCUCUUGAAGGGAAGGAAGCAAGAUACCCAUGGCUGCUUUAAAGAAUGUUUGAUUGCUGGAUGCUGGAGUCUCUGGAAACACAGAAAUAGCAUUAUUUUUUAUCACAAGGUCAAGAAUAUGACAUAUUGCAUUGCCACUUUCAAGGAGCACUUCAGCAUGAUUAUAAAGAAGGCAAAACCUGGAUUGAAGGAGGGCAUGUAAAGCUGGCUAGAUCACUUGUAGACUAUUUAUUAUCUUGUACUACAUCCAUCAUGUAAAUCCAUAUGUAUCUGUUUCCCUCUUAUAAAUGAAAAUGCGAAACACAGUGGGGGUCUUCCCCACUGUUUUUGUCAAAAAAAACCACUCUCACAAUACAUUUUUUAACUUUCUCCGACCGAGGACUUCAAUUUACACAAAUGAUAUUCCUGUUGUUUUGAAGUAAAUUAGAGAAAUGACGAGAUCAUGAUUUAUGCCUUCAUUGCGAAUGGAAACGCACUGCAUGAAGUAGUUGAACUUCUCGGGCAUGUUUGUUUUGACCCUGACUCUGUUUUUGACAUGUUGUUUUUUGCACUUCGUGAAGUAGUUGAACUUCUGGGGCAAGUCUAUUUGAACUUCACUCUGUUUCACUUUAUUGUAUUGUUCUUAUAUGAAAUACACAUCAUGUAGUACAUGAACUUCCGGUUGUUAUCACUUUGAACAUCUCGCUGGUUUGAGAGAAUUAUUUUAAAACACAACAAACAACAUAUUUUUUUAUGUAUUUUGGACAUCUAAAUACACAGUGAACCUCUCUCGCAAGUUUUUUUUGAACUUUUACUCGUCGAGCACUUGAACUUCUAGCAACCUUUUUUUCGUUUAUGAGUUGUUUUUAAAAGUGCAAAAAAUGGCAUUGUGUUUUUUAUUUUUUGAACAGGUAAAUCCUAGGUUUUAAUAAACUCCGAACUUCUUUGUUAUUUCAAUAUGAACUUCCCCUUUUUAUAUUUUGAGUAAAGAAUUGUAUUCGAUUUUUAUACCGGAAAAAUCAAACAUGGAAAUAUAAGGUGAACCUCUCUCACAAGAAUUUUUGAACUUCUCCGGACAGAACACUUGAACUUCUUUUAACAAACCUUUUAAGCUUUUAUUUUUCUAUACUUUUAUUCUCACCGGAAAUGCAUUCCUUGCAGUAAUUGAACUUCUCGUUGUUUCACUAUGAACUUCUGCCACAUUUUUGUGUAUACGUCGAAUUACACGCAAUUGAAGGUUGGACGUCAUUUUUUGCCAUUUUUAAAACAUGUAAUUGGAGGUCAGACGUCCCAUUAUGAACCAUGCACGGAGGUGCAUGUGAACUUCUUGCAACAAAUCUGAGUUUUUUUAUAUACUUCGAACUUCUCUGCUAUUUUAAUUUCAACCUCUUAGUCAUAUUCUUAGAAAAGGAAAUAUGUUUUUAGAUAAGCAUCAAACAUUCUUUUUAAAAAUUGAACUUCAUUGUUUUAUUUUUCAUAGAAACGGUAAUAAUUUGAGUUUCCCAUAUACAUCGAAUUACUCCACUUUUUUAAUUUGAACUUCAUCAUUUUUAUUCUUUAGUAACAAUGAAAAUCCGAGUUUUUUUAUAAAUAUCAAACUUACCUAUUUUUGUAAUUUGGACUUCUUGGUUUAUUCUUUUAGUGACGGCAAAAUCUUAGUUUAGUCCCGUUAUUUAAAUUUCAGCUUCUAGAGUUUUUUAGAAAUGCUGAUAAUCUCAUUUUUUUAUGAUUUUUUGAACUGCUCUAUGUUUAAAAUUCAAACUUCUUAUUUUUAUUACAAGCGGUGAAAUAUCCGUUUCAAAUUGCUCUCUUAUUUUUGUACUAUUGUGUUAUUUUUGUGUGAACUUCUUAUGUUCUUCCCGUCAACAGAUUCAAAUUUUCCAUUUUUUAUACAUUGAAAUAUUGCUUUAUUUUAUUUUGAACUUCUUGAUUCCAUUCUUUAAUAACAAGGAAAAUCAUAGGUUCUAUAAUUAUCAAACUUCUCCAUAGUUUUAAUUUGGACUUCUUGGUUUUAUUUCUUGUAGUAGAAAAAAAAUUCUAGUCUUGUAAUAAACAUCAAACCACUUUAAUAAUGGAACAUUUCGUAGGAUUUUUGCAAAGAGUAAAAUCUGAGUUUUUAUAAACAUCAUACCACUCCAUUUUUUUAAAUUUGGGCUUCUUGGUUUUAGAGAAUAAGUAAAGUUUGAACUACUCAUUUUAUUAAAGUUGAACUUCUGAGUUUUCUUUUUUGUUAUGAUUGGGGAAAAUAAAAACUAAACAUUUUUUCGCACACAUCUAACCAUUGUUGUAUUUGAUAAUUCUUUUACAUGAGACCAUCCGAAUUUAUUCAUGUACAAACUUUAUUUUUGCAUUUCUAUUUUGACCUUUUUGCAAAUAUCUUAUAUGAACAUUCUUUGGGCAUCUUUAACGCACUUAUGGACGUGCACUUUUCAAGAACUAUUAAUUUUGGACUCUCACGCAUGAUGAAAUAUAACUACAAUGAUGUGGGUGUUUUUAUUUAAUUUUAUUGCUUUGAAAUAUCUUUUUCUUUUAGGUAAAAUAGGAAACAACAAUUUAACGUGGCUCACAGUUGCUUUUUUUACUUUGUAUAUCUUGGAUGUAUUUCUAGAACAAAAAUCAUAGUUGCUUUAACUUUUAAUAAUAUUACUUCGCCUUUUUCUUGAUGGGAGACGUACUUAGAUACAUUUUGUUUUGAACAAACAAUUCAUGAACUAUCUCAAACUUGACCUUCUCGAACACAAUUUCUUGGCCUUAGGAAAAUAAAUAAAAAAUAGAAAAAUACAUGGUUGUACAAGCAUAAAAAAUAGAUCGAUUUCUUUGUAUUCUCUUUUAUAUGCCUAUAGAAAUACUCAUCAUCCCCUAGGGGCGAUGCACAUGUUUCUGAGAUUGCAGAAACACCGAAAAAUAAAAACCGGUCGCUCCAUCUAACCCCUCCGAGCGUCCCACCCUCCCUUCCGCACCACCUCUCCCCCGAUCCUCCCGACCACCUCCGUAACGAUGACAUAACAAGGAUGGAAAAUGAUAUAUCUAUAGGAAGACCAUCUACAGAAAAGCCACAUCAUAAUCUUUAACCAUGGACAACAAGUUCAAACACAAAACCAAGGACUAUAGUAGCUAAACUCUCGCAGAAAUCUCUCUCUAGCAUUCUAGUUGAACUUGAACAGUAGCACACCAACAUUAGCUAGAGGGCGAGGUAGGACACAACAACAGCAGCUAGCAGCGAACACCAAAUGGAGGCUGGGUCGUGACGGUGGCACUGAGAUGGAGAAGGUGCAGGGCAUGGCAGGCAAAAAUAACUGUGAUUGAAAAGUCUUAAUUAGGUAGGUAGGCGUUACAAGAAAAAAAAAUAGCAAGUACAUCAAGUUUUAGUGCCUCUUUCACACAUAGAUGUGCAACAAAAUUGGCAUUCCUUCUUAUAUAGAUGAACUUGAACCCCUGGAAACUUGUGAGAUACGAAUGCAUCUCUCGAAAGCCAUCGACCGCCUCAGAAAAAGACUUGGAAUCCUUUGACAUCAUGCAUCAAACUUGGCCUUUAGUCUCAAUAACAUUAUUUCAUAAUCCUUUUUCAAUCACGAUCAACAUGGUUGUCCCUGCGAGCCAACUAUCGGCUUUACGAUUAUGAAAAUACUAGAUUUUGGCAAAUGUGUACGAGCUACUGAAGAAAUUGAAGAUAGUUGCAAACAAUAUACGAGCUACAACCUAACAAUUUGCAAGCGCUUGAGUGAAGGCAACACCUUUGUUCUUCUUGAACUUCUCAUUUUUCUUAUUCUGAACUUGAUGUUGUUAUUUUUUUUGCAACUGCCAGUGCCGGGAGGCCGGCUUCGCUCCGUCAGGUAGCCGCGUCCACCUCCUCACAGGAUAGCGAGCAGGGGAGGAAGGAGAGAUAGACCUGGCAGCAAGCGGGGGAGGAGCCGGAGUAGCGCUACAUCAGGGAUGCAGGGUGAACCUGAACCUGAAGUACAUAACACACAUGAAAAACACUCUUAAGUAAUCCAAGCCCUAUCAAUUAGCAAGCAAGGACUAAGCUAGAAAGGAAAAUGAACACACAAAACUAGUACUGGUGCACUAAGACAUUUUAGCCAACAUUUUGCGUGCACACACAAAAACUAGAGAAGUGGAGAGUGAAGAAGCAGAGAGGAGGCACAAUGGGUAGGGAACCUGCAGUGCUGCAUCCGCAUUCAGGGAUGGGUCGGGGACGAAGGAGCUUGCUGGAGCAGCACCCACCACCCCAUGCACGCAAAGUUGGAGCUGGUUGAGAUGAUAUGCGUCCUGGAAGAGUCGCCCUGCUGUUGUGGCACGACUUGGACUGCAGCGACCCACACAAUUUUUGUUGAUGCAUACACAAUGGAGGAGAUGAGCUUCGAUUAGCGUCAAUUAGCGCGCACACAUCUGGCGAGCACAGCGGCCCCGAUCCCGGGAGUGGUGGCCCGACGGCGGUGAACAGCCAGUGCUUUGCAGGGCGGGUCCCGGCUGCGGUGCACUAUGGGGUUCGUGCGGGAGGAUGCAAGGCCGGCCCCCUCCUCACAAGGCAGCGCCCUGCCGGGAGCCAUGGCUGUGACAGGGAUGAGCAAGAUGUUGAGAUCCAUCUUACCUCGCACGACGGUGGCGAAUGACUACAACUGGAGUCAUUGGACUGCAAUGGUGGGGUUGAGCUGGAGGAUGCAAUGGCGGCGGCGACAUGCACAUCAAUGCCGAGCAAAAUAAUGUGCCCAUUUUUGUUUUCCUGCAUUAGAAAAUGUUUUGCAAGAGAUUCCAGAUGCUACAACUAGUUCUCAUUAAAUUGGAGGAUACAAAAUCAAAUUCCCAAUACAAAUACAUUUUUAAUCUGGAACUAACAGAGGUUACAACAGAGAACAAUCCCUGGUUUCUCAAAUUGGAAUUCAUGCCCUUUUUAUGUCAUCGUUACAAACUAGACUUCUUUUUUUUCUAAUAAGAACACACACUAUAAAGGAAAAAUAGAAAUUUCUUUUGCCAUCCUUGGUGGAGCACAUAACGGCAGGUGCAACAAGUUCAGAGUGUGCAAGUAGAAAGGAAGAGGUUCGGAGAAAAAGACUGACACUUGGUCAUGCUGCGGAGGCGUCCUAUAGUCCAUACUUGUCUGGAGCAGCAGUAAUGAGGACACAACUAGAGAUGGCCAACGGAAAUUUUGCAAAUAACACUCCUCGCCACAUCACAUAAUUUGAUCUCCUCCAGUACCUGCUACUACUACUCCUCCUUGUUGGAUUUGGGCACGGCCAACCUGACGACCAACAACAACAGUAGCACAGGUGGGUCUAAUUUUCUAUUAACAACCACUGUCAUACACUGACCAUUGGAGGACAAGUCGUGGCUGUGCACGAGAGAUGCAGAGGGACAAGGGGAGCGUGGAGUGGAUGAGGUAGGAGGGGCUGAGAACAGCAUCAUCGACAGCGGGGCUGACUAAGACGACCUGCGGAGGCGUCGGACGGCGGAGAGACGAGGCUGGAAGCUCGAACGGCGCGCGAUGACCAGCUCAGAGGCGGUGCAUGGGAGAAGGCAGGCUGCGGGGGUGGCGCACGGCGCCCGGUGCACAAGUGACCCGAGAAAGGAGGCGGGAUACAGGGUUGACCCACGGUGAGGUGGGAGGAGCUGGAAGUCCAGAUCAGGGUCUCGGCGUGGUUCGCCAUGGGGAUCCAUGGUGAUGUAUGGCGACUCGCUUGGGGGAGGGAGGUUGGAGCGCCGGCAUCAUCUAGGAGAGGCGAGUGGUGGAAUGAGGAGGGCGCGAGCUCGGGAACGGCGGCGGCGGGCGAGCUCAAGAACGGCUACGGUGGCGCACUAGCUCAGGAACGGCGGCGCGCGCGAGCACAGGUGCCGGCAACGCGUGGAGGUGUGUGGAUCCUGGUGGCGGCGUUGGUGAGAAGUUGGCGGUGUGGGGAGGUGGGUCGCGGCGGCGGUGGUGCGCAGGCGGCAGCGCAGGGAUGUGGCGGCGCGGCGCACGGGGCUGCUUGGGCGCAGCGGCGAGGAUCUGGGAGGUCGCCGCGGCAGUGGCGGAUCUGGGGAGAUAAGACGAGGCGUUUUUUUGUUUUGGGAAGUUCGGGAGGGCCCUGUCGGGCCUACAUAGUGCGUUGUGAUCCGAAUAGUUAUUCUAAUCCCAGGAUUAGAAUAGUGUUACUAUAUAUAUAUAUAUAUAUAUAUAUAUAUAUAUAUAUAUAUAUUCCUACCCAAGUUAAAGGGACCAAAAAGAGUCUGUUGUAAAAGCACAACUCAAACAUAGGUACCCCUUGGGCACAACCACAAUAUCACUUGGGGGCUUGGUCAUAUUCGAACCGUAGCUUAAACCCUCUUAGUAGGCGUAAGGCCACCAGGAAAAUCACUUGGGGGCUUGGUCGUAUUCGAACCAUAGCUUAAACCCUCUUGAUAGGCGUAAGGCCACCGGGGAAAUCACUUGGGGGCUUGGUCGUAUUCGAACCAUACCUUAAACCCUUUUGAUAGGCAUAAGGCCACCAGGGAAAUCACUUGGGGGCUUGGACAUAUUCGAACCACAGCUUAUACCCUCUUGGUAGGCGUAAGGCCACUAGGAUGAUCACUUGGGGGCUUUGGUCUAUCCGUACCAUAGCUUAAACUCUCUUGAUCGGCACAAUGCCACAAUUAUGCCAAUUCAAAACCUCUUGAUUUUUUAGGUUUAUUUAAUUCCACUUAUCAUACUUUAUGGUUCUAAUGCACUGAUGUUCAUUAAACCGGCUUGGUUUUGACUAUAAGUCGUCAGUAUGCUAUCCGGUGUUUUUAACAACACCCGGUCCAACUUUAUCUGUAAACCGGUAACAUCUGAUACUUAUCAAGGUUCCAGUUGUGGGUUCUAACCCUCAUUACACUAGUUUGGGGUGAUCAACCAUCAUAGGUAUGAUAUCUUUUAAUGAUUAUUAUUUCCACCAGCUUUGAUUAUAAAUCAUGAUAAAUUCAUGUUGGGGCAGUAUAACCCAUCCUGCGGUAAACCGCCAGGACAUUUUUUCUCUGUUGUAUGAAGGAACAACUUUAGGAUGAAUAAUAUCAUCAGGCAUACAUGGCGUGUCUUCACAUAACGGAUAAAGAAGUAUCAUAGAAACAACCAAAUAUGCACGAGGGAAUAUUAAAGCAAAAAGUUUGAAGCUAGCCCAUUACAAGGCAUUUUGAGCCCAAAAGAUAAUGGUUUUUAAGUCUCAAAUAGCAGCUGAUAAACCGACCCCGGCUCAUGAAUCCUAACCCGGCUGACUAGAUGGUUGCACCUCACCCCUUGCCGGUUCGUCUUCCUCCACCGUCUGGAAAUUGGGUUUGGACCAGUCAAAGCCAUGAAGGGCGACAAAUUCAGACUCAUCAUCAAUCAGACCAGACGGGUCAAUCUCAGGGGCGAAAGUGUGCUUACGAAUCGGCGGGAUUAAGUCCAUCACUUUAUAGGAAGGAGUCGCCAUCUUCUUAUUGUCUGCAUCAAAACCCGGCCGAUACUUAGUGAGGUUGGUUUCUUAACCGAUAAUGGUAGCACGAGGACGCGUUUCCUUGACACAAGCAGCAAAAUCUUCUUGGUUGAAAGGUGUUCCAUCUUCUUUAAAGCUGGGGGUAUCCUUUAGCCACGUCUGCCGGGUCUAAUUCUGGCACCCAGGCUUUAGCAGAGCUUAAAGUUGUUACAACUCCAGCUCUCGCGCAUGAUCGCUUGAUUUCUUGGAACCGGCCGGGCAAGAUAGACAGCUUCUUCAAGAUGUCACUUAAUAGAGUCGGCCACUGAUUCACGGGGGAGAUAGGGGCAAGCGUCCGUUGAGCUCCGGUGUACAACUGUUCAACUAGCGUGUAAACCGCCUUCAGCUUUACCAUGGUAUCCCUGUUCAGAUUGCUGCUCUUGGGACCUAAAAAUAUCAUACAAUGAGUUAAGUGGCGGCUUAUAAUGGAAUAUAUUUAUUUGAAGUAUGUAACAAAGUGACUUACCGAAGAUUGCAGAAACCAUUUGAGACACACAGUUCUUUAAACCGGUGAGUUUAGCAGUGACUUCUCCUAGAGCCGCUUCAGCCUUCUCUGCACGAUGUGUUAAAACAAUCUUCUCAUUAGCCCAAGCUUAUUUUUCCGCUGUGAAGUUGGUCUUCAAUUUUUCGGUCUCAGAAACACUCAACUGGAAUUUGGAUUCAACCUUCUUUGUCUCUAUCUCUUGAGUCCCUAGUCGGGCCUUGGCCUCAACAGUUGGGAUUCUAGUUCUGUGGUUGCAGCCUGCAUACAGCAUAAUGUUGUUUCAGUUUCAUGGCGGAUUAUAAAAGAUAAGUCCCAAGUGUUUUGUCAACAAUAACACUUGGCACUUCGGGGCUAAUGUCUGUCAGCGCAAUUUUUUUCCAAAGGAAACAAUUUUUCUAAAAAGUCCAAGUGUUUUGCAGGCAACAACACUCGGCACUUGGGGGCUAAUGCAUAUUGCUUGACUUUUCUUUCUACAAGUGAGCCGUAUAAGCUGUCCACAGUCUCAGCCGGCUCAGGCAGGUUAUACGGUUUAGUUCAAUGCAAUAAUUAGUACGACCGGCUCAUUCAUACUGAUUAAACCGGCCCUUGGAGGCUAGUAGGCUAUAUAACUUAUAUGAGCCGGAGAACAUACCUCAUAUUUUUGAUGCAUAUGUUUGACCAUUUCAAUUUCUGAGUCAUGGCUGGAGUGCACUUGACUGAGAUAACCGGAUAGCACUUCACUAAUACUCAGGUGAGCAUAGUGGGAGACAUCCAACCUCACCUUUUGCCUCUACAUAACUUCUUGUUUGGCAGAGUGUCUUGCCAAGACAGUUGGGUUCCCCAGUUCAACGAAUCUAGUGCUAGUGAUUAAAACAUCAACAUUGUGCUUCUCCGGCGGGUUAGCUGAGCUUGACGGAUCAAUACUAGAUGGAUCAAUAGUAGUUUCAUCUGUAGACUGCUCGGGUAAAUCAGGUUGAACGUUGAAGGCAAGGUCCUCUGGCCAUUUAGCGUGUUCGGGCAGAAAUGUUGACUGCUCCAGGUCUUCAAGAUGUUCUGGUACGAGGUUUGGCUACUCCGGUUCAGUGGUUCUCGGAUCCUCAGCCGGUUUUGUUACAUUUGCUUUCUUGGGCUUUGCUUGACCGCUAGAAAGGAUUAGACAAGUCAGUACAAUGAUACAUAUUUAAAGGUGUAUAAGAAGGGUAGUUAUCUUUACCCGGGGGCGGUCUUGAAAGCCGGAAAUUGCGUCUGUGAUGAAUCGCAGGAGGAGGAACGGGAAAUCUCCUAUAAAUAUGGAAUCAAAAAGAAGUGAUGAAGGUAAUUCAUUGAAUAAAUACAAGGGUGAAAGUCAAAAAAGAACCUCAUUCUGGCGUUUCCAAGGAGUUUUUGGUAAGCCGAAGGGUAAAUCGUCGUCUCCACCGGCUGAGUCUGCCGGCGGCUUUCAUGUUGCUGUCGUUUAAAAAUAAAAUGAGGAUCUAAAUAAGCCAAGGGGUGUCAAAACCUUUCUUUCCGGGUUACCCGCCGAAGUUUCUGCCUUGGUAAAGGUUCUGAGUCGGUGGAAAUAAUAUUUACCUCUUCUUCAACUGCCUGGCUGGCCCCCGUGUCAUCCUGGUAAUAGUCAAUGUCAAUAAGGUGGUUAAAAAGCAAGCCAAGAGAGUCAAGGGCUACCUCUGACUCAGAGGUGUCAUCCAGCUUGAGUAACUCAGAGGCGGUUGGCUUCUUCUUCUUCGAUUUUCUGACGAUUUUCUUGGCGGCUAUCGUAGCAGCUCUAGCUUUCUUGGCAGCCUCAUGGUCAUACUUGACUUUCCAAAAGUUAGAUUUAGCCUGUGGAAGGGUAGCAUGUUGAAAUUCAUGCAAAUAUUUAAACUGCUGAAGGAAAAGAAGUCAAAGGAUUUACCUCUAGCGCCGGGUUAAGCUUGCAGAAAGGAUUUAACCCCACUAUGCUACAUCUUCAUACUUGCUGUUGACAAGAGUAGUUGCCAUUUCCGCAAUGGCUUCUUCCGUCAGACGCAGGGAACUAUGACGUAAUGGAUCAUCUAUUCCUCUGGUGUAGUUACACAUCAAGCCAGAUCGGCGGCUCAGAGGGAUGAUCCACCAUGCGACCCAACAGUGGAUCAAGUCAACUCUAGUUAACCCAUUUCCAAGUAAGGCUUGAACUUUUUGGAUUGUGGGGACAAGUUUCUUGCAUUCAGCGGCAAAAAGCUUAUCAGGAAGUUGAUACUUGGCGUCAAGACGUUCAACACAGUAACCCGGCAUUGGGUUUUCAUCAGACGGUGAGGAAUCCUUGCAAUAAAACCAUGUCUGAUUCUAAUCCUUAGGAUGGCUUGGCAGAACUACAAAAGGGAAGAUGGCAUCCCAUCUACGUUGAACUGAAAUCCCGCCAAGUUCUAAGCUGGGACCAUUGGUGUAUUCAUUCUGGCGGUUCAGGUAGAAAUAUUCUCUAAAAAGCUCCACCAAAGGUUCUUGAAGAUAAACCUCGCAGAAAACUUGGAAGUUGCAGAUAUUUGAUAUGGAAUUGGGUCCGAUAUCUUGCGGGUGAAGCUUGAAAAAAUGCAAAUCAUCUCUAAAUAAUUUUGAGCCGGGUGGUGAGAAGCCCCUGUUCAUGUGAUCAGUGAAAACAAUAAUUUCACCGUCCUUCGGCUGAGGUUUCACUUCAGCUGGGUCAGGAGCAUGGUAAGACAUGACACUUUUUCAGGUAAGUAUCCAACAGUGACAAAGUCUUUCAAAGUACUUUCGGUGACUGUGGAAGGGACCCAGUUGCAAGUGGUCAUCGUCUUUGGAGGCAUGAUGAAAUGACAAUCUAAAAGAAAUAAUUUGCCGGAUCAAGUUAGUUAGUGGGACUGCAAAUCAACAACUACAGAGCUUGUUUUAAGCAAGGGCUAAUGAUAUAUGAGGUACAGGUAAGCCGGGAGAGUAAGCCGCCAUGGUUAAGAUAUUCAAGAAUGACCAAAAACAAGAUUGGCUAAAUACUGAGAUAAACAAGUUCCACAUUUGGAGGUUAUAAAUUUGGAUUUACUGCCGUUCAGGAAAAGGGGAUAAAUUCAUCUAUAAAAGGCGACAAUGGAAAAAUAGAGAAGCCCUAGAGGAGAUUUUCCACGGCGGGGAUGUGAUCUAGUAUUAAAACAAGUGCUAAAACUACCACCGCGCAAGCUUUCCAUAUAUUUUGGAUCUAAUACGUGGAUCUAAAUAAAGGAAAAGGAGGAGGAGGAUGAACGCAGAUGAACACCGAAGAACACCGAUGAAACCCUAAUGGCGAGAUUAGGGAUGAACAGAGGAAGACUUACUGGGGAUGUAAGAGUAGUGGAGUUGCACCGCAGUUCUCUGGUUUUCUCAGGGCGAUGCAGCGGCCGGAGUCGAGGACGAGGACAGAGGUCGACGGCGGCAGGGCUCGUACUAGGACGGCACGCUGUGAGGAAGGAAGGAGACGGAGAAGAAUGGAAGAUGGCUUUCGGGUCCUAUUUAUAAGGAGACAGAAACAGGCAGGCACGAAAGACGAGGAUGCCAAAUGAUAGUUAUCCAGCUAAUUGGACGCCUCGAUUUUCGGGAAGACAUUAAGAUAAAGAUCUGUUAAGAUGGCGUCGGGCGGGUUUCCAAAAAUCUAGGAGAUGACGUCAUGGCGGGUUACAAGUUUUCGUAGCGGGAAUGAGAGGAUUUUUUCUAAGUAUUGAAGGUUGACAUGAACGAGUCCAAAUCAACCUGGGCCUAAUGUUGGGGAUAUGAUUAUUAGGUAUGACCCGCCCAGGAGGGGCCGGGUCAACCCUAUGAAGAUUCAUCACAAUGAAGCCCAAGGUCACAUGUCGAUUCAUAGAUAGGCUUAGUAGAGGGCCCAGACCCAAAGGUGGCUUAAAGCCCACGAGUAUGAACCGCCAUAUAUGUAAACUUGUACUGUAAGGCAUGUGUAAAAGGUCACCGAGCCGGAUACAUUGUAUAAGCCGGCCGGGACUUUGAGGGCCACAGGGCAUCUUCCUGUGUAUAUAAGGGGACGACCUAGCGGCGGCUUAGGGCAAGAAACAACAGAUCGAGAGCCAGGUCAAGCAUAUUCGCUCCUUGCUCGUCGAAACCCUAGCAAUACCAACUAAAAACUGGACUAGGCUUUUACCUUCAUCGUAAGGGGCCGAACCAGUAUAAACUCUCCGUGUCCUUUGUCCUGUUUAACCCCUUUUAAGUUAACCUCAACGCGAUGGCUCCACAACUAAGUGCUCACACUAGGACAUCUGCCGUGACUAUUCCACGACAGUCACGGAACUCGCAAGUUGAUCACCAAAACAUACAUCAAGUGGGUCAUGUGAAUAUCCCAUUGUCACCACAUAUAAGCACAUGCAAGACAUACAUCAAGUGUUCUCAAAUCCUUAAAUACUCAAUCCGAUAGGAUAACUUCAAAGGGAAAACUCAAUCCAUUACAAGAGAGUAGAGGGGGAGAAACAUCAUAAGAUCCAACUAUAAUAGCAAAGCUCGCUAUACGUCAAGAUUGUGCUAAAUCAAGAACACGAGAGAGAGAGAGAGAUCAAACACAUAGCUACUGGUACAUACCCUCAGGCUCGAGGGUGAACUACCCCCUCCUCGUCAUGGAGAGCACCGGGAUGAUGAAGAUGGCCACUGUUGAUGGAUCCCCCCGGCAGGGUGCCAGAAUGGGGUCCCAAUUGUUUUUUGGUGGCUACAGAGGCUUGCGGCGACGGAACUCCUAAUCUGGGUUAUUUUCUGGAGGUUUCAGUAUUUAUAGGAAUUUUUGGCAUCAGGAACAAGUCAGGAAGGUGCCCGAGUCGUCUACGAGAAAGGGCAGCGCGCCCGGGGGGUAGGGCGCGCCACCACCCUCAUGGACGGCCCGGGACUCUUCUGGCCCAACUCUUUUACUCUGGGGCUUCUUUUGGUCCAUACAAAAUCAUCAAAAAUUGGCACAUCAAUUGGACUCCGUUUGGUAUUCCUUUUCUGUAAGAGUUAAUUACACUUUUAAUACAUGAACUUGCAUGAUGGAUACAAAUUCAUACAUAAAGUUGAAAAAUGUCAUAAAGUAGUACAACAACUUGCGUUUGAGGUAUACUUACAUACAUUUCGGAUCCCAGGCCAUUAUCUCUCAAACCAAAGACAACACAACAUUGACCUAGAAAGGCUAGCCAGUCCACCAACCGUUACUUGUUGUUUAAUUUGUCAUAAUCUCCUUAUAUCAUCGACAUAAUUGUUCUUGUUCUUUCUCCAUAUAAUUUUUGAAACCAAACUGGCAUGCCUGUCGGUUCACAUUUCUACAGCCGUACUGCCCGUUUACUGGUUCCUCAGCUAUUUUUUAGGCACUAUAAUUUAGGAUAUAUUCUUUACUAAGAGCAUCUAUAGCCAGACCCUCCAUACCUGCCCUAGAUGCCCCGACGGGCUGCCUGAUCACUGUCUGGACCAAAAAACGCCACCCAACCAGGCUACCCGUAUUCGGCCUAAACGUCUGGACUUACCGAUACUCUCCAUAUCCCGCCAUAUACGGGGCGAAUAUGGGAGUCCCGGAAGCGCCUGAGCACGCCCGCCACGUAGGACUGACCGCUGGUGUCCGUGGCAAUUUGGUCAUAUGAGCCUCCCCUGUCCUUGCUUGAGGAACACUCUUCUCUUCUCUAUUCACCCUCCUCCGCAUUAUCGUCACCAGACUUACGCCGGCAUCGGUGCUCCGCCGCCAUCCCAACUCAGGGCUUCACGACCAGACGCCCCAACCCACACUGCCGCCGACCAGGUCGGCAUCGGACAAGGUUGCCGCCACCGGACGGCUUCCCGGUAUGUCAAACUCCCCCAUAUUUUCACCCCGCGCUCUAUGUGUUCGAUGAAAUGUCUAAGCUGAUUUUUGAUUCUUUUGGUCAUUACUUCUAUUUCACCAAUGGAUUCGGCAUGUAAAUCAAUAAACUUUGCAAAUAUCCUUGGACAACUUGGUUUUUUCCCCCGGUUUGUUAAAAAAAUACUUCUGGUUUAGUGGGCUAGUAAGCCAAACAAUUACUUGAAAGUAAAGUAUCACUUGCGUGUAGUGCAUAGUUUUUUAUUCAGAUCAAUUCUACCUCUAAAAGAUAUAUAAAAUCACUAUAUACAUCUGAACCAGUAAUAAUAUGUAGCUCACUGGUUAGUCGAUCACCGCUUGCCGCAAACUCUCGAGUUCUAGUCCUGUGGGAGCAACGCAUCUUUAUUUUUCUUCCUCUUUUCCCACUUACAGGUGGGCCCCACACUUAGAGACCACAUGGAUUUAACAUGGAGAUAUCCUAAAAAAUGUUAACUGGGAGAUAACAUCCAUGGGCGGAAAUGUAUGUAAAUGUACUUCAAACAUAAGUUGUUGGACUAAUUUGUGUCAUUUUUUAACUUUAUGUAUGAAUUUGUACGCUCCGUGCAAAUUUAUGUACUAAAAGUGUUAUUAACUCUUUCUGUAAAACUCAAAAACAAGGAAAAAAACUGACACUGGGCUCUAGGUUAAUAGGUUAGUCCCAAAAAUCAUAUAAAAUAGCAUAUAAAUGCAUAUAAAACAUCCUAGAUGGAUAAUAUAAUAGAAUGGAACAAUCAAAAAUUAUAGAUACGUUGGAGACAUAUCAGAGACGUAUCAGCAUGGUGUCACGUCAUAUAUUCAUGGUAACAACAUUGUCCAAUUUGGGCCAAGCUUUAUUACAAACCUCUUACAAAAACUGGAGCUUCUCUCAAAGAAGCCUCGUGGUUCUGAUAGGGAAAUGUGUCCCCCUUGUGGGCGAAACGUAAUAACUGCCUCUUUUCGCCUUGUAUUUUCUUCUACGGGCAACAUGGAACGACAGGAUAUUUGUGUUGAAAUUUAAACGAUAUUCGUUGCGUAUUCUCGCCUUGAACUUUGUUUUUUAUAGGCGACAUAGAAUAACAGGACUGUCGGGCUGAAAUUUGAAACUGUUCAGGGUUCGUUUGGCCAUUGUGUGUGUAUAUAUAAUAUUCUGAAUAAUAUUAUGAUCACAACCUGACCUACCCCGCUAGUAGUACGUUGAACUUCCCUGUGAACUAGGUUGAACUUCCGCCAACAUUGCCCAAAUGGGGCUUGCGAUAUACUGUUGGAAAGCUAUGGACCCCAAUAUCAUGACCCAACUUAAAUUUUUGGCAAAAUAUAAGCGGUUUAAGAGCAGCUUUGAAAACCGUUAAUUCUUCGCACAAAAAACAUGAAUCGUAUUUUCGAUCGCAUUUCUAAACCGUUUAUCGGAAUGAGGCAUAUAAUAUGGCGUUGGAAAGCUGCUGCAAAACCGCCCCUUCCACAUGUUGAAAGUUUUCUCUAAUUCCUUAUGGUUAAAGAGUAAUUUGAAAAAACGUAAAAUUUCGUAAACCGAACAGCUGAGUUCGUUUUUUCGAUGUCAUUUCUAAAUGGCUAAUCCAGUGGAGGCAUAUGAUAUGGCUUUGGAAAGCUUAUGAAAAUGCGCUACUUUUUCAUCUGGAAAGCUUUUUUCUAAUUUUGAAUGGUUUAAGAGUAAUUUAGAAAAUGGUCCAAGUCCUACCGAGUUCGUAUUUUCGAGCUAAUUUUUUAACCAUGCAUCCAAAUGCAUCAAAUGAUAUGGCGUUGGAAACCUUGAACAAAUGCGAAACUUUUUGGUAUGUAUUGUUUCUCCCAAUUCUUUACGGUUUUAAGUCAGUUUCGAAAAUGGCGAAAAACGUAUUUUUGCCGUAAUUUCUACGAACUUUACCGGAAUGGGGCAAAUAAUAUAAUGCUGAAAAGCUAGGGAAAAUGCGAAACUUUUUCAUGUUGAUGGUUUUCUCUUAUUCCUAGCCGUUUUCAAGUAAUUUCGAAAAUGGCGGGAUCUUGCGUUCUGCCUUUAUCGUGAAACAGAUUCUUCGAAAAUGCACCGUGUGAAGAACCUGAACUUCUCGGCGCGUGUACCUGAACUUCACUCUGUUUUUCACGUGAAUUUUUUGCUCGUAGGUCUCCAUCCACUUCUCGUAACUCUCCAUCCACUCACCGGAAUUGAGCAAGUGAUAUACCAGUGGAAAGCUGCUGUAAGCACAUAACUUUCCCGUGUUGAUCGUUUUUCAUACUCGUGAUGAUUUUAAAAGUUUUUCAUCUGAAAUUCAUUUGGCGUAGUAGUUGAACUUCAUACUGUUUUUACGUUGAACUUCUGUGACGUAUUUUCGUUUGUAAUUUUCUCAUCCAUUCGUCAGUGUUACACAAAUGAUAUUCUUGUUGUACAAACCUCUCUCACAAUAAUUUUUUAACUUUCUCCGACGAAGUACUUGAAAUUAUAACGAGAACAAAUUUAGCCUUUUCAUUUUUAUUCUUUUUAAUACAAAAUGCACAUCGUGUAGAACGUGAACUUCUGGUAGUUUAUCAACCUGAACUUCUCUCGGUUACGUGAAAAUAUCUAAGUUUUUUAUAAAUAUUAAUCUGAAUUUCUUAAUCCUUUUUUUGUGAAUUUUAAAGCACUCCAUUUUUAAAAGUUGAACUUCUUGUUAUUUUAUUUUUUGAACUUCUUAUUUCCAUUCUUUAAUAACGAGGAAAAUCUGAGUUUUCUAUAAUCAUCAAACUUCUCCAUAUUUUUAAUAUGGACUUCCUGGUUUUAUUUUCUUAAUUUUUUUAUGAAACUUUGAACUGCUGUAUUAUUAAAAGUUGAACUUCUUGUUUUCAUUCUUAACAAAUUUGAGUUUUUAUAUACUUCGAACUUCUCUGUUAUUUUGAAUUGAACUUCUUAGUCUUAUUCUUAGAAAAAAUAUGUUUUCAAAGAAGCAUCAAACAUUUUUUUAAAUCGAACCUCACACAUUUAUUGUUCCUAGGGAUGGAAAGAAUUUGAGUUUCCUGUAAACAUAAAACUACUCCUUUUAUUUUAAUUUGAACUUCUCUAUUUUUAUAUUUUUGAACUUCUGACAAAGAGAUUGUUCCUAGUGACAAAGAGAAAGCUGUUUUUUAUAAAUAUUGAACUUCUCUAUUUUUAUAUUUUGGACUUCAUGGUUUAUUUGAAAUACUUUCUUUUUCCAUUUGAACAUCUAAAUACACGGUGAACCUCUUUCAAAAGAAUUUUUGAACUUUCCCGGACCGAGCACUUGAACUUCUACCAACAAAACUUUUAGACUUUGCCCUUUUAUUGUAUUUUUCUAAUACGAAACACACACCAUGUAGUACGUGAACUUCUGACAGUUAUCGCUUUGGAUUUCUCUUUUGUUUCUCGUUAGUAAUUGAAAAAAUCUGAGUUUUUAUAGACAUCGAUCCGCUCUAACUUUUUAGAAAACAAAAUUAUAGUUUUUUCCGCUUUCUACGAUUUAAUUUUUUGUCUCGCGACAUUUUUAGGCAUUUUUUUGUUGUCAGUGAAAUGGCCUAGACGAACCUUUUUUUCAUUGAUGAUUUCCUUCAGUAUAUGGUACACGUGAACUUGUGAAUUUCUAAAACAUGAACUUCACAUUUAUAUCUAAAACAUAAUGGUUUAGCUUUUUAGAAAUAUACUUCGGGGCGUAUAUAAUCGUCAGUGUUGAAUUAUUUUGAAUACAAGCUCAAAUUAUUUUAAACUUCUUGGUUGUCCUUUUAGAAAGACGAAUAACUAUUUUGAACUCCGUCGCUCGUUAUUUAAGUUUAACCUUUCAGAAUUAUUUUAUUUAGUAAUGGUGAAACUCUUUUUUGAUAAACUUUUUUGAACUUCUCUAUUUUCAUUUUAACCUUCUUGGUUUUGUAAUACAUAUUGAACUUCUUCGUUUUUAAAAUUUGAACUUCUAGUUUUUAUUAUAAAUAGAUUCAACAUAUUACUUUUAUUCCUUUUUUUGGAUAAGAGAAACAAAAACUGUAUUGUACAGUGAGAAGUUCAUUUUUUUGCAGUGUGAAAAGUUGCAUUUUGUUGUGAAUUUGUUGUUGUUUUAUUUCUAUAUUUUUUUACAAAAUGAACAAUGCAUGUUUCGCUGGGAGAAAUGCACAAACAUUGACUGUAUAAGGGAAAUUACUACAUGCUUAUGCAGGUGCAGAAAUAUGAAUUAUUUAGAGAAGGGAGAAACUCUGAAUUUGUAGCUCGAUAGAACCUAAACUUCUGCUUUCUUUGUGAUUUGGGAGUCUGGGUAAGUUAAUAUCAUUAAGGAGCAGCAACGGAAUAGUAUAUGUUUGUGUACAGAUCCAAGAGCAUAGCUUUCACAAAACUUGUAUGAAGAUUAUCUCCAAAGAAGCAGGGACCAGGGGACUAGUCGGUCGUAGGAGAUGCAUCAAUUGCAGAGUUGAAGCACGUAAAUGGAAAAAAUCUAAGAAGUCCAAGUAUUGUUACAACGAGAGCACUACCCGAUGCAGUUGGAAUGGCUGCACACGCACGACGAUCUGGCCCCGAUCCAAAGGGAGUGGCCUUGGAAGAGGAGGCACACAACAGUGCGUACCAGAUCUCUCCAAUCCACAUGGGCCACGAGGAUGAAUGAUGAGCUGACCACACAAAAGUAAAACUGAAAAAAAGUGUCCAUGGAUCCGGUACAUACAAUCUCCUAUGAGCUUUGAAUCUGAAGCAGGUCGGCAGGGUUACUGACCGCUGCGAGUGAGAGAGACCAUGGAUGGAUCCUCCAAAAGAGAAGAAUCCUGCAAAGCUCACCAUUUUGUUUACUGUCAGCCGCUAGUAGAUCCUGUCGGUGAGGCGACGAGGUCUCACCGGCGCUAAUUAAUCUUGAAAACCAUGCGGGUGAUCUUAAGUCUGCAUGAGUAUAUAAUUAGCGCCAGUGGGGAGACAAAAGUUCAAGUACGCGUAAGCUAGCUUUGCUCCCCGCAGGGUGAACGCAUGGGGGAUAACGCGGAGGUGAACGGAGGCCCGACAUGUGGCCUUGGACAGCCGAAUCAGAUAGAUACAAGGGCGGCGCUGGCGGGAGGUCCAUCCAACCACCACACGUAGGUGGCCUUGGACUGAGGUGAAGCAUCAAUGACGGAUCCGGCCCCAGCUCUGGCCGGUGAACUUCGUGCCGCGGCCCAAUCGACCUGCAGGAGCAUGGUGGGGAGACGUGCAUGGGAUCUCUCCCCGAUGGUGAUCCAGGGCGGUGCCGGCGCAGGUGGUCAGCGGCGGAUGGUUGGCCGGGCCUCGCUCAUCGGAAUUUCGGAGAUGGCACUGGAUCCAAGAGGAAGGGCAGGAAGCGGCAGGAAGCGGGGUAGAGAGGAGGUGCUGGGGUGGGCGUCGACGGUGGGAGGCACGCCGGAGCCGGAUGGGCGGUGGCCGAAGGUGGGCGGGCGGUUUGGUAGGGAGGAUUCGGGAGGCGACGCGGGAGGUGGGCGACGGGGGAUGGGGGAUGGGCGUUCUUUUUUUUCUUCGUUUGAAUGCUCCGAUCUCAGGAACACCUCAUCGCCCCUAUAUAUAGAGCGUUGUGAUCCAAAUAACUAUAUUACUAAUUACUUAGUUUUCUAUGCAUUUAAUGUAGUCCAUAAUUCAAAUUUGAACUACAACCACAUGCUCCAGUGAAGCAAAAUGGGUGGGAAAUCGUACAUGUGUCAUUGGGUGCAUGUUUAGGUCUCGUUUAAGGAAUGAGAAUGAAUUACAAACUUGUCGUCAUCCUGAAACAUUGAGAAUCUCAGUUUUUAAAUCCCAGUAAAUCAAAAAGUCACCCAAAAAACAAGAAACUUGGCAUGGUUUCAUGACAUGGCACAUAUAUGCCAUGGUGAAAAAUCAUCCAGUUUGAGAAGAGGCACACACAUUAGUAGCUAAUGAAGUCCUUUUUGAAACAAAAAGCUAACACGUUAAUAUCGCAAAUGGUUGUAUUACAUUUACCAUGUCGAAAUUUAACCAUACCCGCUGGCGUGCGUGCAGCUGUUUGAUUAGACGGGACGGGCGCGAGAAGUCCGCCGUGCAGGCUCGACGGGAUGCAUGCGAGCAGUCCGCCGUGUCGUGGUACUAAGUUUGACAAUAGAAUGGGGGGUAGGUAUGAGGAGGCAAGAUCCUAGCUACGGUGAAGUUGUGCACGCAAGAUUUACGAGUUCAGGCCCUUCCCAGAGGAAGUAACAGCCCAACGUCUCGGUCCCCAGAGGCUUGGUCGAUAGGAUUAUGCGUGAAGUUACAUAGGGUGCGAACCCUUGUCCCAGAGGAGGGGGGUGGCUUAUAUCGAGUGCGCCAGGACCCCAGCCAUCCCCCGUUACACAGGGUUCAAUGUACAUAAAGAGAGGACGCGACUAGUAAUGCCAGCAUUAAAGUGAUAUAAAUGACCCUUAAGUCUACUGAGUGAACGUCCUACCAUUGCCAUCCAAAGUAACCAUAGAUAUUCUGUACUCUGAGUGGUUCCUGAUGGUUGAAUGAUUAUAUCCUGGUCGAAUGGAAUUGAGUUAUCCGAGUGGAACUCAUGGUCGAGUGUGUUGCAUCUUGAGGUGAUUCCAGUCGGUAUAGUUUGCUGUCCUUUGAAUGUCUUUGACUAUAGGGUAGUGCCCUUGGGAAGGGUACUUAGAUCAGGUAUAUUGCCCUACCCCAGGUACAUGUCAUCGUCAUUAGCCCCCGAAUGGUUCUGGAUCCGAGCGGAGAUGGAGUUGAAGAUGGUUUCGACCCAAUCUUUGCGCCGCGGAAGCAUUUUACUUAGUUUGGAGAACCAUGCAACAACUUCGACUUCAUUUUUAGUUGCCUUGAGCCAUUCAGAGAUUAUUGAGUGAAUUUUGCUGAUAAGCUUCGACUGCUGAUACUGCAUAAAAUCUCCGGCGUGAUUGACUGCUCUGCCGUUUCCGGAUCUCACGAGAUUCGAAAUUUGGGGAAGCGCAUGGGGCGGAGAGGGCCAUAGUAAUCAGAGCAGAUUAGGCAAGGUGCCUCGAUCCUUGCGCCACCUUUUUCAUCACGUACUGCGCGCGCGACUAUUAUGGGAUUUGACAGGAUCGCCUGGACCCACAAGUCAGCCACUCAGGGAGCCAACCCAUAUAAGGCGUUCGGGCCAAGGCCUUUGCACUAUGCGCCCCAUUUCCCCCUUCUUCCUGUGCUUCUCCACCGCAUCUGCUCUGCUCUUAGUGCCGCCGCCCAGUCCAAGCUCAAUCCGCCGCAAUGGGGAAGGAUAGGAUGGUGACUCUGGAGCGCAUGAAGGAGGCGACAACAAAGGCGAAGGGGAAGAAGACGAGCCGGGCAGGGUCGUCAUCGAGAAUUGGCCUACCGCCCGGCUGGAUCCAGGGCGACUGGAUCCGGUCGAUGAUCCAGCGAGAAGACAUGGAUGAUUUGGUGGACGGGGGCUUGAUUCCCCACAAAUCUUGGCGGCUUCUGGAGGACGAGACCGAGCCGUGACCGCAAGAGGGUGAGUGCGUCCUUCUUGCGACCCAUGUCGACCGCAGCUUCUCUUUGCCUCCCCACCCCUUCUUCCGGGGUUUCCUGAACUUUGUUGGAGCCCAACUUCAUCACUUUUCUCCCAACAACAUAACAUACCUUGCCGUAUACGUGUCCAUGUGUGAGAAAUUUCUGGGUUGGCGACCGCACUGGGGCCUCUUCAAACACAUUUUCACCUGUCGUUCUCAGUCGGUAAAAAAGGCCAAUCCGAGUGAUGAGAGGACACACGUGAUCCAGAUGUGCAGAGGUCCAGGGAUCCAGAUGAGAAAUAAAAGCACUUUCCCCGCCAUGAUUUUUCCCGAGUCAGUCAGGGGGUGGCAAUCGACUUGGUUCUAUUGUAAGGACCAACCGACCCUAGGCCAGUCGACUGGCCUUCCCCCGUUUUCCAUAGAAUGAGUAGAGAAGCCUUCUCCUUUGAGAGUGACUCCGGCUGAAAAUGCGGAGGUGAAUAUGUUGGUUGAGCGAGUGGUCCAACUUGUCCGCGAUGGGGUGACUGGCAUGGACUUGCUAGAAGUUUUUCUCAGUCGACACAUCCAGCCACUCCAAGCCCGUGAUCAUCCAAUGUGGAUGUACUCGGGUGUUGAAGACAGUACUCGGAUCCACCUAGAGGAUGUCGAUGAGGGGACAGUCGCGCAGUGGCUGCAAGGUAUUACUGGCAACAAAGACAACCCCGAGGGGUCUAGGAGGGUUGCUCCACUCGAAAACACCAUCGAACCUAACAAGGUCUUAUUCUUUCCUCCCAAGUGUAUCUUGCUCUAAUAUGUGUUUGGUCUUGAAACUGAUUGAUAUCCACUCAACCCCGUGUCUUCCAGAUCUACACUGAGAUGCACUCGAUGCCGAACGGAGAGCAGGAGGAUGAGGGAGAGGCGAGUGGAGGGGACAAUGGCGAGUGGCAUUCUGACAGAAGGGGAGACGAGGAGAGCGAGGACUUGAGCAGUGGUGAGGAGAUCGACUCCCCUCCUCGCAUGGAAAGACGCUCCAAGCAGAGGCAGGACCCGGCCAGUGUCCAUGGCAAAGCGACCCCCUCGACUGAACAGACUUCCAAGCGCACAAGGACAUCUUCUCCUGCGCCGACUGAGAAAGCCCCGAAGCAACUCAAAGUCAUGCCGCCAAAACCCUGGAAGGACUUGCCCAAGAUCAAAGUGGACAUCUCUAUCGCUUCUGGGUAAUCACUGAGCUCGACCUCUUAUUUUUAGCGUGACCCGUUCUUUGGUCGAUUCACUUUCCUAUUUUAACCGAGUAAAUUCUGAAAUUUGCAGUGCUGCCGCUGGGACUUCAAUGUACCAAGAUGAUGAAGACGAGGAGAUGGAGGAUGCAGUCACCUCCCACGCGGGUAUACCUUUGGUAAUUUGGUCUUUACUUUAUUAGCCAUUUUGAUGGUUGACUGAACUCAUAUAACUGAUUGCUUUGCAGCUCCACCGAAUGUCAUUGAACUUCCAGAUGAUGAUGAAGAUGUGGCACAGAGAGUCAUGGGGAGGAGGGGUAGGACUUAGAGAAAGAAGGCACCAGCUGGCGAGACGUCCCAGUAAACGCCGGUGAUGGAACCAGUGGUUCAGCAGUCCAGAGACGUGAACCAUGCUUCUGUUACUUUUCCUAUUCCAGUGUCAGCUGAACGCCCUUCCUCGUCGACUGCACAAGUCCCUGAUUCAUCUGUCCAGCACCAUGCCUCGGAUCCUCAAGCUGCCGUGACUGGACCCACGUCUCCACUGGUCAUCACCCAUCACGUCCCGGAAGACCAAGUAGGCGCUGCUUCAGAAGCAAUACGCCAAGCAGGCUUGAUGGUGGAGCGGAUGAAGACAAUGCACGAGACCAGCCAAGCCACCUAUGAUGCCAGUGCAGCCCUCCGAGCUAAUGUCCAGGUUAGUUGGUUUCCGACUGUUCUCCUAUCUUGACGCUUGUUCUGUUAGGAUAUGCUACCCAAAAAACUUGCAUUGUGCAUCCAUCUGUCAGUCUGUUCUUCACAUCUAUACGCAUGCUGGGUGUUUCAAUUUAUGCUUAGUAGUCUUUCCAGUUGAGUCGACUAGGUUAUGUCAAUUGCAACUUUGGACUAGUGGGGGCACGCAGAGUGCACCCACUGGGUGUAGUCCCCGAGGCCGCCGUCGAAUGUAUGAUUUGGCAGGGGUCUUGAUGAAAAUAUCUUGUUGUUCAGUUCUUCCACUUGGUCUGGGCGGACCAUGUCGAGUGGAACCUGAACUAGUGGGGGCACGCUGAGUGCACCCACUGGGUGUAGUCCUCGAGACCGCGGUCGACUGCAGGCAGUCGGUUUGGGUCUGAGAAUAACUGUUGCCUCUUUUUUUACUCGGUUUGGGCGGACCAUGUCGAGUGGAACCUGGACCAGUGGGGGCACGCUAAGUGCACCCAGUGGGUGUAGUCCUCGGUACUACUGUUGAAUGUUUGAUUCUGCAGUAGUCUUAGAGUUCUUUUCACUCGGAAGCGAAUAAUCUUCGAUUCUGUCCGCUGAUGCAUCUUUUACUGACUUUAGAAAUCUUGUGAGCUCAUCUCCAAGUUUUCUGAAUUCAAGGAGAAGCAGAGACAGCUCAACCUUGAUCUGGAGUUGGCCAAGAAGAACUUGCAGAAGGCCAAAGACGAAACAACUGGUAUGGAAGGUAACAACUUGUCGACUAUGUAAUUGGAUUGUUUCUCUAGUCGUCUCCUCAUUCUUCUCUCUGAACCGAGUGCUUGUUUGUUGUAUAUAUAUAUUUUUAGAGAAAAUGAGGCAGGCUCUGGCACAGAAGGAUCUUGAUCUUGCCGCAGCGCAGAAGGAGGCUCAGGAGAAAGCAACACUCGCCGAUAAGAAGCUAGCUUCAGUCGGGGCGCUCGAGGAAGACAACGCCAAUUUGAAGACAUCUCUUGCCAAGGCAAUCGAUAAGUGACCCGUCUGAAGAAAGACAAGGUAGCUUUGAACGAUAAGAUUGAAGGCAUUUCUCACAAGAGAAGUGAUGUAGAGGGCUAUCUGGGAGCACUCACCAAGAAGAUAUUCCUUAUGCUUGAAGGUAUCUUUCCUUGUCCGACUGUUUUGCUGUCGUCGAGUCACCAUAAAUCGGCCGACUCAUUAUCUCUUUAUGGUUGCAGAAUUCUGUCAAAACAUUGAGGAAGAAACUGGGAGAAUCGAGACAAGCUUGGACGCCAUCAAUUCUCCUGUCAAUGAUGAAGCUGCUAUGAAUGUGCACCGACUGGAGUCCCGUCUUGCCAGCGUUACAGACUACCUCGCUCGCCUGAAGGUUGCGGUGUCGCGGAUCGACACGGUGCUUUGGCCGAAGGAGAUGCUCCAAAAUGACCUCGAAUCCUUGAUGACUUGACUCAAUGAGAUCCCUGGUCGAGUGCAGGAAUGGAAGAAGUCAUCUGCUCGAUGCGGUGCUGACGUAGUUCUGUCACUUGUUCGAGUCCAUUGUAAGGAGGCUAAGGAAGAAAAGCUAGCAGCGAUCAAGGUUGCCAACACAAAGAGACUCGACUUCCAGCCUUUCAUGGAGACCUUCGUUGCUGCCGCUACUCGAAUUGUAGAUGGAAUUGACCUGGAUGAGUUCGUUGAGCCUGCCAGUCCCCCUCCUGUGGAAUGAACAAACUUUUUAUGAUCUUAUUAAAUUUGCCUCGGUAUGCCGAGUGGUUUUGUAACCGUUAAAACUCCUUCGGCCCGGAUGCCCGAGUACUUUAAUCUGCUAUCUUGAACCUCAUAGGAUUUAUCUAAACUUUGUUGGUUUUGAAUCUCUUGGCUCUGAGUGGAAUUUGAUUCUUCAGUCUAAAUUUCUACUGACUCUGUGGUGCAGCUCAGUCGAGUGGAUCAUGAACAAGGGCACUCGGUACUGUCCAUGACCUGCACCUCGUCGUCCUUGCGGAUUAGGAUGGAACAGACAUUGUAUUUGUGCCGCAGCUCUGAGGAUAAGGUCGCAGUUGACCUGCACCUCGUCGUCCUUGUGGAUCAGGAUGGAGCGGACAUUGUAUUUGUGCCGCAUCUCUGAGUGUGUUUUUAAACUUAGGCGAGUGCGGGACUGCAGCUAAGCCUUCGAGUGAGAGGAUUUCUCUCCACUCGGUAGGUUUUUCUUAAAACUUAGAUGAGUGCGGGACUAUAGCUAAUCCCCCGAGUGGGAGGAUUGCUCUCCACUCGGUAGGAUUUUUUUAAACUUAGAUGAGUGCGGGACUGCAGCUAAGCCCCCGAGUGGGAGGAUUGCUCUCCACUCGGUAGGAUUUUUUCAAACUUAGGCGAGUGCGGGACUGCAGCUAAGCCCCCGAGUGGGAGGAUUGCUCUCCACUCAGUAGGAUUUUUUAAACUUAGGCGAAUCGGAUUCGCAGCUAAGCCCCCGAGUGAGAGGCUUGCUCUCCACUCGGUAGGAUUUUUGAAACUUAGGCGAAUCGGAUUCGCAGCUAAGUCAUCCACUGGGGGAUUUCGGACACAUGUAAAAGUAAUAAAAAUCAUCUAGGAGACUGUAAAACCACGUUGUCGGUGUCAAAACCGGCGGAUCUCGGGUAGGGGGUCCCGAACUGUGCGUCUAAGGCGGAUGGUAAUAGGAGGCAGGGGACAUGAUGUUUACCCAGGUUCGGGCCCUCUUGAUGGAGGUAAUACCCUACGUCCUGCUUGAUUGUUCUUGAUGAUAUGAGUAUUACAAGAGUUGAUGUACCAUGAGAUCGUAGAGGCUAAACCCUAGAAGCUAGCCUAUGGUAUGAUUGUAUGUUGUCCUACGGACUAAACCCUCCGGUUUAUAUAGACAUCGGAGGGGGCUAGGGUUACACAGAGUCGGUUACAAGGGAGGAGAUCUACAUAUCCGUAUUGCCUAGCUUACCUUCCAUGCCAAGGAGAGUCCCAUCCGGACACGGGACGAAGUCUUCAAUCUUGUAUCUUCAUAGUCCAAUAGUCCGGCCAAAGGAUAUAGUCCGGCUGUCCGGAGACCCCCUAAUCCAGGACUCCCUCAGUAGCCCCUGAACCAGGAUUCAAUGACGAUGAGUCCGGCGCGCAGUAUUGUCUUCGGCAUUGCAAGGCGGGUUCCUCCUCCGAAUACUCCAUGGAAGAUUUUGAACACAAGGAUAGUGUCCGGUUCUGCAAAACAAGUUCCACAUACCACCGUAGAGAGAAUAAUAUUUCCACAAAUCUAAUCUGCUGACACGUUUUGACUACAUGACAUCACGCCAUGGCCCGGUCAUUAUUCGAACCGUUUUUCUCAAAUAGCACCGCACAUAUCGCGAGGCGGUUUUCUUGACAUGUCUUGUCAAAGCAGAGACCGUGUUCCCCUCAUUAUGGGAUUCUCAUUAAUACGGACAUGGGUAACCCAACUGCGCCACCAAUUACGGCGCUUGGGGAAUAAGCGAUUUUACCAGGAAAGUGGGGAGGCGCAUCGCCUCCUCCGCCCUUAUAAAGGGACGAAGAUUCACUCUUUUCACCCACGCCUUCUUCCUCCUUGCUUACCCAUUCCCGCACACUCGAGCUCUAGCGCCCAAGCUCGCGUUCUUCUUCUCAAACCACUCCAAGCAUGCCCGGAGCAGGAGGCAAAGUGGAUGGUCUCCUCCGUCAUGGAGGAGAACAUCAAAAAGUUAUGGGAAGCCGGAUAUGUAGCCACGGAUAUCGCGCACCGACUGCCAGAUGCGGGGCAGAUCAUCCCAACGCCCGAACCCCAUGAUAGGGUAGUUUUUCUUACCCACUUUGUCCGUGGACUGGGAUUUCCCCUCCACCCGUUUGUCCGCGGGCUCAUGUUCUACUACGGGCUGGAUUUUCAUGAUCUGGCCCCCAAUUUCAUCCUCAACAUCUCGGGGUUUAUCGUCGUGUGCGAGGCCUUCCUCCGCAUCAAGCCCCAUUUCAGCCUGUGGCUGAGGACCUUCAAUGUCAAACCGAAGGUAGUGGUCGGACAGCAAGCGGAGUGCGGAGGCGCCAUGGUGGCAAGAUGCCUAAUGUCACUUGGCUUGAAGCCUCCUAUGUGGAGACCAUAAAGGGGUGGCAAUCGGGGUGGUUCUACAUCACCGAACGGCGCGACACCAACUGGGUGGCGGCCACCGAAUUCCGAUCCGGAAUCCCCACACGGCUCACCUCCUGGAAAGAGAAGGGCCUGUCUUGGGGUUCCUCGGUAGAGCUAAACGGACUCUAGACCUGCAUCAAGAACAUGAUGAGCAAGAAAAUUAAGCUCGUCAACGUGGUCCAGGUCAUGCUCUUCCGUCGGAUUCUCCCGUGUCAACAACGGGUAUUCAACUUGUGGGAGUUCGACCCGGCCAAGCACCAGACGCUACGAGAGCUCUAUGGCAUGACGCACGAGGAUGUCUGAAGGGUGUUGUUUAAGGGCGCCGAGGUACCUCUUUCCCUCACUGAGGACCGCAGACUCAGCGCAAAGCGCCGCGCCAAUCCGGUGAGUUUUUAUAUUUCACAGGGUAUCUAUUUGCCCCAGUUUAAUCAUGUGCAUGAUCUAAGCCUUCCAUGCCUUUAACAGGACUGGGUGAAGACAGCGGAGCAGAUCGAUUGCCCCGCCCCCCUGUCGGAAGAUCCUGCAGAUGCUCUCCUGACGGAGAUGCUGGUUCCAGCACCUUACGAGGUGCCGGUGAAGAAGGCCAAGAAGAAGGCCGCAGGGACCCGAAAGGGUCUCCGGCGCAAGGAUGUAUCGGACUCAUCGUCCGAUAACUCCGACGCGCCCUCCUCCCAUGAAAACGAGAAGGAGGAAGAGGAAAGUUCUCCCCCCCAGCUGGGGGAGACAAUAAAAGGAAGGCCGGCCCAAUCGGGGAGGCCGAAGGGUCCAAGAAGGGCAAGACCCUCCCUCUGGACUGCUCCACGACGGUCGUGUACAACGGCGACGAGUGGCUACCCAGGGUCAAGCCCGUGGAGAAGUUGUAAGUAUCUGGACACCAUAGUAAUUCGUGGUAUGUUUUACUGCACUGCUUCUUCUCAUGCCGAAUAUGAUUAUGCAGUCCGUCCCGAGCUCAUCUCGAUGUAACUUCAUCGAGCGGUUCGCUGGACUCGUCGGAUAUGAACAACGGUUCUCUUCCGACCGCCUCAACUCCUUGCCCUGCGGACAACAUGGAGGUGUUGUCUCAACAGGCCGGUCCAAGGGGAGGCAGUCUUGGGGGUGCCUCGAGGCGACCUUCCGGACCCUGGGCGCAAAGGGAUCCGGACUCCCAUGGGCUCCAGGUUCGGCCCCCAGCCGAACACUGCACCGGAAUGUUUGGUGGUUCCGGACUGUGGCGGGCGACCCCCCGUUAAGGGGGCAAGCCGCCUGUGCCGGUGUCCUCUGUCUAUCCAGAGGCACCGGACAGCUUGCUGGAAGCGCUUCGCGGCACUUCCAUCGACGAAGAGCACCGUACUAUCAUGAGUGCGGUGAUCGAGAAAGUUCAGUCCGCCAAAAACGGACUGACUAAAGCUUGCGCCAGCCUCCUAACAGGCUUUGAGGUAAGCAAUCAAAAUAUAAGAAAAUAUUACCGCAUAGAUAGUAGCCCCUGAUGCUCUGUUCGGCGUUCGAGUAGAAAGGCCGAAUAGAGGAUCAAAUGAUGACUCAGGAGUCUAAUCAGAAUAUAUCUAUGUGUAUGUGCAGGCUUCACUACUGGCCAAUGCUCCACGUACUGCGGAGGUCUCUGCGCUAAAGCAGGACUUGGAGCGGUCCGAGAACGAGCUUGGCCUUACCAAGAGGCAUCUCAAGGAUAUAAAAUAAAAGAAAUUUGGGUGUAAAGUAAUAGGAUCAUCAUGAAUUUUCCAGGGCCACGACCGAAGUGGCAACCCUAAGGAAGGUGCUCUCCGAGGCCAAAGACAAAGCGGCAAGGAGCGCAUUGAACGGGAGAAGCACGAAGCCCGAGUAGGCGAGGUGCAGCAAGAGCUCGAGGCUCUCGCCAAAAAGCAUGAGUCCUUGGAGCUUGACUCUAAGACACGAGAGUCCGAGCUCAUGCAGGUGCUUGAAAGCGUCCAGAGCGCCAAGGCCGAAGCACAUAAGGCUCUCUAGGAGAUUGAUGUGGUGAAGAAGAUAGCAGUGGGUAAGGCAUUCAUUAUGCAAAGCAAGCACGUGAAGGGGACUUUCCUUUUUCUUACCCGAAUUCGGAGCUCUCCAGGAGCGUUUGCAGAUCUUCCCCGCAGUGUACUCCAUGCCGCAGAGUUUACUGAGCUGAGGAGGGGAGCUCGACGGAGAAGUUGUUCUGGUCUCAGUAUACUAGGACCGAACACCCCUGCCCUUGAGCGACCAGCUGAAGCAGUUGGUCGAGCUUCACAAGGCGGCCGAACAAGCCAUGAGGGGCUUUAUAGUCCGGAUGUGGCCUGGUGAGCCCCUGUCCGGCAGCUACUUCAGUCUAGUAAGGUGGCUCGUCGACGCCUACCCAUGGCUUGAAGUCAUAAAGCGGUCCUUUUGCAUCGAGGGUGCGCGCAGGGCUUUUGCCCGGGCAAAGGUGCACUGGGUGAAGCUGGACGCCGUGAAGCUAGUGAAGGAGGGGCCGCCGGAGGGCAAGGAGCAUCGCUGCCCCGAGAUGUACUAUGAGAGUGUCCUGAAGGGUCCCCGCCUUGUGGCGGAUGACUGUGCCAAGGAUGUAAUUUUUGAAUGAACAUGCUCAUGUGAUCCUGUAAUAUGAAACGAGUUCAUUUGCGCCAUGCGACCCUUUUUUAAUUUAAAAUAUUACCUUAUGUGCGUCCGUUUGUAAAAUCUGAGAGUUGGCUAGUCGUCGGCUUCUGCCCCCAUGUAACUAGUACUGGGGUGUUCGGGAUAAACCUGAGCACUCUUUACCCCAAUUUUGGGUCCUUCAAGGGAGGUGUUCAGCGCAACGAACCAGGAAAUCAGACUGUAAUGCUUUAUCACUCUCACUUAGCCAUAGAAGUCUACAAUUUUAAAUUUUGGCGAAGCCCCUGGUAUUCAGAAGGCCGAAUUUGGGGCGCUAUACACGUCUAAGCCGGACAAGGCCGACUCCUCGCUGGAAGCGGAAAAAGUCUUUAAGGACUUGAGACCUCUCGAACAACGACCAGUCUCUCACCUUAUCAUGACAGUCAGUUUUUGGCUUUCUCUACUGAGGUGCUCGUCCGGAAGAAUCGGGACACAAUCGCAGUAGUUCUCCCACCGCUACCUUAGCCGAUAUAGCGGAACGUAAGGUACCAAAGCAUGGGAGCCGGGCAAACCCAACAUUUGACCAAAGACAUGAUUCGGAGCUGAUGCAUAUAAUGCUAUAAGUUCGGGGUGUCGCACUGUCGAAAGUGUUCGGACUUCUUGCGCCGUAUUAUGGGGUAAACGAAAGCCCCUGGCAUACUGACCGUACCCGAACAUGCGGGUGCAGAUUGUCGUAAAUGGACAUAAAGAAAAAAUGGAAUGAAUAAUGCAAUAAUAGACUAAUGCUAUGCAUUGUUAUUAAAUAAUACGUCGAAGUGUACUGGUAUAGGUAGUGCAAUAAGCAGAAAGUAGGACUAUUCAAAAUAUCCUAUCCAAGGGCAAGCUGCGUAUGGAUAGUAGAAAGCGGGUAUUAUUAUUAGAGACCACCUGGGGGUUCCCGUGUACUUCUUAGCUUCUUGCUGCCUUGGUUGUUCCUUCCCGUAAUGUGUCCGGCAAUCAUACUGCCGGAAAGGGCUUCCAAAGAGUUAGGCCUUGAAAUAGAAAAGAAGUAAUAAAGGUAUACAGCCCCUAGUGCGGUUAAGCCGCAUUGUGGGACGUGCCUUGAUCGUGCCCCUACCUAUGUCCAUGGUAUUUUUAGUGCGUAAUCAUGUAUGUGCGGCACGGAUUUCGUCGCUUGACUGGUACUGGGACAGGGGCCGAAUUGCUAGGUGAGCUCUGAACGUGCCAGGCGAUCCUGUUGCAGUUUACUCCGGACACGCUUGAAGGUGUUUGGGGGUUGUAUCGCCCAAUUAGUGGUUUUCCUUAAAAGUCUGCUUUGUGCUUCUGCUGCAAGGGCCGUAGUGUGCUCUUCCGUGCGGAGUGAGCGUUCUGUUUUUCCAUUCACUGUUAUGACCCCCCCGAGGUCCUGGCAUCUUGAGCUUGAGGUAUGCGUAAUGCGGUACUGCAUUGAAUUUUGCAAAUGCAGUUCGUCCGAGCAGUGCAUGAUAGCCACUGCGAAACGGGACAAUGUCGAAGAUUGACUCCUCGCUUCGGAAGUUUUCCGGUGAUCCGAAGACUACUUCCAGUGUGAUUGAGCCCGUGCAAUGGGCCUCUACACCUGGGAUGACACCCUUAAAGGUGGUUUUGGUGGGUUUGAUCCUCAAGGGAUCGAUACCCUUUUUCGCAUUGUAUCCUGAUAGAGCAGGUUCAGGCUGCUGCCGCCGUCCAUAAGGACUCGAGUGAGAUGAAAUCUGUCGAUGAUGUGGUCUAGGACCAGUGCAGUGGAUCCGCCAUGACGGAUGCUAGUGGGGUGAUCCCUGCGAUCAAAGGUGAUCGGGCAAGAGGACCAUGGGUUGAACUUUGGGGCGACGGGCUCCAUCGCAUAGACGUCCCUUAGUGGACGCUUCUGCUCCCUCUUGGGAAUGUGGGUUGCGUAUAUCAUGUUCACCAUCUUCACUUGUGGGGGGAACCCUUUCUGUCCUCCCGUGUUCGGUGGCCGGGGCUCUUCCUCGUCAUCACUAUGCAGCCCCUUGUCCUUGUUUUCGACAUUUAACUUGCCGGCCUGCUUGAACACCCAGCAUUCUCUGUUGGUGUGAUUGGCUGGCUUGUCGGGGGUGCCGUGGAUUUGACACGAGCGAUCCAGUAUGAGAUCCAAACUGGAUGGAGCCAGAGUACUUCUUUUAAAUGGCUUUUUCCGCUGACCAAACCUAGAGCCUAUGAAUCCGGCAUUGACUGCCGUAUCCUCAGUGUUAUCGCCGUUAUUGCAACGCUUUGGUUUGUUACAAUGUUGUUUGUCGUUGGCAUCUUUGGUAUCCGAAGUGCCCGGAUUCCUCGAUGUGUUAUUACUGCGAGCCAGCCAGCUAUCCUCGCCCACGCAGAAGCGUGUCAUGAGUGUCGUGAGGGCUGCCAUAGACUUCGGCUUCUCUUAGCCAAGGUGCCGGGUAAGCCACUCGUCGUAGAUGUUAUGCUUGAAUGCCGCUAAGGCCUCUGCAUCCGGACAGUCGACAAUUUGGUUUUUCUUAGUCAAGAAUCGUGUCCAGAAUUGUCUGGCUGAUUCCCCUGGCUGCCGAGUUAUAUGGCUGAAGUCAUCAGCAUCCGGUGGUCGCACAUAAGUGCCCUGGAUGUUGUCAAGGAAUGCGUCUUCCAGAUCCUCCCAACUAUCGACGGAGUCUGCUGGCAAGCUAUUUAGCCAAUGCUGAGCUGGUCCUUUGAGUUUUAGUGGGAGGUAUUUGAUGGCAUGUAGAUCGACACCGCGAGCCAUGUGGAUGUGAAGGAGGAAAUCCUCAAUCCAUACAGCGGGGUCUGUUGUACCAUCAUAUGAUUCGAUAUUUAUGGGUUUGAAACCCUCCGGGAAUUCAUGAUCCAUAACUUCAUGAGUGAAGCAUAGGGGGUGUGCGGCGCCUCUGUGCCAGGCUAUAUCCCGACGCAAUUCAUGUGAGUCUUGUCUACUGUAUUCGGCCCGGCCGGAUUUGCUUUUGGUGUAUCCGACAUGACGAUCAUCGUCCCGUGUUGGUGCGCGUGCCCGUGACCCGUAUAUUGACCUUGCAAUUUUUUCCUUACUGUCCAAUACGUAUCGCAGGUCCCCUGUGUUGCCCCGGGCCUUAGUAUUUUUGAUUGAGUGGCGGCAGGGUGCAGGCUGAACUUCAGGCUGAAACGCCUCUCUGGCUCGACCACAUAGUGGCCGGUUAGCCGCAUCGUACACUGGUGAAUGAGGUUUCAAUGCUUCCUCCUCGAGGUGAGGUAGCAACCUGCGUUUUGGGUAACUCUUGGAGGGGCGCUCGAGUUCAUACUCCUCAGCCGCAAGGACUUCGGUCCAUCUGUUUGCUAGCAAGUCUUGAUCGGCUUGAAGCUGUUGCUGCUUUUUCUUCAGGCUAUUUGCCGUGGCCAUAAGCCGGCGGGCGCUUGAAGCGCUCUUGCUCGACGGGGUCCUCAGGCACGAUAAAUUCUUUGUCGCCGAGGCUCGCCUCGUCUUCGGAGAGAGGCAUGUAAUUGUCCUCCUCCGGUUCUCCAUCUGCUACCUGCUCUAUGUAGGAGAUAUGCCCUAGAGGCAAUAAUAAAUGAUAUUAUUUAUCUCCGAGUUCAUAAUUAUGUUUAUGUUCUAUACUAUAAAUGCUAUGGUUCUCGAGUCUGCAAUAACCACGAGGCUCGGAGGAAGACUCAUAUGCACGUGUGGAAUAAUAAACGGUAAAAUGUAUUCCUAGUCUGGCCUCUAAGACUAGCUCAAGUGUUGCAUGAUGGUUCUGUUUUCCUGAUCAUGGGCAUGUCUAUGCCAGCAACCUUGAGGGCACAAUGUUAAGAGAACAUUUGUGUUGAAUUGACCCGGAUUGAUGUUAUGCUAAGAGAUUCAUUCGUCACAAGUUAAUGGUACAUAACACAGAGAUGGUUAACGUUUGCAUGAUUCCUUAGACCAUGAGAGUAUCGAGUUUCUUCAUGCUUGCUUCAUGAACUUUGGGGUUUGUUAAACGUCAUCCGUAAAUGGGUGGCUAUUACGGCGGCUUACGGGUUCAUGGAAAAGUGUGUCAAGUAACUUGAUAGCUCAAGAUUGGGAUUUGCUCCUCGAUGGAGAGAUAUUCUCGGGCCCUCUCGGUAUUACGGUAUCCAUCAUCGUCUGGCUAGACACAGUGUGAUUUGAUCACUAGGAUGCCGGAACACGGAAACUAGAAAAGAGAACAAAACCGGUAACGAGGUAACUUGCAUGGUGGACAAAUUGUUUGUCCAUGGGGAUGCAAUAAAUCUCACCUUGGGUGUUUGUGACAUAUUGCGAAGCAACAGGAAUAGCUCACUACAACUGGAGGUUCACUCGAAUAUUUAUUCGUGUGGGUAUAGGGGUCAAUAUGGGUGUCCACGGCUCCGAUGUUGAUCAUUGAUCGGAAGGGGUUCUGGGUCAUGUCUAUACUUCACCGAACCUAUAGGGUCACACGCUUAAGGGUCAUCUAUCUGCUGAAUACUAGACAAGGAGUCUGAGAGAAAAUCACCGGAAAAGUUUCGGACAGCGGAAAAGGUUCCGCACAGAGAGGUCAUCGGAUGAGUUUCGAUGAAACUGAAAAGUUGUUUCAGGGGAUACCAUUAAGUCAAAUUGGUUUCCGCACAUGCCUGAUAAUUCUUGGAGGGUGCCAGAAUCAUUCUGGAAGAUUUCUGGAAUUUUCCGGGAUAAUAACCGGAUAUGCUCCGGAGCUGCCGCAACCACUUCAGAUGCUUUUCGUAGAUGAAAAUCACUAAACCGGAAUUGUUUCGGAACGCUUUGAAAAUCAUUUUGGUGGGUACUGGAAAUUUUCUAAGCUCACAUAAAUAUUUUCAGUUCGAACGGACGCUGAAAAAUGUCAUCGCGAAUAGUGAAAGUACUUUUUGGGAUAUUUAUAGAAAGCCACCUUUUGGGGCUUUUCCCAAAAGGCUUCUAGAAGGACUUCGGGAUCAAGGAACCCCCUUUGGGGGGCCCCCAUGAAGGUGGGACGUUGGAGGGUGCAGCUCCUCCAUGGGGCUCCACUUGUCAUCCCUUUAUGCCUUUUAUACCCUUUGUGUGUGACAUAAAGUGGGGGCACUUUUGGUAUUUCAGAAUACCCAUCCUACCCCUUGGUUUCCCUAUAAAUAGGAGGUGAGGGGGCUGCCCAAACCUCAUCCCUUAUCACAUACAAGUGCCAUGCAAUGAUCUGGCUUCUUCUCUCCCUCCCACGAAAAGAGUUUCGUAGAGCCGUAAGGUUGUCUGGGUUCCGGCAGGAACUAGUUCUAGACGGCGAAGCCCUGCCGGAUAGAUGACACCGUAUGUGUGCAACUCUGUAGAGAGAUCGUAGUUUCAGUCUUAGUUCGUGAGUGCCUCCUGAAGGGCUGUCCGUGUGACCGUCCGAGUUUUGAAGGUCCUCCCGAAGGGCUGUCCGAGUGACCGUCCGAGUUUCGAAGGUCCUCCCGAAGGGCUGUCCGCGACACUGUCUGGGGGGCUAUUCGACCGCCUCCCGGAGGGCUGUCUGAGGAGCAGAUGAGGGUAUACAUCCUCGCGGUAGGGAGGUUGUAAAUCCUAGCUGCGGGGAUGUGCACCGCCGAUCGUCAUCGACUCUACUUCCCGCUGCGCUACGAGUCGGUAACGAAGGAGAUCAAACCAUGUAUGCAGUCUCCAUAGUGGUCCUGGGCUGGUGCGUAGGUCGGAAAUUUUUGUUUUCUGCCACGUUCCCCUACAGUGGCAUCAUGAGCCGUGCUAUGCGUAGAUGCAGGUUUCGAUCUAGAAUACAUGGAGAUGUAUGGGCAUUGCAUAAUAUAAUUAGGUAGUAGAUGAGAUCUAUUGUUGAAAAUUAUUUAUAAUGGUGACAGAUGAAAUCUGUUACCCGACGUUCUUGUUGCUUCCCUAGAAUUUGCGUUUGCUCAAUCUCGAGACAACAUGGUGGAAUUUGACAAAGUUCUGGCAAUCUGUGAUCCUUAUUGAUCAUGGAAGUGCUAUCAGUUCUUUGGGUUCUGCCGUAGUCAAAAGAAAGAUGAAAUUUGCAGAUGUAAGGGCAUUGCAGAUAUGAUCUGCACGGGGGUCAUGCGUAUGACGAAGUUUAGUAUGGGGCUCGAGAUUUAAUUAUCUCGUGUUUCAUACACCCCAAGAUGUUAAUCUAGCAACUUGAAUAAUCAUACUUGAUGAUAAAACAUUGGUAGCUGCGGUUUAAGUCAAAACCUUAGAAGCCACGUAAAAUAAAAUUUUGCAUAAACCGAUUAGAGGCGUCUAACUUGGUUUUGCAGGAUGUGCAUGUGAUGUGGUAUAGCAAUGCUCAUAUUCAAUUUGAUUAUGUAUGAGAUGACUAUAUGAUGUAAUUAACAUGACCUGCGUGUCAUGAUUCGGCAUGCUGGCUGGAGCCAUAUGAUUGUCACUUUAAUGACCUGCGUGUCAACCUUAAGUAAUGCACUUAUUUUAUUAGCUAUAUAGAUAGCAAUAUUAUCUGGUGCAUCAACAGGGUGGUGGCAAUCUUCAUGAAGGUGAACACCGAUGCGAAUGCCGAAGAGGAAGAAAUGAAAUACUUCUCCAUCAGAAAGGGCUAUACCAUAUCAUGCUAUUAUGAAUUGCCUGAGAUGUUUAUCCCUUAUGAUGCACCCUUCUUGAUUGCGCGGUAGUCGCUUUUUUAGGGUGAUCUCUCACUUAAAAUAUCAAAGUAGUUAGUGUUCACCCAAGUGUAGAACCAUCUGAAAUUCGUAUCUUUUCGGGGUGCGCCAUGUACACAUGAGCAUGAACGAAUCGAGAGGAAUGAGGCGGGUGAGGUCAGACCUCGCAGCAAGAUCACUUGGUUGUCUUUGACGUUCAGGCAGGAGAGUCCUGAGCUCGGAACACGGCCAUUGAAAGAUGUACAAGAAUCACAUAGAGAUGUGUUCGGCAAGUUGGCCUAUCGAUUGAAAUUCGUGUCAUCAGUGAUGAACCCGUCAAUGGCAUCGAAUAGAAAUAUGGAUCUUGAAUCACUCUAAAUCAAUUAUGAGAGAUAUUGAUUUGAGUGGGGGCGCACUAUUGAAUUAACAUGUUUAAUUCUCAGUGCAAUUAAUUAUGAACACUGUCUAAGUGUUUCUUUCAAAAUAGUUGUAGAAUAAUGGCUCGCAUUUCCACCUUCCGUGUUAAAAUUGAAUAGCUGUUAAAUAUCUGGUUAAAACUUUAUGUUUGGUAACGUAAUGUGAGGAUUGUCCUCAAAAGUGUCGAGAAGGAUUUUGUCCUAUCGCAUGCUUUCCAUAUCCUCCCGCUAAUGCUAUGGAUCAUGUGACUCUCGUCCUUCGAUCCAAAAGCUAGAAUUGUGUUACGGUCAAGUGGAAUAUGUUUGCUUCCAUGAAACCCAAACUUCGAAAGUUGGGAUAGUUAUAUGAUAUUCAUGGAACUAAAAAUUAUUUUUAGAUACAAACAAAGCAAUGUUUGUUUGCAAGUAUUAGUAAAAGUGUUUACUAUGCAUUUGACUGUUGGGAAAGGGAUCCAGAAGAACGCCUGUCAUAUAAAGAAAGGUGAAUAAAACAACAACUUAAAGAGAAAGGAUGUGUCCAAAGGGUGUUAGUAUGACUUACACGCCUAGGAAGUCCGGGGCUAACGCCACUCUUAAGUUGGGUGCUUCUUUUGCGAGUAGGAGAAAUACUAAAAGUUAAACAGUUAGAAGUAUAAAGGCAAAAGAGAGAUGACUGGAAUAUCCAGCUCAUGUAUGAAUGUCAUACAAGUUUUUGAUGUAUAGUAGGCUGGUCAAAGAUAUAGUUCUUGGGAAUUAUGGUUAAACAUGUUAAUCACUAAUUCUUGGGUAUUGUGAUUUAAUCACAAAGAUACCCACUUGAUUGCAUUCUGUUGCGAAUCAAUGUAAGACCUACUAUGGCCCAAAGACUAGCCAGAAAUGAGGUUAAUGUAUACACAGGGAACAUAGUAAAUGUUACUAUACCUUCCAUCAGUGUAUUGUUGUCUGUAUUUAUUUUCAUAAUUCAUUUAGAGUUUUGCAAACUCUAGCCCAUUGCAUAAGGUAUCUUGCAAGAAGGUUGUUCAUAAGAGAACCUUUUAUGUUCGAUGUUAUGAAUAACACAAGGGACAUACUUUCAUUAUGAAUGAGAUGUAUGUUAUGAAUAUUGAUAAUAAUACAAUACCUCUGGGUUUACUUUCAUAAUUCAUUUUAGAGUUUCUUACACUCAAGCCCAUUGCAUAAUGUUUAUUGCAAAAGAGUUGUUCAUAAAAACAACAAUUGUUGUUAAGUAUUAUGAAUAACAUGAAGGGCCAUGCUUCCAUCCAAGAUGGGAUGUAUGUUAUGAAUAUUGAUGGUAAUAUGAUACAUCCAUAACACUGACGCUAAAUGUCGCAAGACUAAAAGAAUACCACACAAGUGUGGCACUACAUUUGGUCACAUUGGAGAAACCCGCAUGGAAAAUUCCAUUAUGAUGGAUUUUGAAGUCUUUUUGAUUUUGAAUCAUCUGACACUUGCAACUUUCCUCCGAAAAGUGAAGUGACUGAAAUACCGUUCACAGGCCAUAAGGAAUGAGCAACAAACUUAUUGGUGAUCAUACAUUUUGAUGUGUGUAGUUCAAUAAAUGUUGUUGCAAGUAGUGGAUUUAUAUAUCUUCAGACAUUACUCAAGUAGAUAUAUGGAUAUUUGCUUGAUGAGACGUAAGUCUGGAUCUUUUGAAAUCAUUCGAAAGGUUUUCAAAAAUGAAGUAGAAGUUAUUGUAACAAGGAAAUUAUGUUUCUACAAUUUGAUUGCAGAAAGGAAUAUCUGAGUUACAAGUUUAGCGAAUGUCUGAUGAGUUGUGAAAAGAGUUUCAUAACUUACACCUUCCAGAACACCACCAUGAGUGGAAUGUCUGUGAAGAUGUAAUCAAACCAUUUAUGACAUGGUAAGGUCAAAGAUGACAUAAAUAAAUUUGCCAUUAUCCCUUUUAAAGUGAUGCUUUAGAGACUGCGGCUUUUACACUGAAAAGAGCUACAUCGGGUCUGUUGAAAUGAAGCCAUGGUAUGGUACGCCCCACCAUGUUAUAUCUUUUCUUAACAUUUGGAAUGUGGGCUUGUGUAAAAGGUUACAAAGCUAUUCUAAAUCAGAAAAGUGCUACUUUGUAGGUUAUACCAAAAUGUUGGGUAUUCCUCCCUCACUAUACCGAGGCAAAUAGUUUUGCCGCGAAACGGUGUACUUUUAAAGAGAAUGGUUCUUUCAAAAAGGUGAGUGGGAGAAUAGUGCAACUCGACGAGAUAAACAGUAUCUUCAUCAUCAGAUCAAAGGAAAGAGACAUUGGAAGUAAUUCCAUAGUUUCCUACUGCGACUGAUACGGAAGUCUCUACAAUAAAAUGUAUGAACUUCGGUCGAACUUGCAGCUGAACCACGUAGGCAAGGCUCGUGCAAACCUCUCAGGUGCGCAAAUGAGAUAUUGUUGUUAGACAACAUUAUACCUACGAUACACAAGGAAGCGUUGAUGGGCCCUGACUCCGGAAUUGGCUAAAUGCCAAUACAACCCAAGUUAGUUUCCAUAUAAGUGAUUCAAGAUUAAAACCUUGAUACACCUUUUGGAAGACUUAGAGUCUAACGAAUAUUGAUGGAACUUAAAACUGAUAUGGAUAAAAAUGUUUUAUCCAUAAAGCUCGACUUGUUGAAAUAACAAGUUCAAGAGUUGACUACGAUGAGGUUGUUUUCAUCGUAGCGAUGCUUAAAGUUGGUUCGGGUUGAACUAGCAAUUAAUACAUAUUUCAAUCAUGAGAUCUGAAACAUGGAUGACAAUAGGAUUUCCAUCUGAUGGAAAUGCAACCAAGGACUUGCAUGUGUUACAGUCCAAGGAAUUUUGUCUAUCCAGAGGAUGCUAGUAAGGGUGCAAACUUCAGAGUUCCAGCGAUGGACAGAAGAGAGCAAAAUGGAGUUGGAAUCUUCAUGCUUUGAUGAAAUGGUCAAAGGGGUUUGACUUCAUCAAUGGGUAACGAAGAUGCUUGUAAUUCAAGAAAGUAAGUGGGAGCGUAAUAAUUUUUCUAAAAACCUUGUGUGCUUGACACAUUGUUAAUUGGAAAUAAAUUUCUUGACAGGAAUUAGGACUUCAUUUGAAAAUAGUUUUUUGAUGAAGUGCUUAGGCUAAAUAGCCUCAAUAUUAGGCAUAAUGAUCUAUGGAGAUAGAUUUACCUAAUAGGGCUAAGCAAUGAAUACAUAUUGACAAGGUGCUAAAACCUUUUAGCAUUUAAAACCGCCAAGGAGUGAUUCUUGCCGGAGUCACAUGGAAGAGUUUUUUGCAAGACUCGGUGUCCCAAAACACUAAUGAGCAAAAUACAUGAUGCCAAUUCCACACACUUUUGUGUUUGGAUUAAUCAUGUAUUCCAUGGUAUGUAAAACAACCAGAUAUGUCUGAUACUCCCAAGGUGUUGCGAGUAUGGAUACUAAAGUGAUCAAAGUACUGAUCGUUGGACAAUAGUGAAAGAUGUCAUUGAGUACUAGAGUAAGUACUGAUGAUAUGUUUUCUCGCAAGCGGAGAUCAUGAAGAGUUUGUUGUAAAAUGUUACAUCGAAACAGUCUUCAUCUUUUCUCCAUGCGAUUUUCGAUUUAAAUUGAGGGUUUUGUGUAACACAAUAUGGUGGUGCAGUUAGUUGGAAAUUGUUCCAAACAAGUUACUGUGGCGAAUUCUAUAACAGAGGCGGAGUAUGUUGCCGCUUUAGAAGCGACAAAGACAAAGAUGUUGAAUCAUAUAGUUCAUUCAUGAACUUAGUAUGGUUCCAAGAAGGCUUUGGUCAAUGGGACACUAUUGCAGAUAGUUGCUCCAUAACUCAGUCUGAGGAAUCAGGUUUCGACCAAUGAUUCACAUAUAUACAAAGCCAAGUCCGCACAAAAUAUGAAUUUUGUGAAAGCGUGAAAACGCGAGGAUAUGCAGAGAUACACAUGGAGCUGAAGUUGUCAGAUCCGAUGGACAUCAGGCUAUACCACAUGCGAAGCAUUUUUUACACCGGUAUGCCAUAGGUGUAAAGUGCAUUUGCAUUAACUAGAUUAUUGACUCUAGUGCAAGUGGGAGUCUAUAGGAGAUAUGCCCUAGAGGCAAUAAUAAAUGAUAUUAUUUAUCUCCGAGUUCAUAAUUAUGUUUAUGUUCUAUGCUAUAACUGCUAUGGUUCUCGAGUCUGCAAUAACCACGAGGCUCGGAGGAAGACUCAUAUGCACAUGUGGAAUAAUAAACGGUAAAAUGUAUUCCUAGUUUGGCCUCUAAGACUAGCUCAAGUGUUGCAUGAUGGUUCUGUUUUCCUGAUCAUGGGCAUGUCUAUGCCAACAACCUUGAGGGCACAAUGUUAAGAGAACAUUUGUGUUGAAUCGACCCGGAUUGAUGUUAUGCUAAGAGAUUCAUUCGUCACAAGUUAAUGGUACAUAACACAGAGAUGGUUAACGUUUGCAUGAUUCCUUAGACCAUGAGAGUAUCGAGUUUCUUCAUGCUUGCUUCAUGAACUUUGGGGUUUGUUAAACGUCAUCCGUAAAUGGGUGGCUAUUACGGCGGCUUACGGGUUCAUGGAAAAGUGUGUCAAGUAACUUGAUAGCUCAAGAUUGGGAUUUGCUCCUCCGAUGAUGGAGAGAUAUUCUCGGGACCUCUCGGUAUUACAGUAUCCAUCAUCGUCUGGCCAGACACAGUGUGAUUUGAUCACUGGGAUGCCGGAACACGGAAACGAGAAAAGAGAACAAAACCGGUAACGAGGUAACUUGCAUGGUGGACAAAUUGUUUCUCCAUGGGGAUGCAAUAAAUCUCACCUCGGGUGUUUGUGACAUAUCGUGAAGCAACAGGAAUAGCUCACUGCAACUGGAGGUUCACUCGAAUAUUUAUUCGUGUGGGUAUAGGGGUCAAUAUGGGUGUCCACGGCUCCGAUGUUGAUCAUUGAUUGGAAGGGGUUCCGGGUCAUGUCUAUACUUCACCGAACCUAUAGGGUCACACGCUUAAGGGUCAUCUAUCUGCUGAAUACUAGACAAGGAGUUUGAGAGAAAAUCACUGAAAAAGUUUUGGACACCGGAAAAGUUUCGGACAGCGGAAAAGGUUCCGUAGAGAGAGGUCAUCGGAUGAGUUUCAAUGAAACUGAAAAGUUGUUUCAGGGGAUACCAUUAAGUCAAAUUGGUUUCCGCACAUGCCUGAUAAUUCUUGGAGGGUGCCAAAAUCAUUCUGGAAGCUUUCUGGAAUUUUCCGGGAUAAUAACCGGAUAUGCUCCGGAGCUGCCGGAACCACUUCAGAUGCUUUUCGCAGAUGAAAAUCACUAAACUGGAAUUGUUUCGGAAUGCGUUGAAAAUCAUUUUGGUGGGUACUGGAAAUGUUCUAAGCCCACAUAAAUAUUUUCAGUUCGAACGGACGCUGAAAAAUGUCAUCGUGAAUAGUGAAAGUACUUUUUGGGAUAUUUAUGGAAAGCCACCUUUUGGGGCUUUUCCCAAAAGGCUUCUAGAAGGACAUGGGGAUUAAGGAACCCCCUUUGGGGGUCCCCCAUGAAGGUGGGACGUUGGAGGGUGCAGCUCCUCCAUGGGGCUCCACUUGUCAUCCCUUUAUGCCUUUUAUACCCUUUGUGUGUGACAUAAAGUGGGGGCACUUUUGGUAUUUCAGAAUACCCAUCCUACCCCUUGGUUUCCCUAUAAAUAGGAGGUGAGGGGGCUGCCCAAACCUCAUCCCUUCUCACAUACAAGUUCCAUGCAAUGAUCUGGCUUCUUCUCUCCCUCCCACGAAAAGAGUUUCGUAGAGCCGUAAGGCUGUCUGGGUUCCGGCAGGAACUAGUUCUGGACGGCGAAGCCCUGCCGGAUAGAUGACACCGUAUGUGUGCAACUCUGUAGAGAGAUCGUAGUUUCGGACUUAGUUCAUGAGUGCCUCUCGAAGGGCUGUCCGUGUGACCGUCCGAGUUUUGAAGGUCCUCCCGAAGGGCUUUUCGAGUGACCGUUCGAGUUUCGAAGGCCCUCCCGAAGGGCUGUCUGCGACACCGUCUGGGGGGUUGUUUGACCGCCUCCCGGAGGGCUGUCUGAGGAGCAGAUGAGGGUAUACAUCCUUGCGAUUGGGAGGUUGUAAAUCCUAGCUGCGGGGAUCUGCACCGCCGAUCGUCAUCGACUCUACUUCCCGCUGCACUACGAGUCGGUAAUGAAAAAGAUCAAACCAUGUAUGCAGUCUCCAUAGUGGUCCUGGGCUGGUGCGUAGGUCGGAAAUUCUUGUUUUCUGCCGUGUUCCCCUACACUCUAGAGGGCUGGCUUGUUCAUCCUGCGGCUCUACAUCAUGCUGGAGGGGAUUGAUUGUCUUCGGCAGUAUCUGGAGUGUUAUUAUCUCCUAUGCCGGUAUUACUACUUUUGCUGUGGCGGGACUUAGAGUGGCGCCGCUGACGUCGGUGCUUGGGUUGCUUCUUGGAGGGGUCAUCCUCCGCUGUCUCGUCGCCAUUGCUUUCUUUAGGGGUGUCCACCAUAUAUAUGUCGUAUGAUGAUGUGGCGGUCCAGCGCCCUGUGGGCGGUGGUUCCUGCUCGUCUCCUGCAUCGUCGUCCAUAUUGUCGAUGUCUUCAGAGUCGAAGUCGAUCAUGUCGGUUAAAUCGUCGACAGUGGCUACUAAGUGGGUGGUGGGUGGGCAGCGAAUUUCUUCGUUGUCCGCAUCCCAUUCUAGUCGGACAUAGUUCAGCCAAGGUUCUCCUGAUAGGGAGCGGGACCUCAAUGAAUUUAGCACAUCGCUGAAGGGUGAGCGCUGAAAGAUAUCUGCGGAGGUGAACUCCAUGAUCGGCGCCCAGUCGGAUUCGACGGGCAUGGGUGUAAGCGGCUCGAAGUCUGUGGCCGGAGGUGAAUCCAGUGGUUCGGCGACACGGCUCUCGUAAGGGGUGAAGUCAGUAUCCGACUCCAUCGCCACUGAGAGUGCGGUCUCCAUGGAGGGGUCUAUCCCUCCGCUCUCGGAUGGCACGAUUUGUUCCGGAUUGAUGGCCGGAGUAGUUGCAGAUGCGAUCUCCUGAACACCGUCCGACAGCAGAGUUACGUCGUGCUCGUCGUGACUGUGCAGUGCACCUGACACGGGCUCGAAUCCGUCGAAGAUCAAGUCUCCGCGGACGUUGAUAGUGUAGUUUAAGUUUCCGAAUCUGACCUGAUGGCUAGGGGCGUAGCUCUCGAUCUGCUCUAGAUGGCCAAGCGAAUUGGCCCGCAGUGUGAAGCCGCCGAAUACAAAGAUCUGUCCGGGGAGGAAAACCUCACCCUGGACCGCAUCGCUACCGAUGAUCGAAGGAGCCAUCAAGCCUUAUGGUGACGACAUAGUGGAACUCCCAAUGAAAGCACCGAUGUCGGUGUCAAAACCGGCGGAUCUCGGGUAGGGGGUCCCGAACUGUGCGUCUAAGGCGGAUGGUAACAGGAGGCAGGGGACACGAUGUUUACCCAGGUUUGGGCCCUCUUGAUGGAGGUAAUACCCUAUGUGCUGCUUGAUUGUUCUUGAUGAUAUGAGUACUACAGGAGUUGAUCUACCACGAGAUCGUAGAGGCUAAACCCUAGAAGCUAGCCUAUGGUACGAUUGUAUGUUGUCCUACGGACUAAACCCUCCGGUUUUUAUAGACACCGGAGGGGGCUAGGGUUACACAGAGUCGGUUACAAGGGAGGAGAUCUAUAUAUCCGUAUUGCCUAGCUUGCCUUCCACGCCAAGGAGAGUCCCAUCCGGACACGGGACGAAGUCUUCAAUCUUGUAUCUUCAUAGUACAACAGUCCGGCCAAAGGAUAUAGUCCAGCUGUCCGGAGACCCCCUAAUCGAGGACUCCCUCACAUGUCUUUGAUAAACAAACUGAAAGGUACUUCUUAUUACAUCUCGACAGUCUGAAUGCUUAAGUAUUAAAAUGGUGGAGAAGCUCCGCAUUCCAAGCGCGUGGCUCCUCUUUCUUGUGUUCCACAUCAUACAGGUGAUAUGCUCCGUUGUGGAGCACUUUGGUGAUGAUGAAGGGGCCUUCCCAGGCGGGAGCAAGCUUGUGUGGACGUUGCUGAUCCACUUGGAGAACCAGGUCCCCCUCCUGAAAUGCUCGACCUCUUACGUUCCUAGCAUGGAAUCGACGAAGGUCUUGCUGAUAGAUGGUCGACCUGCUCAGGGCCAUCUCUCUCUCUUCUUCUAAAAGAUCAACGGUGUCUUGACAGGCUUGUUCUGCUUCUGCCUUUGAGAAGAGCUCCACUUGUGGGGCAUUAUGGAGUAGAUCAGUCGGCAGCACGGCCUCGGCUCCAUAAACCAGGAAGAAAGGAGUCCGGCCAGUCGACCGAUUUAGUGUUGUUCUCAGACUCCACAUUACUGAUGGUAACUCAUCUACCCAGGCACCAGCCGCACGCUUGAGGUCUCACAUCAAUCUGGGCUUCAACUCUUGUAAGAUCAAACCAUUUUCUCUUUCUGCUUGCCCGUUCGACUGUGGGUGAGCGACUGAAGCGUAGUCGACCCGGGUGCCCUGGGAAGCGCAGAAAGCUCUGAACUCAUCUGAAUCAAAGUUUGAACCAUUGUCUGUGAUGAUGCUGUGCGGGACUCCAUAUAUGAAUGUUAAUUCUCUGAUGAAGCUGACGACGGUUCUCGAAUCGAGGUUCUUGAUGGGUUUGGCUUCAAUCCAUUUGGUGAACUUGUCGACUGCAACAAGCAGGUGGGUGAAACCACUUCUGCAAUCCUCAAGGGUCCAACCAUAUCCAAUCCCCAAACCGCAAACGGCCAGACGAGUGGAAUGGUAUUCAAUGUGAGGCGGGCUUGUGAGACAUGUUAGAGUAAAACUGGCAGCCCUCACACUUGUCGACUAUUUCCUUCGCCCGUGGCCAGUAAAAAUCUGCUCAGUAUGCUUUGGCCACGAUUGUCUGAGAGGACGCAUGGUGACCACAGGUCCCUGAGUGGAUAUCAUUGAGGAUCAUUCGACCUUCCUCCAGGGUAAUGCACCAUUGAGAAACUAUAGUCACACUCUCCCUGUACAGUCGACCACUUAUCACAGUGAAGGCUUUGGAUCAACGAACAAUCUGUCGUGCUUCAUCUUCGUCUUCUAGAAGCUCUUUCCUGAGAAUAUAUGCGAUGUACGACAUUGUACAAUUAGGAAUGAUAACCAAAACUUCCAUGAUUAAGUCUACCACAGCUAGGAUUUCAACUUCAGUCGGAUCAGUAGAACUCUUAGGUUGCGGGGGCUCUUCUAUAAAGGGAUCCUCUUGAAUUGAUGGUGUGUGAAGAUGCUCCAAGAACACAUUGCUGGGAAUGGGCUCUCCCUUGGAACCUAUCUUUGCCAGGUCAUCCGCUGCCUGAUUCUUCAGUCGGGAAAUGUGGUGGAGCUCUAGCCCUUCAAACUUCUUUUCUAACUUUCUCACUUCAUUACAAUAACCAGUCAUAGCUUGCCUUCUGACAUCCCACUCAUUCAUCACUUAAUUGACCACCAAAUCUGAGUCGCCGUAGACCAUUAGGCCACGGACGCCGAGUGAAAUGGCCAUCCACAACACAUAUAGAAGCGCUUCGUAUUCAGUUUCAUUGUUGGAGGAAUCAAAGUGAAUCUGAAGGACAUAAGUAAGUAUGUCACCUCGCGGGGAUACCAGAACUACUCCAGCGCCAGAACCAUUCAACAUCUUGGAUCCAUCAAAGAACAUAGUCCAAUGUUCCUGGAAUUGAGUUGGUUGCUGUUGUUCAAUCCACUCGAUGAGGAAAUCUGCUAUUACCUGGGACUUGAUUUCUUUCUUUGCCUCAAUCUUGAUAUCCAACGGAAGGAGUUUAAUCGCCCACUUUGCCACUCGACUAGUUGCGUCCCCGUUGUUCAAAAUUUCUGACAAUGGAGCAUCACUGACGACUAUGAUAGAGUGAUUUGAGAAAUAGUGUGCAACCUUCUUUGAAGUCAAGUAAAUUCCAUGGACAAGCUUUUGAUAAUGUGGAUAUCUCUGCUUGGACGGGGUUAAGACUUCCGAAAUAUAGUACACUGGGCGCUAAACCUUAUAGGCUUUACCUCCUUCUUCCCGCUCGACCGUGAGUACUGUACUAACAACUUGUCCACUGGCUGCAAUAUAAAGCAGUAAAGGCUCUUUGUUGAUUGGAGCACCAAGCACCGACUGGGUGGAAAGCAGGGUUUUGAUCUCUGCAAACGCUGCGUCAGCUUCAGGAGUCCACUCGAACUUAUCAGAUUUCUUCAUCAAUGGUAAAGAGGCAAUGCCUUUUCAUCGAGAUAAGAGAUGAAUCGACUCAAGGAGGCCAAACAACCAGUAAGCUUCUGAACGUCGUGUAUGCACAUAGGGCUUUUCAUUUGGAGUAUUGCACCAACUUUCUCUAGGUUUGCAUCGAUCCCAUGUUCGGAAACGAGGAAACCGAGUAACUUUGGCGUACCUCUCUGGGUGCUCUAGGUCCAAGGGUAUCUUCUUCGUCUCUUUGGCCGGCUUAAACGAACCCUCAGCCUCUAACUCUUUUGGGUUGGGCGACACAUCAGGCUGCUUGCCGGCCAUUGCCACAACUCGCUCAAGGAGCCGCUUCUCAGCCGCGAUUACCAGGGACUCGGCCAGCCGACUUCUCUCAGCUGCACAAGCAGACGACUUCCGGUAGUCGCCAGCCACAGUUAGAAUUCCCCUGGAACUGGGAAUCUUCAUCUUGAGGUAGGCGUAGUGGGGGACCUCCAUGAACUUGGCCAAGGCAGGUCAGCCAAACAGCGCAUGGUAUGGGCUCUCGAGAUCCACCACCUCAAACCAAACGGGCUCUCUACGGAAGUGAUCUUUGUCCCCAAAGAGGACGUCCAUCAGGAUCUUGCCGAUUGGCGAGCAGGAAAGCCCAGGAACAAUGCCGUGGAACACAGUUCGGCUGUUCUAAAGUUGUCUUUGCUUGAUUCCUAACUUCUCCAUGGUGUCCUUGUACAGGAUAUUGAUGCUACUGCCCCCGUCUAUCAGAACUCGCGAGAAACGCGCGGCUUGUCUGUCCGUAGCAAAGGUGGCAUCCAAGACCAAGGCAUAAGAGCCUGGACUCGGCAUCACUUUUGGGUGGUCAGCCCUGCUCCAGCUGAUGGGCUUCUCAGACCAGUGCAUGAACUCUGGCGUCUCUGACGCUACUGCAUUCACCUCUUGUCGCUGCAGCCGCCUGCUGCGUCGAUCAUCAGCCACACUAGUGAACACCACAUAGGCUCCAUGCUCUUCAGGGUAUUCGUCUUGUACUGCGCCGACUGGCUUGACAGCCGGCUGCUGGGGCGGAGGCGGCUGCCCAGCAGGCGGGGGAGGCAGGAGGCCGUCUCCCUUGGCGAUCCUGGUGAGCCAGUGGCACUUCCGGGUGGUGUGAUUCGAUGGCUUUGCACCGCUGUGGAACUUGCAAGGUCCAUCCAAGGUCUGCUGAUAGGACAAGGCAGGCAACCAGUUUGGCUUGCUGCCUUUCUUUCGCUUGGGCGGGGGCUGCUCAUCUGGCUGCUGGGCUUCAACGGUCGUGACCUGCCGGCUGCUGGAAGCCGGCUACUGGGCCAUGCGCUUGUUGUCGCCCUGCUGUUGUCGCCGGCCGGCGUCUGCUGCCGGAGUUCUUGGAGCUUGAGGAGCCACUUUGCCAGUUGUGCUGAUUUGAAUUUCCGCCUUCAUGGAGGAGUCGGCCAUGGCGUAUUUGUCCGCUAUGAUCAGCAGCUCGUCGAGGGUUCUGACUCGUCACAAAGGAGCUUGUGCUUGAGGAGGGUGCCUUCUCUGCACCCGGCUGUGAAGUACUCGAUGGCCUGCACCUCGUGCACGCCCUCGCAGGAGUUCUGGAGCUCGGCCCAACGCGUGAGGUAAUCGCGAGUCGACUCGUCGGGGCCUUGCACGUACAAGGAGAGCUGACGAAGCUUGGGAGGACGCUUGUACGUGCUGGUGAAGUUGCGGACGAAUGCUUCGGUGAAGUCGACCCAGCUGUUGAUGUUGCGGGGCUUCAGGCUGUUCAGCCAUGUCCGGGCCGUGCCCUGGAGCAUGAGCGGAACGUACUUUACGGCGACACGCUUGUUGCCAUUUGCUAUGUUGACAGCCGUGGAGUAGUCGACUAGCCAGUCUUCUGGCUUCACGGAGCCGGUAUACUUGGGCGUGUCUCUUGGGAGCAUGAACCCUCUGGGAAAGGGUUCGUCCUGAAUGCGGGGCCCGAAACAAGGCGGACCCAGCUCGUCUUCUUCUUCUAGCGCUAAAGAUCGGUGGAGUCGGUCGAUCCGGUGGCGGGCGUCAUUCUCUCCAGCUCCCUCUCGGCGGCCAAGACGGUCACCGAGAGUCGGAUGGUCAACAGGCGGCGGGGAGACUCGCCUCUCCUUGCGGGGAGGGGGAGGCGGACAGUCGUCCCGUCGUUCCACUGCUCUUGGGCGGCCGUCUCGGUCGCGCUCUAUGGUAAUGCGAGUCCGACCGUGGCUGACAGUCGGCUCCUUGUAUCUUCUACCUCGGGCGCCGCCAGUCGGCGUCCGAGACGUCGCGCCUUGAUCUCGGUGAAGGUCGUCGACGGGCCAUUGAGGCGCCUCCGUGCGGCAGCCGGCCUCGUUCUGCGCGGCAGCCGCAUCGAGAAGCCGCUGGACUCGUUCGUUCAUGAGGCGGCGUUCUUCGCCCUCCAAAUUGUCCAGCUCGUCCACCGCUGCCUGGGCGGCUCGGAUGUUCUCUGCUGGUGUAGCGUACACAGGGCGGCUUGCCCCAAACAGGUUGGCGAUGGCUACGCCGCGCUACCGGACCAUGCCAAGGCGGCUGGGCCCCGCCGGGGCCGGCGAGCCGCCGACGGCGCGAUCCAUCUCCCGCUGGUAGGCUUCUGACAAGCGCCUCAUGUUGGCCAGCUUCUUCGCGCCUACAACGAGCUGAAGGCGGCUCGCCUCCAGCGUCUCUGCGUCAGCGUCUUUCGGAAUGGGCGCAGUUAGGUCUUGCAGCGCCGCGCCGAGCGAGUCGUGCGCUCCUCCACCGGGGAGCUCGUCAUGACUGGUGACUAGCACCUCGGUGACGGUGCUUCCAUUGCUCUCUGCGUGGGGGAGAGGUUCGUCAUAGACCACCACAUUGGUGGGGAACGCAUCGAGCAACGCGGUGUCGGAGUCGACCAUCAUCGGGUCAGUUGAGCCUACGGACUCCAAGUCUAUGGCAGGCUCGCCGGAAACGUGGAGUUGAUCGAGGAGGCCCGCGAGGAGGUUCUCGGGGCCGCUCGUGCCUGCGUUGGAUGUAGGUUCAUCGGAGAGGCAGACCUCGCCGACAAGUUCGGCCAAGGAGCUGACCGCGCAGGCAAUUUCGACGCCGCUUAGCGCGAAGACGCAAACUCUGUCUGGCGUGCCUGGCUGGCUGCGCUCGCCAGGGAGGAAAAGGGUUCCCGGCCAAAGCAGAUCUCCGGACGGCGGUGCACCAGGCCCCACGGUGGGUGCUAAAUGUCGGGGGUUUGGUGCGACAUAUGCCAACGGAUGGCUUAUCAUGGUGGGGGCGAGUAGAACAUCGUUGGUGCCUGGAAACGGGAUGAGGCGAAGACAUGCACGCCGGUGAAUCUUACCCAGCUUUGGGGCUCUCUAGGGAGAUAAUAGCCCUACUGCUGCUCUGCGGGGUCUCUGCAUGAUCACUAUGGCCAAGUGUUUACACGGUUGCUCCUUGAGCUGUUUUCUGGUGGUAGGAGAGGGCAAGGCUAGCUCUCUCCCUUCUAUAUGAUCUGGUCUAGAGAUAAUGGGUUCCAACCCUUUGCAUGGGUGCCCUAGGGGGUUUAUAUAGGCCUACCCCCCAGGGGUACAAUGGUAAUCCAGCUGGACGCGGGCCCAGCCGUCAGUGUCUCUGGCCUCCGUCUUCUCUGCCGACCGCUGGGGCCCGUCGACUGGCGGGCCCCACCGACUGGCCCGGUACGGAGCCGACAGGCCACGUCCGCCGCGGACGGGUCUUGCCGGCUGCUGGUUACUGUAGCCGUGCUUCUGAUGACGCGGGCUUGAUCAUGAGGUCGUGGUAACAGCCCUGCCGCCUGGCGUGCGAUCACUGUUGCCACUCCCCAUCACAUCUUGAUUAAUGGCGCAUGGGCCCCGGGGGAGGGCUCUGCCGACUCCCCCGGGCCGACUCCCGACGGGUCCGACUGGUGGUUCUCCCGCCGUCUCCCGAGGUCUCACUGACUGGUGGGGCCUGCUGCCUCCAGGCCGUACAGACAAGCCGUCGUGGGUGCAGGAUUCGGCCCUGCGGUGCUGAUGUUAGGGCCGGCAUGGCAACAGUGCCACGCCGCAUGGAGAUCUUCCGGGGUACGGCGUGCUGUGGCCAUGCCUGCCCUUGGUGAGGGGCAGGGGUGGGCUUCGCUGUAGCCACGCCCCUGCCUCGUCCCCUCUGAUGAGGUCAUGGGGUUUGUUGGAGUCGCAGGCCGACUCCCCACAGCCAGCUUCUCUGCAAGUCGUCCCUGGGACUCGGCCGUGAGCGGGCAGUCGGCCGCCUUGUCGUCGACUCCCCAGGAGGCGGCUCUUCGUCCUAGGGUCUUGAGGGGCUCAGCCUGCCCCGAUGUCUUGAAAGGUUCUGGGGCUCGGGUUGGCCUACCCGCGGCCCAUUACUCCGACACCCAGGCUUUAGCACGACUUAAAGUUGUUACAGCUCCAGCUCUCGCGUAUGAUCGCUUGAUUUCUUGGAACCGGGCGGGUAAGAUAUACAGCUUCUUCAAGAUGUCACUUAAUAGAGUCGGCCCUUGAUUCACGGGGGAGAUAGUGGCAAGCGUCCGUUGAGCUCCGGUGUAAAACUGUUCAACCAGCGUGUAAACCGCCUUCAGCUUUUCCACGGUAUCCCGGUUCAGAAUGCUGCUCCUGGGACCUGCAAAUAUCAUACAAAUCAGUUAAGUGGCGGCUUAUAAUGGAAUAUAUUUAUUUGAAGUAUGUAACAAAGUGACUUACCGAAGAUUGCAGAAACCAUCUGAGACACACGGUUCUUUAAACCGGUGAGUUCAGCGGUGACUUAUCCUACAGCCGCUUCAGCCUUCUCUGCAUGUUGUGUUAAAACAGUCUUCUCAUUAGCCCAAGCUUAUUUCUCCACUGUGAAGUUGGUCUUAAAAUUUUCGGUCUCAGAAACACUCAGCUAGAAUUUGGACCCAGCCUUCUUUGUCUCUAUCUCUUGAGUCCCUAGUCGGGCCUUGGCCUCAGACAGUUGGGAUUCCAGUUCUAUGGUUGCAGCCUGCAUACAACAUAAUGUUGUUUCAGUUUCAUGGCGGAUUAUAAAAUAUAAGUCCCAAGUGUUUUGUCAACAAUAACACUUAGCACUUGGGGGCUAAUGUCUGUCAGCGCAAUUUUUUUCAAAGGAAACAAUUUUUCUAAAAAGUCCCAAGUGUUUUGCAGGCAACAACACUCGGCACUUGGGGGCUAAUGCACACUGCUUGACUUUUCUUUCUACAAGUGAGCCGGAUAAGCUGUCCACAGUCUCAGCCAGCUCAGGCAGGUUAUACGGUUCAUUUCUAUGCAAUAACUAGUAGGACCGGCUCAUUCAUACUGAUUAAACCGGCCCUUGGAGAAUAGCAGGGUAUAUAACUUAUAUGAGAUGGAGAACAUACCUCAUAUUUUUGAUGCAUCUGUUUAACCAUUUCAAUUUCUGAGUCAUGGCUGGAGUGCACUUGACUGAGAUAACCAGAUAGCACUUCACUAAUACUCAGGUGAGCAUAGUGGGAGACAUCCAACCUCACCUUUUGCCAAUCCAUAACUUCUUGUUUGGCAGAGUGUCUUGCCAAGACAGUUGGGUUCCCCGGUUCAACGAAUCUAGUGCCAGUGAUUAAAACAUCAACAUUGUGCUUCUCCGGCGGGUUAGCUGAGCUUGAUGUCUCAAUACUUGAUGGAUCAAUAGUAGUUUCAUCUGUAGACGGCUCAGGUAAAUCAGGUUGAACGUUGAAGGCAGGGUCCUCUGGCCGUUCAGCGUGUUCAUGCACAAAGGUUGACUGCUCCGGGUCUUCAGGAUGUUCUGGUACGAGGGUUGGCUACUCCGGUUCAGUGGUUCUCGGAUCCUCAGCCGGUUUUGUUACCUUUGCUUUCUUGGGCUUUGCUUGACCGCUAGAAAGGAUUUAGACAAGUCAGUACAAUGAUACAUAUUUAAAGGUGUAUAAGAAGGGUAGUUAUCUUUACCCGGGGGCGGUCUUGAAAGCUGGAAAUUGCGUCUAUGAUGAAUCGUCGGAGGAGGAACGGGAAAUCUCCUAUAAAGAUGGAAUCAAAAAUAAGUGAUGAAGGUAAUUCAUUGAAUAAAUACAAGGGUGAAAGCCAAAAAAGAACCUCAUUCUGGUGUUUCCCAGGAGUUUUUGGUAAGCCGGAGGGUAAAUCGUCAUCUCCACCGGUCUGGGUCUGCCGGCGGCUUUCAUGUUGCUGUCGUUUAAAAAGAAAAUGAGGAUCUAAAUAAGCCAAGGGGUGUCAAAACCUUACUUUCCGGGUUACCCGCCGAAGUUUCUGCCUUGGUAAAGGUUCUGAGUUGGAGGAAAUAAUAUUUACCUCUUCUUCAACUGCCUGGCUGGCCCCCGUAUCAUCCUGGUAAUAGUCAAUGUCAAUAAGGUGGUUAAAAAGCAGGCCAAGAGAGAAAGGGCUACCUCUGACUCAGAGGUGUCAUCCAGCUUGAGUAACUCAGAGGCGGUUGGCUUCUUCUUCUUCUUCUUUGAUUUUCUGACGAUUUUCUUGGCGGCUAUCGCAGCAGCUCUAGCUUUCUUGGCAGCCUCAUGGUCAUACUUGACUUUCCAAAAGUCAGGUUUAGCCUGUGGAAGGGUAGCAUGUUGAAAUUCAUGCAAAUAUUUAAACUCUGGGUUCCAAGGUCAUCAAGGUCAUCAAGGCAGACAAAGCAAUCAGGGUAGCUACCAUCAACAGUCAGGUCAAGGGAGUCAGUAGCAGCAAUCCGGGUAUCAGAGUAACCCGAAACAUUUGAAUAGUGGACAGUAUCACGUCUUCACCACAAGUUUGUGCAAACGGGAUCAGGAGUUUCAUAAAAGGGCAGUAAACUCUGUUGAACCGACAGUACCCUGUUACUUGCGCUGGUCUGAGCAGGCUAUUGUGUGGAGUCGAGAGGAUCAUCCACCCAAGGUUAAUAAUCUGGGUCAUUUAGCAUUGGUGGUCGCACCUCAUGUUGGAGGGUAUAAGUUCACCAAAGUGCUCAUGGACGGAGGGAGCAGCAUCAAUAUCCUUUAUUAUGAGACCUUCCGUUGCAUGGGGUUGACCGAUAAAAAUCUUAAGCCGUCAAACACUGUCUUCCAUGGUGUGGUGCCUGGUAAAUCGGCAUAUCCGGUUGGUAAGAUAGCUCUGGAAGUUGCCUUUGAAGAUGAUCAUGAAUCUAGAUCAGAGACAUUAACCUUUGAGGUGGUGAAAAUCAAGAGCCCUUAUCAUGCCCUGUCCGGACGGCCGACUUAUGCUAAGUUCAUGGCAAGGCCCUGUUAUGUUUAUCUGUAGCUCAAGAUGCCGGUUCAUAAGGGGACCAUCACAGUGCAUGGGAGCCGGAAUAUAGCCUAGGAGUGUGAAGAGGGUGAUGCGGUGUAUGCUGAGUCGGUUUGCGCAACAGAGGAGUUAAAGUUUUAAAAGGAUAAUAUUGACCUGGCAGAUAUGAAUUUGAAAAAACCAACCACAGAGCAUGAUCUGGUUUUAAAAUUUAAGUCGGUAGAUGACACUAAGAUGGUUGACUUUGUCCCUGGUGACUCAUCUAAGCAGUUCAUCAUUAGUGCUAAUCUGGAUCCGAAAUAGGAAAGCGCGCUCAUCGAGUUCAUCCGUGAGAACCGGGACAUCUUUGCAUGGAAGUCCUCAGACAUGCCGGGUGUACCAAGAGAACUCGCUGAGCACACUCUUAAUAUUGAUCCAAAGUUUAAACCGGUCAAGCAGUUUCUUCGCCGUUUUAAUGAGGAGAGACGGACGACCAUUGGAUAAGAGGUAGCCCGGCUCUUGGCAGUUGGGUUUAUCAUUGAAGUUUUUCAUCCUAAGUGGUUGGCUAACCCGGUGCUGGUACUUAAGAAGAAUGGCACUUGGCGUAUGUGUGUGGAUUACACAGACUUAAACAAGGCUUCUCCGGCUGAUCCUUUUGCUCUCCCUCAUAUUGACCAGAUUAUUGAUGCUACGGCGGGUUGUGAGCAUUUGAGUUUUUUAGAUGCUUAUUCUGGUUAUCAUCAGAUCAAAAUGGCAGUUAAGAACCAGGAGAAGACAUCCUUCAUAACUCCCUUUGGAGCCUUCUGCUAUGUGUUUAUGCCUUUUGGGCUCAAGAGUGCCCAAGCGACUUAUCAGAGGUUAGUGCAUAAUUGCCUUCAUAACCAAAUUGGGUGUAAUGUUCAUGCCUAUGUGGAUGAUAUUGUGGUGAAAUCCAGAGAGAAAGAGACACUGAUAAGUGAUUUGAAGGAAACCUUUGAUAAUCUCCGGAUCUACAAGAUAAUGCUUAACCCGACCAAGUGUGUGUUUGGUGUGCCGGCAGGCAAGCUCCUGGGUUUUUUGGUGUCUAAUAGAGGGAUUGAAGCUAAUCCGGAGAAGAUCAAAGCUAUCACCUCUCUGGCUAAACCGGCGUGUAUCAAUGAUGUGCAGCGCCUGGCGGGUCGUAUCGCGGUGUUAAACCGUUUCAUAAGCUAGUUGGGGGAGAAGGCUAUCCCUCUGUAUCAGAUAAUGAAAAAGACAAAUAACUUUGUCUGGAGUGAUGCUGGUGAUGCAGCGUUUGAGGAUUUGAAGAAGCAACUAAUUGUACCGCCAGUGCUCACAUCCCCUAUUGAUAAGGAGCCUUUACUGUUAUAUGUGGCUGCUAAUAGCCGGUCUGUCACUGUUGCCAUUGUGGUGGAAAGGAAGGAAGCAGGAAAGGAGUAUCCGGUUCAAAGGCCGGUUUACUAUAUCAUCGAAGUGCUCAUUGUGUCCAAGCAGAGGUAUCCACACUGGCAGAAACUUGUAUAUGGGGUGUUUUUGGCCAGCUGGAAGCUUAAACAUUAUUUUCUGGGCCAUCCUAUCACUGUGGUAAGCUCUGCUCCUUUGGGAGUUAUCAUCCAAAACAGAGAAGUAACUAGUCGGGUCGCUAAGUGGGCCAUUGAGCUUGGACCUCAUGGAUUAAAGUAUGUGCCUCACAUGGCCAUCAAGUCUCAAGCACUGGUGGACUUCAUCAACAAUUGGACAGAGCUACAGAUGCCUGAGGAAAAGCUGGAUAACACAUAUUGGACUAUUCAUUUGGAUGGGUCCAGGUAGUUGGAAGGCUCGGGGGAUGGAGCUAUUCUCGCUCCCCCUUGAGGUGGUAAAUUUUGCUAUGUUCUUCGUUUGAUGUUUCCUUGUACUAACAACACAUCUAAGUAUGAGGCCUUACUCCACGGUCUUCGGAUGGCUAAGGAAAUGAAUUUAAGCCGGGUUAGGUGCUUUGGCGACUCAGAUUUGGUGGCUCAACAAGUCCCUGGUACUUGGGAUUCUAAGGACCCACUUAUGGCGGCUUAUCGGCGAGAGGUGGACGUCAUUGCUGGUCACUUCAAAGGAUAUCAAGUUGAGCAUGUUGAUCGAAGGAAAAAUGAAGCAGUAGACGCUUUAAGUCGGCUGGUCUCUCAACGUAAGCCGGUGCCACCUAAUGUCUUUCUUGACGUCUUGCAUAACCCGUUAGUUAAGGUUCCUAUAGAGGAGGAUUUGGCUAUUCCUGACCCGGAGGCUUAGUUGGUGGUGGCUCUUCAUGUAAUCCUAGAUUGGAAAGUCCCUUAUUUGGCCUAUAUGACCCGGGGUGAGUUACCUGAGGAUGGGACCUUAGCCAGGAAGAUAACCCGGCGGUCUAAGUCAAUGUCGAUUGUUAAUGGAGAGUUACAUCAUCGCAGUGUCACAGGGGCGUUUCAACAUUGUGUGUCUCCGGAAGAAGGUUGUGAGAUCUUAUGAGAAGUUCAUGAAGGAGAUUGUGGUCAUCAUGCCGGUUCAAAGUCCCUUGUGGCUAAAGCUUUCCGUAGUGGGUUUUAUUGGCUAACAGCUUAUGCUGAUGCAGAGGACUUCAUCCGUAGGUGUGAUGGAUGUCAGAAAUUUGCACGACGUACCCAUGUGCCGGCUCAAGAGUUGAGGAUGAUUCCUAUUACUUGGCCAUUUGCAGUUUGGGGGCUCGAUAUGGUUGGGCCUUUCAGAAGAUCCAAGGAUAAGAAGACUCACCUUUUGGUGGCGGUUGAUAAGUUCACUAAGUGGGUAGAGGCAGAGACGGUCAGUAAGUGUGAUGCAGCAACGGCGGUUCAGUUCAUGAAGAAGGCGAUCUUUUGUUUUGGCUUUCCACACAACAUUAUAACAGACAAUGGCACUAAUCUUUCUAAGGGUGCCAUGGAAGAAUUCUGUCAACUUGAGCAUAUCCGGCUUGAUGUGUCAUCAGUGGCUCACCCCCAAUCCAAUGGUCAAGCUGAAAGGGCAAACCAAGAGGUCUUGAAGGGUAUUAAACCCCGGCUUAUGGUUCCCCUAUAGAGGACGCCGGGUUGUUGGGUGGAAUAGUUGCCUUCGGUGCUAUGGAGCAUCAACACCACCCCAAAUAGAUACACAUGAUAUACACCUUUCUUCAUGGUUUACGGAGCAGAGGCAGUUCUCCCUAGUGACAUCUGUCAUGACUCGCCUCGGGUGGCGGCUUAUGUGGAAGCAGAUAAUGAAAGAGCACGUCAAGAGGCACUUGAUCUAUUGGAUGAAGAGCAGGACAUAGCAGCAACUCGUUCGGUGAUUUACCAGCAAGAUCUGCGCCAUUAUCACAGCCGUCGGGUUAAAACAGAACUUUUCAAGAAGGCGACCUGGUGCUCCGGCUUAUCCAGGAUCAGACUGAUAAUGCACAAGUUAUCCCAACCUUGGUAAGGACCCUUUGUGGUCAGCAAGAAUCUAAACAAUGGGUCAUAUUACCUUAUCGAUGUUCGAGACCACAAGGACUCACACACGUCGGAGGAGGAGACCCGCCGGCCCUGGAAUAUUUCUCAGCUUAGGCCAUACUACACUUGAGCCACAGGCUCUCCUUAUGUACAUAUUUAGACAAUGUAUAUAUUAUGAUUGAUAUAAUAAACCGGCAUCCCUGCUAAAGCAGGGCCUCUGUCACAUAUAAACACUAUUCUGAUCAUGGGAUCAGAAUAAUAUUCUGAUCACAACAUGAACUUCCCGAGUUACGCACCUGACCUUCCCCGAGUACUAGGUUGAACUUCAGCUAAAAGGUGUGCAAAUGGGGCUUGCGAUAUACCGUUGGAAAGCUAUGGACAUCAGUAUCAUGACCCAAGUUAAAUUUUUGGCAAAAUGUAAGCGGUUUAAGAGCAGUUUUGAAAACCAUUUUUUCUUCAUACAAAAAAUGUGAAUCGUAUUUUCGAUCGCAUUUUUAAACCGUUUAUCUAAAUGAGGCAAGUAAUAUGGCAUUGGAAAGUUGCUGAAACCGCUCCUUCCACAUGUUGAAAGUUUUCUCUAAUUCUCUACAGUUAAAGAGUAAUUCGGAAAAUCGUAGAAUUUCGCAAAUGGAACACCCGAGUUUGUAUUUUCGAUGCCAUUUCUAAACGGCUAAUCCAAUUGAGGCAAAUAAUAUGGUGUUGGAAAGCUUAUGAAAAUGCGCUACUUUUUCAUGUGAAAAGUUUUUUCUAAUUUUGAACGGUUUAAAAGUAAUUUAGAAAAUGGUACAACUUCCAUUCGUAUUUUCGAGCUAAUUUUUUAACCGUACGUCCAAAUGCAGCAAAUAAUAUGGCGUUGGAAAGCUUGAAGAAAUGGAAACUUUUUUGUAUAUAUUGUUUCUCCUAAUUCAUUACGGUUUUAUGUUAGUUUUGAAAAUGGCUAAAAACGUAUUUUUGCCGUAAUUUCUACAAACUUUAUCGGAAUGGGGCAAAUAAUAUACCGCUGACGGAAAAUUCAAAACUUUUUCAUGUUGAUGGUUUUCUGUGAUUCCUUGCCAUUCUCAAGUAAUUUCGAAAAUGGCGAGAUCAUUCGUUCUGCCUUUAUCGCGAAACAGAUUCUUUGAAAAUGCACCGUGUGAAGAACCUGAACUUCUCGGCAUGUCUACUUGAACUUCACUCUGUUUUUCACGUGCUUUUUUGCCCGUUUCUCUCCAUCCACUGCUCGUAGCUCUCCAUCCACUCACCAAAAUUGAGCAAGUGAUAUACCGAUGGAAAGCUGCUGUAAACACGCAACUUUCCCGAGUUGAUCGUUUUUUCAUACUCGUGAUAAUUUUAAAAGUUUUUCAUCUCAAAUUCAUUCACUAUAGUAGUCGAACUUCGUGCUGUUUUCACGUUGAACUUCUGUGACGUAUUUUCGUUUUUAAUUUUCCCAUCCAUUUCAUUAGUGUUACACAAAUGAUAUUCUCUUUGUACAAACCCCUCUCACAUAGCAAAUAUUGGCAGAGCAGCAACUAUGGAUUUGAGAUGAACAAGUCUCCCAGAGUAUGACAUUAAGGAAGCAAUGCCAGAUAGUCUGUGGUCAAGUCUUGAUACCAUGGGCAUCAAAUCUGCUACUUUAGGUCUUGUAGAUCCCGUUGGUAGACCAAGAUAUGUGAAAGGCAUGGCUUCUUUUUUACAGUUGAAGGUAUUUGCCAGUUCUUGAGCUUUAUCAUCAGUCAUAUUGAUUGGAACCAUAGAAGAUUUACUAUAGUUUACAACAAGCCCAGUGAACUGGCAAAUAAUCUUUCGUUUUUAAGAUUGACUUUGUUAAGGCUUUUGAUAAAGUGAACUACAAGGCUAUCUUAUUCAUGAUGAAACAUCUGGGAUUUAGCAACAAAUGGAUUAGAUGGGUCUCAUCUAUCCUAUCUACUGAUUCUACAUCUGUCAUCCUUAAUAGUGUUCCAGGUAAAUGCAUACAAUGUAAGUGUGGUGUCAGACAAGGAGAUCCUUUUCCCCCUCUUCUAUAUGUUAUGGUUGGAGAAUUGUUGCAAAUCAUGGUUAAUGAUGCUUGGAGAAAUGGAACAUUAUCUUUACCAAUUGAGACUAAUUUUACUGAAUGCUACCCCAUCAUACAAUAUGCUGAUGACACACUGGUCAUCCUGCUAGCCGAUGAGUUACAAAUUAGAAGUUUCAUUGAGAAACUUGAAAAUUUCUCAAAAUUCACUGGGCUUGUUGUAAACUAUAGUAAAUCUUCUAUGGUUCCAAUCAAUAUGACUGAUGAUAAAGCUCAAGAACUGGAAAAUACCUUCAACUAUAAAAAAGAAGCCAUGCCUUUCACAUAUCUUGGUCUACCAAUGGGAUCUACAAGACCUAAAGUAGCAGAUUUGAUGCCCAUGGUAUCAAGACUUGACCACAGACUAUCUGGCAUUGCUUCCUUAAUGUCAUACUCUGGGAGACUUGUUCAUCUCAAAUCCAUAGUUACUGCUCUGCCAAUAUUUGCUAUGUGUUGUAUCAGAGUACCAUUCUCCAUACUGGACCACUUUGAAAAGUCUGGUAGUAAUUUUCUUUGGUAUGGUAAGGAUAUCAACAAAAAAGAAAAUUGUCUUGUCAAAUGGGAUAAUGUUUGCUUGCCAAAAAAGCAGGGGGCCUAGGUGUGUUAAACCUGAGAGCACAAAACAAAACUCUGCUUAUUAAAUUUCUUUACAAAUUCUUCAACAAGCAUGAUAUUCCCUGGGUUAACCUGAUAUGGAACAAUUACUAUGACAAUGAUGAGGUACCUAGUUUCCCUACCAUGGUGGGAUCCUUUUGGUGGAGAGAUUGUUGCUCUAAUUUGCAAGACUUCAAAAAUAUGACUAUAUGCUAUGCUGGGACUGGUGAUACAAUUAAGCUAUGGUUAGAUAAAUGGUGUUCUCAUACAAUAUCACAGUCAAUGCCUCAACUAUUUUCUUAUGCAAAGAAGGCUGACACAACUCUUGCAUCCGUCAACAACAUGGAGGAUAGUGAAUUUUAUAAAUUAUUCCACUUGCCUAUGUCUUCUAUUGCAGUACAGCAGGGUAUCAAUCUUAGAGAGUUAAUCCACAACAGAGAGAACAUCAGCUAUCAGAUUCUUGGAAAUUCUAUUGGGGUGACACAAAGUACUCUAAUAAUACAAUAUACCUUGAACUAAUGGGAAAUCCUGUUAACGCUCCUAAACCCUAUCAAUGGAUAUGGAAAUCAUGCUCACUUCCCAAGCAUAAUUUCUUCUUCUGGCUACUGUUACAAGACAGAUUAAACACUAGAGACCUACUCCACAGGAAGAAUUUCUACAUUGAGACUAGUAAGUGUGAAUUAUGUGAUGAUGAACCUAAUGAACACCUAAUGCAUCUCUUUUUUAGCUGUGAUUUCAGUCAAAUCUUCUGGAUGAACAUUGGUUACCAAUGGAACAUUGAUCAUAACCUUAUAGAAUUGCUCUUGGAGGGAAGGAAGCAAGAUACCCAUGGCUGCUUUAAAGAAUGUUUGAUUGCUGGAUGCUGGAGUCUAUGGAAACACAGAAAUAGCAUUAUUUUUUAUCACAAGGUCAAGAAUAUGACAUAUUGCAUUGCCACUUUCAAGGAGCACUUCAGCAUGAUUAUAAACAAGGCAAAACCUGGAUUGAAGGAGGGCAUGCAAAGCUGGCUAGAUCACUUGUAGACUAUUAUUAUCUUGUACUACAUCCAUCAUGUAAAUCCAUAUGUAUAUGUUUCCCUCUUAUAAAUGAAAAUGAGAAUCACAGUGGGGGUCUUCCCCACUGUUUUUGUCAAAAAAACCACUCUCACAAUACAUUUUUUAACUUUCUCCGACCGAGGACUUGAAUUUACACAAAUGAUAUUCCUGUUGUUUUGAAGUAAAUUAGAGAAAUGACGAGAUCAUGAUUUAUGCCUUCAUUGCGAAUGGAAACGCACUGCAUGAAGUAGUUGAACUUCUCGGGCAUGUCUAUUUGAACUUCACUCUGUUUCACUUUAUUGUAUUGUUCUUAUAUGAAAUACACAUCAUGUAGUACAUGAACUUCCGGUUGUUAUCACUUUGAACUUCUCGCUGGUAUGAGAGAAUUAUUUUAAAACACAAAAAACAACAUAUUUUUUUAUGUAUUUUGGACAUCUAAAUACACGGUGAACCUCUCUCGCAAGUUUUUUUGAACUUUUACUCGUCGAGCACUUGAACUUCUAGCAACCUUUUUUCCGUUUAUGAGUUGUUUUUAAAAGUGCAAAAAAUGGCAUUGUGUUUUUUAUUUUUUGAACAGGUAAAUCCUAGGUUUUAAUAAACUCUGAACUUCUUUGUUAUUUCAAUAUGAACUUCACCUUUUUAUAUUUUGAGUAAAGAAUUGUAUUCGAUUUUUAUACCGGAAAAAUCAGACAUGGAAAUAUAAGGUGAACCUCUCUCACAAGAAUUUUUGAACUUCUCCGGACAGAACACUUGAACUUCUUUCAACAAACCUUUUAAGCUUUUAUUUUUCUAUACUUUUAUUCUCACCGGAAAUGCAUUCCUUGCAGUAAUUGAACUUCUCGUUGUUUCACUAUGAACUUCUGCCACAUUUUUGUGUAUACGUCGAAUUACACGCAAUUGAAGGUUGGACGUCAUUUUUUGCCAUUUUUUAAAACAUGUAAUUGGAGGUCAAACGUCCUGUUAUGAACCAUGCACGGAGGUGCAUGUGAACUUCUUGCAACAAAUCUGAGUUUUUUUAUAUACUUCGAACUUCUCUGCUAUUUUAAUUUCAACCUCUUAGUCAUAUUCUUAGAAAGGAAAUAUGUUUUUAGAUAAGCAUCAAACAUUCUUUUUAAAAAUUGAACUUCAUUGUUUUAUUUUUCAUAGAAACGGUAAUAAUUUGAGUUUCCCAUAUACAUCGAAUUACUCCACUUUUUAAACGGCAAAAUCUUAGUUUAGUCCCAUUAUUUAAAUUUCAACUUCUAGAGUUUUUUAGAAACGCUGAUAAUCUCGUUUUUUAUGAUUUUUUGAACUGCUCUAUGUUUAAAAUUCAAACUUCUUAUUUUUAUUACAAGCGGUGAAAUAUCCGUUUCAAAUUGCUCUCUUAUUUUUGUACUAUUGUGUUAUUUUUGUGUGAACUUCUUAUGUUCUUCCCGUCAACAGAUUCAAAUUUUCCAUUUUUUAUACAUUGAAAUAUUGCUUUAUUUUAUUUUGAACUUCUUGAUUCCAUUCUUUAAUAACGAGGAAAAUCAUAGGUUCUAUAAUUAUCAAACUUCUCCAUAGUUUUAAUUUGGACUUCUUGGUUUUAUUUCUUGUAGUAGAAAAAAUUCUAGUCUUGUAAUAAACAUCAAACCACUUUAAUAACGGAACAUUUCGUAGGAUUUUUGCAAAGAGUAAAAUCUGAGUUUUUAUAAACAUCAUACAACUCCAUUUUUUUAAAUUUGGACUUCUUUGUUUUAGAGAAUAAGUAAAGUUUGAACUACUCAUUUUAUUAAAGUUGAACUUCUGAGUUUUGUUUUUUGUUAUGAUUGGGGAAAAUAAAAACUAAACAUUUUUUCGCACACAUCUAACCAUUGUUGUAUUUGAUAAUUCUUUUACAUGAGACCAUCCGAAUUUAUUCAUGUACAAACUUUAUUUUUGCAUUUCGUAUUUUGACCUUUUUGCAAAUAUCUUAUAUGAACAUUCUUUGGGCAUCUUUAAUGCACUUAUGGACGUGCACUUUUCAAGAACUAUUCAUUUUGGACUCUCACGCAUGAUGAAAUAUAAAUACAAUGAUGUGGGUGUUUUUAUUUAAUUUCAGUGCUUUGAACUAUCUUUUUCUUUUAGGUAAAAUAAGAAACAACAAUUUAACGUGGCUCACAGUUGCUUUUUUUACUUUGUAUAUCUUGGAUGUAUUUCUAGAACAAAAAUCAUAGUUGCUUUAACUUUUAAUAAUAUUACUUCGCCUUUUUCUUGAUGGGAGACGUACUUAGAUACAUUUUGUUUUGAACAAACAAUUCAUGAACUAUCUCAAACUUGACCUUCUCGAACACAAUUUCUUGGCCUUAGGAAAAUAAAUAAAAAAUAGAAAAAUACAUGGUUGUACAAGCAUAAAAAAUAGAUUGAUUUCUUUGUAUUCUCUUUUAUAUGCCUAUAGAAAUACUCAUCAUCCCCUAGGGGCGAUGCACAUGUUUCUGAGAUCGCAGAAACGCCGAAAAAUAAAAACUGGUCGCUCCAUCUAACCCCUCCGAGCGGCCCACCCUCCCUCCCGCACCACCUCUCCCCCGAUCCUCCCGACCACCUCCGUAACGAUGACAUAACAAGGAUGGAAAAUGAUAUAUCUAUAGGAAGACCAUCUGCAGAAAAGCCACAUCAUAAUCUUUAACCAUGGACAACAAGUUCAAACACAAAACCAAGGACUAUAGUAGCUAAACUCUCGCAGAAAUCUCUCUCUAGCAUUCUAGUUGAACUUGAACAGUAGCGCACCAACAUUAGCUAGAGGGCGAGGUAGGACACAACAAUAGCAGCUAGCAGCGACCACCAAAUGGAGGCUGGGUCAUGACGGUGGCACUGAGAUGGAGAAGGUGCAGGGCAUGGCAGGCAAAAAUAACUGUGAUUGAAAAGUCUUAAUCAGGUAGGUAGGCGUUACAAGAAAAAAAUAGCAAGUACAUCAAGUUUUAGUGCCUCUUUCACACAUAGAUUUCCAACAAAAUUGGCAUUCCUUCUUAUAUAGAUGAACUUGAACCCCUGGAAACUUGUGAGAUAUGAAUGCAUCUCUCGAAAGCCAUCAACCGCCUCAUAAAAAGACUUGGAAUCCUUUGACAUCAUGCAUCAAACUUGGCCUUCAGUCUCAAUAAUAUUAUUUCGUAAUCCUUUUUCAAUCACGAUCAACAUGGUUGUCCCUGCGAGCCAACUAUCAGCUUUACGAUUAUGAAAAUACUAGAUUUUGGCAAAUGUGUACGAGCUACUGAAGAAAUUGAAGAUAGUUGCAAACAAUAUACGAGCUACAACCUAACAAUUUGCAAGCGCUUGAGUGAAGGCAACACCUUUGUUCUUCUUGAACUUCUCAUUUUUCUUAUUCUGAACUAGAUGUUAUUUUUUUGCAACUGCCAGUGCCGGGAGGCCGGCUUCGCUCCGUCAGGUAGCCGUGUCCACCUCCUCACAGGAUAGCGAGCAGGGGAGGAAGGAGAGAUAGACCUGGCAGCAAGCGGGG
rnacentral:lncRNA from 1 species